rnacentral:lncRNA from 1 species
UUUUUUUUUUUUUUGUAGAAUGAGAGGUGAUUCUUUUUUUGCUGCUGGUAAUUAUGUUCCCUAUUUGGCUUUUGCUGAUGACAUUUUGAUUUUCACAAGACGUUCGAAGGAUUGCAUUGAGGUGUUGAGGGAUUUCCUUAAUUUAAAUCAAGCUUACUCUAGGCAGAACGUUAAUGCUCAAAAAAGUUCUUUUUCGUGAUCCUCAUGUGCCAUGGAUGGGCAUCUAGCAUUGGUUUCGAAUAAGUUGUUUCACCAUCAGCAAUUUCUUUUUAUGUAUUUAGGUAUUGUUUGAUGGUAUUGUUGCUAAGAUGAGAAAUAGGCUGCAGCAUUGGAACUCUUGACUAUUAUUUCUGUGAAGGGCGAAAAGAUUAUAUUGUUGCAGCAUGUUCUUACAUCCAUGUCGGUGUACUUGUUAAAGGUACUUCAACCUCCAAUGGCAGUUUUUAUGUGAGGGUCUGAAAAUUUUCAUGUUUUAUUUAAAAUUUAGUGCAUGUUACAUUUUUCCUUUUGUUAUUAAUUGAUUUACAUGUUCAUUGCUCCUUUUAAUAAACAAAUGAAUCUGUACACCUUAGGAGAAAUUGUAUCACUUAUACCAUAAAACAUUAGUAUUAUUUAGAAUUUGUUCCGGUGGUAGAAGAAAAAACAGUGGAAACCACACGAAAAUCACCAUGCAUGACAAGUGGACUAACACUUGUCCUUGCAUGCAUGGGCACUGUCCACUUAAAAGAGAGUCACCAAAGCUUCAAACAUCAACCGCAAGAAACUUCAACUUCUAUUUUCCUCUAGGUAACCGAGAGAUAGUGAGGAAGAGAGAGCCGUCACAACCUUGCUUCUUUCUACUUCCUAAAAACUGAGUGUGAAGCCAUAGGAGGACCAGCAACUCUUUGUACUUUCUCUGCAAUUUUUGAGCUUCAAUUAAGCAACAAGGAACACUAACUCAGCUAGCUAGAGAGUCGAGUAGGAGCAAAAAAUCUUUUCCGGCAUAGGAGCCGUGAGUAGAAGAGGUAAAACACUGCUAAGUUUCCCUUAAUAGCCUACUACUUCAGUUCCUUACUGUCAUAGCUUGAGCUAACAUCAAAAUAAGAAGAAAUUCAUUGAGGAAAAGUUCAUUAAGGCUGGAAGAAUUUUGUUUAAGUUGCUGCAAUUGCCCAAUGUUGUUAAGCUGCAAACUUCUGAUUGUUUCUUCCAAAACCUGUUAGAUUAUGUUUCAUGCAUUAUAGUUUACAUAUCUUGACAUGCAUACAGUUUUUAACUUGAAACAAAGCCUGAUAAGAAUAGAUUAUAAAGAAACUCUUGCUGGAAUUCUUGAUAUGAUGAUGCAUGACUGCCGAUAGAGUGAAGCUAGAAAUUUUCAGUUUUCUUGCCAAGAGUUUUAGUUGAACUUGUUAAAACUUAUUUUAUGCACCACCUUUUGCCAUGUGAUGUUUACUGAAUUAAAGGCAAGAAAAGAUCAACUUUUGGAAGAAACAUCAAAGCUGGAAUUUUCUGGACAAAGUGUUGCAUGAAACCCAAGAGGAUAAAGCCUCAAUUUUUGGUUCUUUUCUUUAAAAUAUUUUUCUGAAUUUUGUCUAAAAUUACUCUAUAUACCUCCUAUCACUCUCUUCAUGACAUGCAUGAAGUGUUUUUCUUGAAUCCAAGUGAGAUAAAUGUUGGUUUUUGAAGGAACCUUGCUGAAAUUUCUGUUUAUGAUUGAUACUUGAGGGCUGUUGGAGUAGAGCUGAGAGUUUGCAGCUUUAACUCCAAAAUUUUGCCGGUUUUGGUCAAGAACUCACUUCAUGUACCAUUUACCUCUUUUAUCUAGACAUGCAUGUGGUAUUUGUUGAGUUAAAAGCUAGAAAAGACUGACUUUUGGAGGAAACAACAAAGCUAGAAAUUUUGUUUGAACCAUGGAGAUCGAGCUCCAUUUCUUCCAAUUUUGUUUUAGAAAUUUGUUGAGUUUUAUUAAGAAUUCAUUUCCUAUGUCAUUUACUUCAUUUAUCUUGACAUGCAUGAAGUAUAUAAUUGGAUUAAAGUAAGAAACUUGUGAUUUUUGGAAGAACUUGAGCUGAAUAGUUUUAUUGGCUAAAGAACUUGAAACUUAUGAUUUUUGUUACAUUUUGAUGGAGAAAAUUUAACAUGGAUGAGAAGGAUUAGACUUCAUUUCAUUAGUUUAUAGUGUAAGCCAAAAGGGAGGAAUUUUGUUGAAAAUAAAGCUAAACUUUCCAAGUUAAACUUUGCUGGAAAAUUUCCUAGUUAAACCAGGACCAUGAAGUUGAUUUUUCUCGCUUUAAUUUUCCAAUUUUAACAAGUUUUAUAUGGGAAUUUUGCUGUACAUACAUUUUGUUUCCUUUGUUUUGAGAUACAUAUUGAAGUAUACUUGAUUUGAUGUGAAAGUUAGCUUAAAUAUAAAACUUAAUCAAAACUAGCAAUAGUUGCAGAUUUUAAGAAAGUUGGGAUUAUUUCAUAAAUAUAUAAAGUUUAGUAAAAUACUAAAUGUUAAACUAUAAAUCAAAACCCAUAAUUUUGGGAAUUAGAUAAGUUAAGCUCGAUAGUAGAUUAACAAAGAAAGAAUACACCACCAAGUAUAUCAGAGUAAAAUUUAAGAUAAUUUAAUAAUCCUAAAUACUUAUGUUGAAUUUCAGGAAUCAAAUUUAGCCAAAAACCCCACCCCGAAGACAAUGCGUAAAGUUGGGAUUAUUUCAUAAAUAUAUAAAGUUUAGUAAAAUACUAAAUGUUAAACUAUAAAUCAAAACCCAUAAUUUUGGGAAUUAGAUAAGUUAAGCUCGAUAGUAGAUUAACAAAGAAAGAAUACACCACCAAGUAUAUCAGAGUAAAAUUUAAGAUAAUUUAAUAAUCCUAAAUACUUAUGUUGAAUUUCAGGAAUCAAAUUUAGCCAAAAACCCCACCCCGAAGACAAUGCGUGAAUUGAACCUCUCGGUGAGUAUUCCUAAUGUUAUCUAUGUUUGAUUGAUUUUGAUUGACACUUGGUGUGUAUUUGGCUGGUUAUGAUUGUUUGAAUUAAAUGAAUGGUUUGGAUGACUUUUGAAUUAAUGGAAUGUGCAAAAGUAUUGUUUUGGGAAGGGGCGUGCUUUAUCGCCCUUUCCCAAGUAAAAUUGAAAGUUAUUGUUCCAUAGUUAUACUACUUGUGCAUGUAUUGUAGGUCAGGUGUGUGAGAACCCAAAAAUUAUUUUAAAUUUUCUCCUAUUUUUGAAAAAUUAAUUUAUAUUUUCUUUUCAUUUUACUUUACUUGCUUAUUUGCUAGCCCUAAUUGAUAGUGUUUUUAAAGGUUAAGUUAAGAUUUUUCUCUUUUCCUUUUAUAUUCUAGUGCAUGUUAAGUUUCGUAGUACAUUAAGGUAGUUGACCGACUACUGAGAUAUACGUAUUAUAUUUGGUGGACAAGAACGGGUGUGGUAUUAGAGGAAAUAUAUGCUUAGAAGUGUUAAGAGUGUAUUAGAGGAAUAAACAAGUAAUUAGAGGAUAAGAGAGCAAAGGGAUAGGAAUGGAAUUGGAUCUUGACACUUGUCAACCAUCAAACCAAACCUUGACCAAGACUUUCCUUCCAUCUUUAUCUUCCAAUUGACCACAAUUUCUUUCAUUUUUCUUCUAUGAUGGCCGAUCCUUAAGGGAGAGAAAAGAGAGAAAAUUCCUUCAAGUUCCAUCUUGCUUUCUUGCUUGAUUUCUUGAGAAAUCCAAAGACCAACCUUAAUCCACUCUGAUAAGCCUUGAGUUAAGCUUGGAGGUGAGCUUUUGGUGGAGUGAUUUGAGGAAGAAAACUCUUGAGUUGCUUGUCAUAUUGGGAUUUUGAGGUAAAAUUCCUAGAUAACAUCUCUUUUUACUUGUUUCUUGAAAUUUAUGCAAGAUAUGUUAUGAUUGAAGUUUAAGGAAGCAUGUUUAUGGUAAAUUCAUGGUUUGCUAGGGUUUGGUUAAUUUUCAGCUUUAAUGUUCAAUUUUUAGCUUUGAGAAGAAUUUCCGACUUUGAUAAGAGAUGCUCUAGCUUUGAUAUGAAAUUUUAAGCUUUGAUAUGUGAAUUUUAGUCUUGGUGUGCAAUUUCCAGCUUUGAGAGGCAAAAUUUCUAGCCUUGAUGUAGUUACUUGAAACUUUGUAUAUAUGGAGCUGUGAUGGAUUUUCUUGUCAAGAAAAUAUGUUAUAAGCCUCAUGACAUGUUAGUUAUAAGAUAUAGUGCAUUUGCCAUGGAAUUUAAGUAAGAAAGUUGGAAGUUUUGUUAGAGAUUUUGCUGGAAAAUUUCUGUUAUGGCUGGCCAAGAGGGAGAGAAGGAAUUUCAGCUUUCUUUUUAGAAAUUUUGUGGUAAUUUUGAUAUACUCUUGUUCAAGACAUUUGUUAAAACCUUACUUUUCAUAUGUAUGUUGAUUUUGAGCCAAAAUCAAAGAUGUUUAAGAGAGGAAAGACUUAGUUUUUCAAACUGUUUGCUUGCUAGAAAUUUUCGCAGGAGGUUCUGCGCAGUUUUGGAAAAUUUACUAUAACUUCGUAUAGAAAAGUCGAAAUUGAGUUGUAUUUGUUGAGUUUGAAACUAGACUCAUACUUAUUUUAACCAUGUAAAAUUCAUGGUUUGGUUCACUUUCUAUAAAUACCAAAAAAAUUUCAAAGUUGGCUGAAAAUCCAAGACUGUCCUGUUUUUGCACUUAGUUGAGCAGUGAAUUGAGACUGAGAUUUGACUAAUUUAUGGACUGAAUUUUAUGAAAGUGUCUUCUAGCGAUUGCAGACUUUUGAGUCUAUUUUCUAACGGUAUAAAAUUUAUGAUUUUUGGACUUACGUUAUGACUUUUCAAAAAGCAUUACAAAAACUAGAAUUUUUCUUAUUAAAUGACAAACAAAACUUGGAAGGGUCUGGGAAACCUUUUCCGGUUUUAAACCUAACUUUCUCGAUUACUUGCACUCCAUUUCAUACUUGGAUCAUGGAUUUAUUAUGUAUAUGAGUUUUUUUUUUACUUGAACAAGAAAUCUCCUACCACGUUUUGACGUACAAAUGGAGCACUUCUGAAUCUUUCCUUGAGUGUUAUCUUAGUGGUUAAGUGAAGAGAAUUUCUCUCUUAAUUUGACAAGAAAUUGAGCAUGCUUGAGUGAAGGGUUAAGGGGAAAUUGUUUGGCCUUGGUUGAAUGAUUAUAGGUAAUCAUUGAUCAUUGAUUGUGCAUGUCUCAGGUAUUCAAGAGGAAUUCGAGGGAAACCCCGAGGAGAACUUGUGAAAGCUUUUUCUUGUCUUGCUUACUUGACUAUUGGUGAGUGUUCCUUGCACAUUGUGCUUCCAAUAACUAUGUGAAUUGUUGUGAAUGUUUGCUUGAAUGUUAAAUAUUUUUAAAUGGAUUUUUGAUAGGUGAGUGUGUACUUUAUUGCACUCGACCUAAGUGAACAUGAAAUUUUCAAUGAUCAAAUGAUUAAAUGUUACUUGUGCAUGAAUGUAAGCCUUUGGCUGAACUGGGCCCUUGCCCUUCGUUGCCAGUUGACUCGAGUCAGAAGCGGACUCGGUCGGGCAGCUGGUAACCCUGAGAUAGUGUUUAGUAUACUCAAGUAUGACCACAAAGUCUGGUGGAGAGCUGGCUAGUGAAUACAAUGCAAUGAUUGAAAUGAACACUGAAGAAGUUUCACUGUUAAAUGUUUUCAAAUGAUGGAGGAAUAAGGGAAAUGGUCAGCGACUGAAUGACUGAAUGAAUGGCUCCAUGUGAGUACGUAUCCUUCCAAUGAUUGAAUGUUUAUUUCUUGAAUGACUGUUUAUUACCGUGCAAAGUGUUCAAACUGUUAAAAGUAAUACUUCCAUGUUUUAUCUACCUAAUUGCUUACUUAGGAACCUCACUAGGCUUUAAGCUCAUUCCUUUGGUUUUUGUUUUCCUUAAAGGAGUGGAGGCCGGAGCAAUUAAAUGUGAACUAGAGUGUAUAACCCUCUUGUACUUAUACUUUUGGUAGAUAGAAUGUAUUUCGACAUUUGAUGUUGUAACAUACAUUUGGCUUUUUGGUUGUAAAUAAGUUUGAAUUUUGGUUGAAUUGUAGAACUUCAAUAUUAUUUUUGGAGGAUUGCACGGUUAAUCUUGAGAGUUGAUUGAAGCGAAUGAGUGAGUCUUGGUAAGAGUUGGAUAGGCGGUCCGCCAAACCCUUGGGUAGGCCCUAGGUGUGAUGCCCCGGAAGAAAAAGAAAAGACAUUUCUGCUGAACAGUGAGAAUCCGGCCGGAAAUCCGGCCAGUUCUUGGCCGGAUUCUUAGCCGGAUUGGCAGGGGUUUUGGAAAAAAAUUUGAUUUCGCCACUGUCACGAAUCCGGCGGGAAAUCCGGCCAAAUCUUGGCCGGAUUGUGACGUGGCACCUCAGCAGCCAGGUUUGACCGGCUGUUUUCCAACAUUCUUAUCUUGCUUUUGGCUGAUAUUUCCCUCAUUUCUUUCCUUGGCUUGGCCGAACCUUUUGAGAGGGAGAACAAGAGAGGAAAACUCCAUUUUUUUCCUUUGAUUUCCUUCACCAAAACUUGAGAUUUCACCAUUAGUUUUGCAACCUAUUCCAUACAAGUGCUCACUAAGGAGAUUUAAAGCUAUUGGUGGAGUUGUUUUGGAGGAGGAAGCACUAAGCUACCAAUUUUCUUGAGGUUUGAAGGUAUCUUGCUAAGAACUUCUUAUCUACUUCAAUUGAUUGUUAAUUGGUGGAUUAGAGAUGUUAUAUAUGCUAUUUUGUGGAUGAUUUCAUGAUUUUAAGUAGAGUUUGACAAAUUUCUGAUUUUAUUAGUGAAUUUUUUGAUUUUAUAUGAUAAUUGUUGGUUGGUCAUGGGAUGAUAGCUUGAUAUGGUGUCAAAUGGCGCCUUUGUGUGUUAGUUGUGGUUGUUUGCGGAAAAUUUCAUAUUUGUGUGGAAAAUUUUAGUUUUAGGGUUUCAAAUUUGGGGCUUUCUUAUGGUUGGUUAUUGAGCUCUUAAUUGGUUAAGAUUUAAGGGUAUUGUGGCCCUAAUUAGGUGUGUUUUAUAGCUUAUGAUUUGUAUGUGAAAAUGUGGUGGAAUUGAGAUGUGAUUGGUGCUGUAUUGUAGGAUGGAAAAUAAGGAAAUUACGGGAAAGUGCUGUCCAAUCUUUGAGAGCAUUUGAUUGCUUUGAGUUUGAGUUAAUUCUUGGUAGAAAUAAAAUGCUUGGACUUGAUCGAGGAAACUGUCUAUGAUGGACAAGGUUCAUGAGCUAUGGUUGGUGAGUGACCCCAAAACUAUUUCCAAAGUUACUUCCAAACUAUUUCUUGCAUUGCUUACUCGAUUGCAUAUCAUGAGUGCUUGCAUGUAUAUCAUGAAAUGAUUUGGCUCCAAUGAGUUCCUGGAAAGUCUUGUGCUUAAACUCAACGUUUCCACCACUGUUUAUUUGGAGCACUGAUGGCUCCCUAUUACUAUUUGAUUGUUAAUUGAUCCGUUUGAACGUUGGAGUUCUAAGGACGAGGAUUUCACUGGCUCAUAAGAGCAACAAACUUACAUUUGAUCAUUGAUUCAUGAACAUCAUCUAAAUGCAUUAUUGUGAAAUGUACUUGAUUAUUGAUUUUUACUGGAUACUCGCUGAGCUUGUAGCUCACCCCAAAACAUAUUUUUCCCCCCUCCACAGGGCACAAGGCAAAGGAAGCGCGUGUGAUAAGUUAUUAGAGUGUCUGAAGGGUUAUCUCAUGUAUAAUUUGAAUUCGAUUCACUUGAUGAGUAAUUGAUGUAAUAUUUGAGACUGAUAUUGUAAUUGUAAUUGAUUUGAGAACUGAGGACUUUUGUCUUAUUCGGGGAAUUGUACCACUACUUGAGAUUUGUAAUGUAUGUAAGUUUACGUUCUAAGCUUGGGAAAUGUUAUUUCGUCUCUUAUUAAGGUUGUACCCUAUGUUAUUGGAUGUGAGUGAUGUAAUUUAUUUGAGGACUGUAGUGAGUCCCGGCGAGAGUUGGGCAGGCGGUCCGCAGAACCCUUUGGUUCGCCUUAGGGGGAGGUGGGGCUGUCACACUAGGGGGAGGUGGGGUCGUCACAAGGUGCGUGCUUUAUCGCAUCGAUCGAAGUGGGCCCUAAAACCCAUCACAAGUCAACCUAUUUGAGCCAGCAACGGGCUUGGUCGAGUUGGUUGGCGGUCUUGGAUGCCGUAGCUUGGUUGACCCAUGAGAGAGUUGUGGGCUUCCAGGUGUGUGAAAUCGUGGUAUACUCGAGUAUUAUCUCGUAACCAGUAAUAACUGAAUUGCAUAUUGAAAUGAAUAUAGAUUGAAGGAGACUGUUUAUUAUUUUGAAGAAUAUAAUGGGUGAUUGGUGGAGUGUGCAAUGAUAUCGAAUUGGCUCCCAUAGUGAGCUCGUAUCCUUUUAUUGAAAUGUGCUAUUUUACUUCAAAGUCUUUUAUUAAAAUGUACUAUUGAAAUGUGCUCGUAUACUUUGGUUGGCAAACACUUGUUAAUUUUACUAUUGCUUGCUUGGAACCUCACUGGGCGUAAGCUCUACCAUUUAGUUUUUUUUUCCUUAUAGGAUAUGAGAGCGAAAGAAGUCAAGAUAGUGAUUUAGCUUGAAAGGUCCCUAUUUUGUAUUUGUUGUAGACAAACUUGUACUAUGAGAAUUAGUGGAAAAAUGCUUACUUUAAUCCUGUUGGUUUGUAUAUAAGUGUGAAUGUCAUGGCCCAAUUGAUGGAGUAAAUGUUACUUUGGGAGGGUAGUGAGUCCUAGUGAGAGCCAGAUAGGCAGUCCACUAAACCCUAAGGUAUGUCUUAGGGUGAGAAGGGGCCAUCACAUUUUAUACCAUUUGGGAGGAUAUGUAAUUCUUUUUUUGGUGAUCACAAUAUGGAAACUCAACACAUUCAUUGGGUAACUUAGGAGAAGCUUUGUUAUCUCAUGGAGGAAAGUCGUUUGGGAUUUCGAGGGUUUGAAGAUGUUGGAAAGGCUUUUGCAUGGGAAUUGUGGUGGCGGUUAAUAAUGAAUAAUUUUAUCUAGACUUUGUUUGUUCGUGAAAAAUAUAUAAAGGUCAGCAUUCAUCUUUGGUUACACUGGAGGGGCCUUCAGCUCUAUAGAGAUGGUCAAUUAUGAACAUCUUAUUCCAAACAUCUUUUUUCGCUAGUUCAGAUGUUGUAAUAUAUUCGGUUUCAGUUGUAGAAUAUAUCAUAGUUUCUUGUUUAUAAUUGCUCCAAGUUAUCACACUAUGAUUAGAGUAAAUAUAAAACUUGAUUGAGACAAGCAAUCAUCUUUGUCAGAUUGAAAGCUAGUAGUAUACCUUGAAAUUGCAAAUCAUGUUUUCCAUAAACCAACAAUAUAUCUCUAAUUCUUUUCAAGUACUUAAGAAUAUCUAUGACUAGAAAAACAUCUUAAAAAUACAUUAAAAAUUUUUAAAAAGAACAAAAAAUAUCCCAAAAAUUUCUAAAAACAUCCGAAAAAAUUUAAAAAAAACUCACUAAAAAAAUUCUAAAUGCUUUUAUUUACAUUGAAGUUUUCUAAAACACUAAAAAAGAUAGCCAAUCCAAACACACCUGUUGACAAAAACUAAUCUCCAUGAAUCUUAGCGUCAAAUUUGACUAAUUAUAUGUAAAUAGAGGGCUUUUAAGGACUCUUGUGGUCUUGUGUUCGAAUCUUACCCUAAACUUGAACCCCCGUGACUCCCCGAGGUUGCUGCGUGGAGCCGUGGCACACUCCUCUGGUUUAGUGUCCCGACUCGGGUCCUAAGGGUUCAAGUCGGGGCAUGUUCCGGGUUACCCAAAAAAAAAAACUAACUGUUGACAUCAAUAGCGAACUCACCAACAUGAGUACUUAUAUAUUCAGCCACAUUAAAAAAUUUUUUGGAAUUGAGGAAACCACCUAUAAAAAUGCUAAGUUAAGGUCCUUAAUCCUUUCGGUAUUCCUUUAACAGACUUCCUUUUGAAUUCAAAGUAUACCAAAAAAAAAAAUGUUUCUAUAGUUUCCUUUAUGGAAUCAAAUUGUUUCCAAGGCUUAUAAAGAAGAGCCCAACUAUUCUUCUUCAAAAAACAUUACUCUAUUUUAGACAACAAAAAUAAAAGGGUAAAAAAUAAAAAAGCCCCCUGUGGUAAACCUAAUACACAGAAAAGCCCCCCGUGGUUUCAAAAUAUACAACACGACUCCUCAUACUUUGAACUAAAUUGUAAAGGUGACGGAAUUCGUUAAACUAAACGGAAAUGGUCAAAAUGACCAAAAUACCCUGAUAUAAUUAAGCAAAAGACAGCUCAAAAAAAUCAUUUGUUUUAUUUUCUAAAUAGAGAGAAUUGAGGGUUAAGGGGUAGAAUUGGUAUAUUUGAUAAAAAAUAGGUAUAAAAAAUUUUUUUUAGGUUCCAAUAAGUCAUUUCCGUUAAGUUUAACGGAUUCCGUCACUUUUACAAUUUAGUUCAAAGCAUGAGAUGUCGUAUUGUAUAUUUUGAAACUAUAUGGGGCUUUUCUGUGUAUUAGGCUUACCACAGGGGGCUUUUUUAUUUUUAACCCAAAAUAAAAACCUUUAUUCGGCUUCUUGCUGCAAAUUCCAUUCUUUCGAUUCUUUCUUCAGUAUGGGUUCUAAGCAUUGGUUUGCAUCUUUCUCUACCCUAAUUCUCAUAGCUAUAUUGAUCUAUAAUGCUGGAAUUGUUAGUUGUCAAAUUAAGGACUCUCAGAAUUUUUGAUUUAUGUUGCAACCGGACCUGAGAGUAUUGUCUUUGAUCGGUAUGGUGGUGGCCCGUAUACGAGCAUUUCUGAUGGUGGCAUAAUAAAGUGGGAUGCAAUUCUGAAUCGUUAGGUCGAUUUUGCUGUAACAACUCCAUACACAAUUGGCUGUCAAGGUCCAUUUAAUCAUGUUUACACAGAGGCAAGAUGUGGGCGGCCACUAGGACUUAGUUUCAACCAGAAGACUGGUGAUCUUUAAAUUGCUUAUGCCUAUAUGGGUCUCCUGGCUAUUGCUCCUAAUGGUAGAUUAGCUAGACCACUGGCAAAGCAAGCAGGAGGAAUUCCAUUCAGGUUCACCAAUGAUGUGGUUGUAGAUCAGUACAGUGGUAUAGUAUAUUUUACUGACACUAGCACAAGAUUUCCAAGAAGUGCAUUUGCUUAUGUGAUAUCGAGUGGUGACAAUACAGGAAGGCUAUUGAAAUAUGACCCAUCGAUUCAUCAAGUAACGGUCCUUCUGGAUCAUCUUAUGUUUCCAAACGGAGUAGCACUGAGCCAAAAUGGGGAUUUCUUGCUUGUUACUGAAACCACAAGCAGUAGAGUGUUGAGGUAUUGGCUUGAGCCAUCCAGGGCUAGCAAGGUUGAUGUUUUCACACAACUUCCAGGAAGGCCAGACAACUUCAAAAGAAACCAACAAGGUGAAUUUUGGGUGGCAACUGACUCAAGAGAUGGGAUUUUUAAUCCACUUGGAAUGAUAAUUAAAUUGAGUCCGGAAAGUGACAUAUUGAAGAUAAAAGGAGCUGGAAAUGGGAUGACAUGGGGGUUUAGUAGUGAUGUAAAUGAACAUAAUGGAAAUUUGUGGAUAGGAUCAGUACAAGAGCCUCAUGUUGUUAGACUAACACUCUCUAACUAGUGUAAUAUCGCUUAGAAAAAUUAGCAUUAGCUAUUAAAAUUUUGUCUCUCUUUUAGUGGCAUUUCUAAUGUUUUGGACAAGAUCAGUAUCGAUAAUAUGAAUUUCCCUGUAGUUUGUUUCAAAAAAAAAAAGAUUAAUUGGCACAACAUUGCCAACAAUUGUUCUUUUCUUUUUUUUUCAGGAGGAUUGUAGGUCAAAACAAAUCUAAUCUUCAACGUUUGUGGAUUUAGGCAAAUUUAGGAUAAUUAAUGGAAAUGAACCAAUGACUAAUGGUGAACGACAAAUUACCAUUGGUCAUAGUCAACGACUUUGACUUUGCCCUUAUGGUCCCUAAUAUUUUGAUUCUAAAUUAUUAUAUUUCUCUAAUUUUUUAACAGUAAUAUUAAAAGUUUUAGCAUGAAUUGAGAUGCAAAUUAGAAUGAAAUAGUAUUAAAUGAGUAAUAAGAAUUCUAAUUAAAAUUUUUUUCUUAAUUUUAUUUUUAUUUCAUUUUAUUCAUACUGAUAAUAUAUCAUGUUUCUUUUCUUUUGCAUAGUUAGUCUCUUUUUUUUUUUGGGCUAACCCCGUUCACAAGAAGGGACGCCACCCCCAAAUGCUAUUAAGAACGGAAAAAGUAAUAACGGAGAGGGACUUAAAACCAACCUGAGCAUGAAAGCAAUACUCAUGGCUAUAGACUAAAUUUUCGACGAAUAGAGGAAGUUCCUAAUCUAUCCAACGUAACUGCACCCUGAACUAACCUUGGUAACUCUGAGCAUGAAUUAUAGAUAGCGAUUGAGGAUGAUUGUGCCCCAACCUUCGACAAAACAUCCGCAACCUGAUUAGCUUUCCUAUAGCAAUGAGCUACCGUCCCAAAACAACCUCUUUUCUCCUUUAGAGAUUCUAUAUCCGACCUAACAAACCAAUGACAAUCACAUCUACCUUGGAGGAUAUAAACUAGAACAAGCGAAUCAAUCUCCACCUGAAUAGGAGAGUAGCCUGUUGAAGACACUGCUCCAUCCCAAAAAGAAGAGCUUUCACCUCAGCUUGAAAACUUGUAAGCAAAUCCAAUGGAAUAGAGAAAGCAAAAAGUAAGCCACCCUGUGAAUCUCUCAAAACAGCCCCACCACCACUUGCACCCAAAUUUCCCAAGGAACAACCAUCCGUAUUUAACUCAUAAUGCCCCUGCAAAGGCUUCUCCCAAACCACUAAUCUAUAGGAAUAACGAGCUUUCCAACCAGCAGCAUUGGAGUAAAGAGUCUCCCAUGAAACACAACCCACUACCUCAUGCCAAAAUUUUCCAAACACCAUGUCUACCAAAUCCAGUAAGAUACUUGUGAUGGCCCCACCUCCCCCUAGGGCGUACCUUAGGGUUUAGUGAACUGUCUGCCCAACUCUCGCCAGGACUCAAUCACGCUUAACUCGAGAAAGAACUUACAACCAUAGAAAAGAAAUAAAACAACGAUUUCAAACUUAGCAUAUACAUUGAUACUCAAAUCCAACUACAAGUCUCAUACUUGCCCAAAUACAUUAAAAUGUUUACAAUCCAAGUACAAUCAACCCCUAGUCGGGUGCUGGCGCGAGAACAAUUGCAAAUUUCAAAAAAAACUAGACCACACUAGUUUGUACAAGUGUCACGCCUCGCUCGUACCCCUGUAAGGAAAACAAAUGGAGUGAAAUGAGCUAAAAGUCCAGUGAAGUUCCAAAUAGCAAGUUGACCAUUAUUUAAGUACAAGUAUCAACGUAGAAAAAAUAGCCAGCAUAACAAGUUCAUAAAAGUGAACAAUAACACUCCAAGUAGCAAAUCUCAAAAUGAACGAGUGUAAAGUGUUUUUGUUUUUCAAAAGAAACAAUAAUCCAAUAAGCAAUACUCAUUUCAAAGUAUAAGGAUACGGAUGGCUCUCAGGAGCCAAGUUCCCUUUGCUUCACCAGAGCUUGAUCAAAUAGUAGUUGACACUCUGUCAACUUUCAAGCAAAGUAACCAGUCCAGUAGAACACCACUUCGCUACAAUCUCCGUCCACCAUCCAAUCUCGCGAGAACAAUUGCAAAUUUCAAAAAAAACUAGACCACACUAGUUUGUACAAGUGUCACGCCUCGCUCGUACCCCUGUAAGGAAAACAAAUGGAGUGGAAUGAGCUAAAAGUCCAGUGAAGUUCCAAAUAGCAAGUUGACCAUUAUUUAAGUACAAGUAUCAACGUAGAAAAAAUAGCCAGCAUAACAAGUUCAUAAAAGUGAACAAUAACACUCCAAGUAGCAAAUCUCAAAAUGAACGAGUGUAAAGUGUUUUUGUUUUUCAAAAGAAACAAUAAUCCAAUAAGCAAUACUCAUUUCAAAGUAUAAGGAUACGGAUGGCUCUCAGGAGCCAAGUUCCCUUUGCUUCACCAGAGCUUGAUCAAAUAGUAGUUGACACUCUGUCAACUUUCAAGCAAAGUAACCAGUCCAGUAGAACACCACUUCGCUACAAUCUCCGUCCACCAUCCAAACCCUCGACUGGGCCCAAAAUUCUCAAUAAACACUGGUGGUAAUACUCGAGUAUACCGAUUAGUCGAGGAGAUAACACUCCACUCGACAACACUAGAUACCCAUGGUUCGUUAUCUAAUCGACCAAGCCCUAGCCGACUCGACUCAAUUAACUAGUCAGUGGGGUUUGGGUUCCCAAGAAUUCGAUGAGAUAACAUCUCCAAUCGGCCGAAUCAAGAUAAAAGUACGGAGACGGGAAUGAGAGGCACCUCCCACUCAGAUUGAGUGUGGUACAUGCUGCCGCUCCAGCACUUACAAAUCAAGCACAAGUAUAUCAAGUCAAUUGCACCAAUAAACACGUACAUAUCACAUUAGGGCAAGUGCGAUAAAGUACACCCUUACCCGACCAUACCAAUCAAAUAUCAUUCGAUCACAUUAGUCAAGUAAUGAAAACAAGUGCCAAAUUCAAUCAGGUAUUUGGAAGCACUCACCAAAGAUUUAGUGCUUCUUCGAUUCACGUUCAGCUAUUACUCCUUGUGUGGAGUUCAAAUGUAACAGCCCCACUUUUCCCUAAGGCGAACCAAAGGGGUUAGCGGACUGCCUGCCCAGCUCUCGCCAGGACUACGGAUCAGUUCACGUCGAUCUAAUACGUUCCGGAACAUACCCACGCGCGUAAACAAGUCAAAAUCACAAAAUAAAAAAAACGAAAAUCGAAGCCGAUGAUGAACAGUACCGGCCACGUCAGAAUCCAGAUACUAGGUCGAGAGUAGCCAAAAUUUUUCUUUUGCCGUUUGAAAUACGAGUUGAUCCGAAAUUCAACCAAAUAUCAACCAAACAUACAUACAUUGAAAUGUAACAUUUACAUGCCAAAGCGGCAUAUCAAAACCCAUUCAUUACGAAUAUACAUGUUCGGUUUGCCAAUCAAAAGAAAGUGAACCCAAUACACAUUAGGGUUUCAUUCAAAGAGCUAUCCAAAAGAUACAUUUACAUGAGCUCAACUUGACAACCAACAAGUAUAACCUUUCCAAAAGUGGUCAUUUUCCUGUAAGGAAAACAAAUGGAAUGGAAUGAGCUUAAGCCCAGUGAGUUACUACCACAUAAGCAACAAAGAUCACAUAAGCAUAAUCUUUCAUUUCAAGUACACAAUUAAGAAGUAAAACAAGUCGGUAAAAGGAUACGGACGGCUCUCAAGAGCCCAUUUCCACGCUUACAUUCUUGAUCCAAUCUCAUUGACUCCCCGUCAACGUUUAUGAGUACCAACCGUAGAACCCACUUCACUCCCAUCCCUUCCACCAAACAUACCCCAACCGGGCCCGCACUCCAAUCAGUAGCUUUUGGUAAUACUCGAGUUUACCGGAAUCAAGAGUCUCAUUACUACAAUAUUCCCCAGUACAAUCCCCGUGGCAUGUCAAUUUUCACGACCAAGCCCCCGCCGGCUCGAUUCAAUUGACUACCAACGGGGUUGAGCUCAGUAGUACAGUAAGGCCGUUGGAUACUCGUCCAAACGACACCAAAUCAGUUUUUCAUGAAGUGAAUUCAAUAUCUCAUAUAGCAAGUGCAGUAUAUCAGUGAAGCGGUAAACAGUCAUUAACGUAUCACAAGGGGUGAGGGCGGUCAAGUACACCCUCGCCUCAAUCAAUUCCAAUAGCCAAAUAAGCCUUCAAGGCAUCAAAAUCACAUAUAGCAAAGCCACAUUGUAACAUUCAAGUGAGUAGUAUACUCACAACUCAAAUAGGUGAUGUUUCAUGCACCGUCGUUAAAAGGACGUCGUGAACCCCCGUCACGUCCUAAAACACGUAAACAAAUACAAUGAGACUCGAUAACGAGUCAUAAAGCCAUGCCAAUCACAACCCCAAUAGGGUUUCAUAAACAUAGACAAGUAGCAUAGGUAACCAGAAAUUUCAGCAAUGUAACUAACUUGACCUUGACAAAACAGUUUUCGUCCUAAUUUUGCGGUAAUGGCACAAAUUGCGCUACGCUUAUCGGAUGAGGGUGCAAGACCCACCAUCUCAAAGCUAAAAGACAGGGUUACAACAAUGUAGAAGGCCACUCAGUCCAAAUCCUAGCACAACUAGGUCAAAUAUGCAAAAUACCAAACCAGAACCUUAAUUGCAGGUUUACAAAUUACACUAUGCUGUAAUUAGUCCAACUCAGUCUAUACAAGUCCAAAUUCAUUGAUUCCAAAGGCAUAUGGUAGCUAAGACAACAAGCUACAUUUCAUCAAAAGACCUCAACAACCAAAUCUAAAGCAAUUCCAGUCAAAAUAGCCAAUUACAGGCGCAGUUCGGCCAUCCUGAAGAACCCAGAACAGCAACAGUAAAAUCGACUUUUCUCACUCUACACAACUCCGAUGAACUUGAAAUUUUACAGGCACCUCAAACACAUCAAUACCUACAAUUUCCAUGUUUUAAGCUAAGGCCAAUUCGGCCUCUAACCAUGAGAUACAAAACCAGACAGAAUUGGGGAUAUAAAACCCUAAUUUUCUCAAAUUCCUUCAAAACCCAAAAUUGCUUGCAAUUACCAAUCAUGUACACCUACUAGAGUCAUUACCCUUCAUUACCAACCAUCAUAGAUAACCACAACAUCAUGAUCACAUUAAACCAGAAAAUACACCAUUAAAUUGAAAACUUCAUCAUUUCAUCCAAAAGCAAGAAAUAAAUCACAAAUGUCAUCACUUGAGCUUCCAAUAAGCACAACUCAAGCUUCAUUAAGUGUAGGAGGAAGUUCAAAUACCACUUACCUAGAACACAAGAGAGGGAGAGUUGUAGGACACCUUAGCUUCCUUGAACACUUCCACAAAAUCACUUACUAGCACCAAAUGGAGGGAUUUUAUGGAGUAGAAACAAAUUUAAGCAAUUGGUUUGGAUGAUUUGCACUAGAUGGAAGCUUGAAAAUUGGAGAAGUUUCCUUUCUUUUCCUAGAGAGAGAGCCGGCCAAGAAGUUGAAGACAAGAAUGAAUUUUGUGUGAUUUUUGAGAUAUUUAAGCAAUUGGUCAAAAGUCAAGAAAAUGAAUAGUUGUCCUACAAGUGCCACCAUUCACCAAGUGACACUUGUCACUACAUUUAAAGCAUUUCUAUCCUUUAAGUCUCUCUCACAUCAAUCACAUCUCAUCCUCUACUUAUCUCUUAACACCCGAUAAAUUUCACUCAGUAUCCGAAACUCAACCUACUUGGCCGAAUUUUUCCGAACUUUUCGCACUAGUGGGUCCCACGUCCAUUAUAUAUCCUUAAUUUUUCAAAAACUAUCUAAUACUAGAAAAAUCAUUUAAAAACUAUAAUUACUCAUAAAAUCCACCAAGAAAAUUUUCCUAAGCCAGAAAAUGCAGAAAACGUGCCAUUAAAGGAAAUAAACCCUAGGAAAAUUAUUAAGAGGAAUUUACGGGUUCUCACACUCUCUCCCCCUUAAAAGAAUUUCGUCCUCGAAAUUCCUUAUCAUUGACUACUCCGGGAUUAAAUUGAGCAUUAUACUUAGCUAACAGAUCUGUACCCCUUCACUGGCCAGGUUCAGCAAAUUAUUACCUUCCACGUCCUCUAAUGGGUCAAAGACUUGAUGUUGUUCUAAGGAGUACACCCGAGAGGACACUUUCGAUCCAUCCUUGUCCCCCUUCGACUGGUCAGGGUGGGUCGUGGUUGGUGGCAGAGUCCCUUUCCGCUCAAGCAGGCGAGCUGGACAGUUCGCAAUCUGAUGUUCGGCACUUCCACAGCGCAAGCAUUUUCCUCCUUUCUUCCAACAAUUGUCCUCCGAGUGGUUUAAUUUUCCGCAAUACCCGCAGGGUCCGCGUGCUACAGAAGCCGAGCCUCCUCUUGACGGGCUCUCUUGUGACACUCCCGGCAUCCUUACUCCUCCCGUUCCCCGCCCAAACUUGGGAGGGGUACUUUCAUCCCCCUGCCCCGAACUACUUCCAGAAAAUCCUCUCUUUUUCGCCUGGAAGUUUUUCACCUGGAGCCUAGCAUUCUCUACUCGUUGUGCCUUCUCCACUGCUUCGCUGAAGGCGUUAAUUUGGGCUGCCGCGAGGUCCUUCUGGAUUUCUACGUUCAGGCCCUGGACAAAUCGCCGUAUUCUUCGUUGCUCGGUCAUGAUGAGUUCGGGCGCAAAUUUGGAUAGGCGGGUGAAUUGGCUCUCAUAUUCCGCCACAGUUUAAGCUCCUUGGCGAAGUCGAAUGAACUCGUCUUCCUUCCUCUCCUGAACUAGAGGAGGGAAAAACUUCGCAUUAAACUCUCUGAUGAAGUUCACCCAAGUCCUAGGUGUCUGUUCUCGUUCCCACUUCUGCCGAAUUACGUUCCGCCAGGAACGGGCUGCCCCCUCAAGCUGGAACACGGCAAAAGUCACCUGCCGUUCGUCAGGGUAGUGUAGGGCUGCAAAUAUAUCCACCAUCUUUUCAAGCCAUCUUUCGGCAACGUCUGGGUCGGGUCCCCCAACAAACUUUGGCGGAGCGAACUUUUGAAAUCGUUCGAGAGCUCUGUCUUCGCUCUCGAUAUGGUUACCAGGGUUUCCAGGGUUUGGGUUUGGGUUUUGGCCUUGUUGUUGCACUACUUGUGCUAGUAAGUUUGUCAUUUGUUGCAUAGCAGCAGCUAUUUGCACAUUAGGGUUUACUUGCAGUUCCAGAUUGGGUCCAGUAGAGGUUUCCCCCGUACCCCUAACCGGUGUGGGUUGUCUAGUUCCGCGCCCACGUCCCCGACCACUCCGUGUACCUUCCAUGAGUUUUACUUGGUCUAGGCAAUAAUAAUACUAAACCAAAAUAAGCACGAUGCAUGUAAGUAACACUCAAAACUUUUAUGCAACACAUAUUUAUACAGUCCAAACAUGAGCACAAACGUAUAUAUACAAGCCAAGCAAGAUCAAGCCACACACAUAUAUACAGCCAGUUAAGUCAAGUAAAAACAUAGACGAUCCACCGAGGAAUGGCCUUUCUAGUUCACCAAAUCCUUUCUAACCUAGGCCCUCAUUCUUUCGUAUCCGGGCGCAAGAAUCCCAUCUAAGAUAAUUCACAACUCGAGCCGGCCGGUCCCAAGAGUAAACCAUCUUUAUUAAAGAUUUCUACCCGACAUACAUACCUAGCUUCCUCGAGUCCCAUGAUAAUGAUUCGCACACUUAUCACAUGCCCGGUUCAUAACUUAUGCUCAAACGAGCACUUAGACAUAUUCAUGAAAUUAGGACCACAACACCACUUGGCCCAGUCUCACUCCGCGCAGAGACCACGCGAAGUGGCUCUGAUACCUCUUGUAACAGCCCCACUUUCCCCUAAGGCGAACCAAAGGGGUUAGCGGACUGCCUGCCCAGCUCUCGCCAGGACUACGGAUCAGUUCACGUCGAUCUAAUACGUUCCGGAACAUACCCACGCGCGUAAACAAGUCAAAAUCACAAAAUAAAAAAAACGAAAAUCGAAGCCGAUGAUGAACAGUACCGGCCACGUCAGAAUCCAGAUACUAGGCCGAGAGUAGCCAAAAUUUUUCUUUUGCGUUUGAAAAUAAUCGAGUUGAUCGCCCGAAAUUCAACCAAAUAUCAACCAAACAUACAUAAUUGAAUGUAAGCAUUUACAUGCACGGCAUAUCAAAAACAUUCAUUAGCGGAUAUACAUGUUGAUUUGCCAAUCAAAAGAAAGUGAACCAAUACACAUUAGGGUUCCAUUCAAAGAGCCUAUCCAAAAGGAUACAUUUACAAUGAGCUCAAACUUGAGCAACCACAAGUAGUACCUUUUACAAAAGUGUCAUUUGCCUGUAAGGAAAACAAAUGGAACGGAAUGAGCUUAAGCCCAGUGAGUUACUACCACAUAAGCAACAAAGAUCACAUAAGCAUAAUCUUUCAUUUCAAGUACACAAUUAAGAAGUAAAACAAGUCGGUAAAAGGAUACGGACGGCUCUCAAGAGCCCAUUUCCACGCUUACAUUCUUGAUCCAAUCUCAUUGACUCUCCGUCAAGGUUUAUGAGUACCAACCGUAGAACCCACUUCACUCCCAUCCCUUCCACCAAACAUACCCCAACCGGGCCCGCACUCCAAUCAGUAGAUUUUGGUAAUACUCGAGUUUACCGGAAUCAAGAGUCUCAUUACUACAAGAUUCCCCAGUACAGUCCCCGUGGCAUGUCAAUUUUCACGACCAAGCCCCCGCCGGCUCGAUUUGUGAGAACCCGUAAAACCCUAAUUAUUUUCCUAGGGUUUAUUUCCCCUUAAUUGCAUGUUUUCUGCAUUUUCUGGCUUAGAAAUAUUUUCUUAGUGGAUUUUAUGAGCAGUUAUAGUUUUAAGAUGAUUUUUCUAGUAUUGGUGAAUUUUUAGAAAAUUAAGAAUCUAUAUUGGACGUGGGACCCACGAGUGCGAAAAGUUCGGGAAAAUUCGGCCAAUACGGUUAAGUUUCGGAUACUGUGGAAAAGUUAUCGGAUGUUACGAGAUAAGUAGAGAGUGAGAUUUGAUUGAUGUGAGAGAGAAAAGAAAGAUAAGAAUGCAUUUAUGGAGGUGCCAUGUGUCACCUCCUCAUUUGAUGAACUUUAAGAAGAACUAUUCACUUUCUUGACUUUUUUGACCAAAGGAUUAUAUAUCAAAAAAAAAUGCACAAAAAUCACCAUUUUUCUUCUCUUGUUGGCCGGCCACCUUGAGCAAGGAAGGAAGAAACUUUCUUCACCAUUCAAGCUUCUACUUGUUGCAAAUCAACCAAAAACAUUGGUUACAUCCAAUUCCAUUCCAUACAAUCUUACCUUCUAGUGCUAGUAAGUUGUUUAUUGAAGCUUGGUUGAAGGUUUAAGGUGUUCGACAACCUCUUCUCUCUUGUUUCUUGGUAAGUGAAGCUUGAACACCCUCUUACACCCUAUGAAGCUUAAAUUAUGCUUAGUAGUGCUUGAAGUGCUGAAAUUUCUGGUUUUAUCUUGGUUUGAAGUGAUUUGGUGAAGUUUUUCAUUUUAUUGAUGAUUUUUCUGGUUUAAUAUGAUCUUGAUGUUGGGUGCUUGUAUGAUGGAUUGUAAUGGUUGGAAAUGACUCUAGUGAGUGUGAAUUAUAGUUAAAUGCAAUCAAUUUUGGUUUUGGUGUGAAAAAUGGAAAGUUAGGGUUCAUAAAAUCCCAAUUCUGUCCGGUUUUGAUCAUAGGGUUAGAGGCCGAAUUUGACUUUUCUCAAAACAUGAAAGUUGUAGGUAUUGGUGAGUUUGAUGUGCCUACAAAAUUUCAGGUUAUUUAGAUUAGUGUGGAGUGAGAUAUGACGAAAUUACUGUAGCUGUUCUGCUUUGGACAGAAUGCGAAAACUGCGAUAGUAAUUGGCUAUUUUGACUGGAAUUGGUUUGGAUUUUGGAGUUGGUGUCUUCUGAUGAAAUGUAGCUGGAUGACUUAGCUAACUUAUGCCUUUGGGAUUUCGGCAUUUGGACUUGUAUGGACUGAGAUAUACCGAUUACAGUUUUCUGUGUUUUGCAAACCUGUUUUGGUAAUUCUGGUAUAGUAUUUGGCAUUUUCGACCUAGUUAAGCUAGGAACUGGAUUGAGUGACCUUCUACAUUGUUGUAGCCCUGUUUCAUAGCUUCGAAACGGUGGGUCUUACACCCCCAUCCGAUAACCGUAGAGAAUUUGACGCCAUUACCGCAUAAUGAGUGUAAAACAGUUUUCUAUUUGGGGCCAAGACUAAGGCCAUUUUCUAAUUUCUGGUUUGCUAUUAUGCUCAUUUAUGCAUAUGAAACCCUAUUGGGGUUGUGUUUAGCAUUGCUAUAUGACUCGUUAUCGAGUCUCAUUGCAUUUGUUGCGUGAUUUUAGGGCGUGACGGUGGUGCACAACGUUCUUUUGACUAAAGUGUUUGAAACCGCAUUGUGCUAGCUUGGUGAGUGUACUACUCACUUAUGUGCUAUUACAUGGCUUUGAUCUUUGUACUUGAGAUGUUGAAUGUUGAUUGAUCCAGGUGAGAGUGUACUUUAUCACUUUCACAUAUUGUUCCGCAUGUUAUUGGAAAGUUAUAUGAAAUGUUAUAUGAAAUGAAAUACAUGACUUCAAAUAUUAUCCAUGAGCUCAACCCCAUUGGUUAUUGAUUGAAUCGAGCCGGCGAGGGCUUGGUCGUGCCAAUUAAUGUGCCUUGGGGCAACAUCAUAGGGAAUCUUGUAGUAUGAGAGACUCUUGAUUCCGGUUUACUCGAGUAAUACCACAAUGCAAGUGUUUGAAUUUCGGGCCCGGUUGAGGAAUGUUAGGAGGAAGGGAAUGGAAGUUAAGAGGAGUCUACGGUUGGUUACCUUUCAGACAUUGACGGAGAGUCAAUGAGACCUGAUCAAGAAUUCAAACGCGGAAAAGGGCUCUUGAGAGCCACCCGUAUCCUUUUAUCCUCAUUAUUAAUGUGUGGCUUUAUUUAUUUUGGUAAAUUGGACUGUUAAGCGUGAUGUAUCCAUGAACUUGGUUGCUUGAGUUGUAUUCUCACUGGGCAAUUAGCUCACCCCGUUCCUUUUGUUUUCCUUACAGGAAUAUGACUCUUUUGGAAUGAAUUUUUGAUAAAUGGUUGCCGAAUGAACUAGAUGAAUGACUCUUUUGUAUUGUAUAUAAAAUGGGACCCUAAAUGUAUCAUUAGGGCCGUUUUCACUUUUGUUUUGGCAAACCAUAUGUGUAGCGACUUUUGUAUCACUUUAAAUGUCAUUUUUGGUUUGUAAAGGCUAAAUGAGAGUCUCAUUACUACAAGAUUCCCCAGUACAGUCCCCGUGGCAUGUCAAUUUUCACGACCAAGCCCCCGCCGGCUCGAUUCAAUUGACUACCAACGGGGUUGAGCUCAGUAGUACAGUAAGGCCGUUGGAUACUCGUCCAAACGACACCAAAUCAGUUUUACAUGAAGUGAAUUCAAUAUCUCAUAUAGCAAGUGCAGUAUAUCAGUGAAGCGGUAAACAGUCAUUAACGGUAUCACAAGGGGUGAGGGCGGUCAAGUACACCCUCACCUCAAUCAAUUCCAAUAGCCAAAUAAGCCUUCAAGGCAUCAAAAUCACAUAUAGCAAAGCCACAUUGUAACAUUCAAGUGAGUAGUAUCCUCACCAAUCAAGUAAGUGUUGUUUCAUGCACCGUCGUUAAAAGGACGUCGUGAACCCCCGCCACGUCCUAAAACAUACAAACAAAUACAAUGAGACUCGAUAACGAGUCAUAAAUCCAUGCCAAUCACAACCCCAAUAGGGUUUCAUAUGCAUAUAUAAGCAUUAUAGCAAACCAGAAAAUCAGGAAAUGUAACUAACUUGGCCCUAACAACAAAAACAGUUUUGUCCUCAUUAUGCGGUAAUGGCACAAAUUGCGCUACGCUUAUCGGAUGAGGGUGCAAGACCCACCAUCUCGAAGCUAAAAGACAGGGCUACGACAAUGUAGAAGGCCACUCAGUCCAAAUCCUAGCACAACUAGGUCAAAUAUGCAAAAUACCAAACCAGAACCUUAAUUGCAGGUUUACAAAUUGCACUAUACUGUAAUUAGUCCAACUCAGUCUAUACAGGUCCGAAUGCAGAAAUUCCAAAGGAAUAUGAUAGCUAGGACAUCAAGCUACAUUUCAUCAGAAGACCUGAACAACCAAAUCCAAAGCAAUUCCAGUCAAAACAGCCGAUUACAGGCGCAGUUCGGCCAUCCUGAUGAACCCAGAACAGCAAUAGUAAAUUCGACAUUUCUCACUCUACACUACUCCAAAUAACCUGAAAUUUUACAGGCACCUCAAACACAUCAAUACCUACAACUUUCAUGUUUUAACCCAAGGCCAAUUCGGCCUCUAACCAUGAGAUACAAAACCGGACAGAAUUGGGGAUAUAAAACCCUAACUUUCUCAAAUUCCUUCCAAAACCAAAAUUGCUUGCAAUUACCAAUCAUGUACACCUACUAGAGUCAUUACCCUUCAUUACCAACCAUCAUAGAUAACCACAACAUCAUGAUCACAUUAAACCAGAAAAUACACCAUUAAAUUGAAAACUUCAUCAUUUCAUCCAAAAGCAAGAAAUAAAUCACAGAUGUCAUCACUUUAGCUUCCACUAAGCACAACUCAAGCUUCAUUAAGUGUAGGAGGAAGUUCAAACACCACUUACCUAGAACACAAGAGAGGGAGAGUUGUAGGACACCUUAGCUUCCUUGAACACUUCCACAAAAUCACUUACUAGCACCAAAUGGAGGGAUUUUAUGGAGUAGAAACAAAUUUAAGCAAUUGGUUUGGAUGAUUUGCACUAGAUGGAAGCUUGAAAAUUGGAGAAGUUUUCUUUCUUUUCCUAGAGAGAGAGCCGGCCAAGAAGUUGAAGACAAGAAUGAAUUUUGUGUGAUUUUUGAGAUAUUUAAGCAAUUGGUCAAAAGUCAAGAAAAUGAAUAGUUGUCCUACAAGUGCCACCAUUCACCAAGUGACACUUGUCACUACAUUUAAAGCAUUUCUAUCCUUUAAGUCUCUCUCACAUCAAUCACAUCUCAUCCUCUACUUAUCUCUUAACACCCGAUAAAUUUCACUCAGUAUCCGAAACUCAACCUACUUGGCCGAAUUUUUCCGAACUUUUCGCACUAGUGGGUCCCACGUCCAUUAUAUAUCCUUAAUUUUUCAAAAACUAUCUAAUACUAGAAAAAUCAUUUAAAAACUAUAAUUACUCAUAAAAUCCACCAAGAAAAUUUUCCUAAGCCAGAAAAUGCAGAAAACGUGCCAUUAAAGGAAAUAAACCCUAGGAAAAUUAUUAAGAGGAAUUUACGGGUUCUCACACUCUCUCCCCCUUAAAAGAAUUUCGUCCUCGAAAUUCCUUAUCAUUGACUACUCCGGGAUUAAAUUGAGCAUUAUACUUAGCUAACAGAUCUGUACCCCUUCACUGGCCAGGUUCAGCAAAUUAUUACCUUCCACGUCCUCUAAUGGGUCAAAGACUUGAUGUUGUUCUAAGGAGUACACCCGAGAGGACACUUUCGAUCCAUCCUUGUCCCCCUUCGACUGGUCAGGGUGGGUCGUGGUUGGUGGCAGAGUCCCUUUCCGCUCAAGCAGGCGAGCUGGACAGUUCGCAAUCUGAUGUUCGGCACUUCCACAGCGCAAGCAUUUUCCUCCUUUCUUCCAACAAUUGUCCUCCGAGUGGUUUAAUUUUCCGCAAUACCCGCAGGGUCCGCGUGCUACAGAAGCCGAGCCUCCUCUUGACGGGCUCUCCUGUGACACUCCCGGCAUCCUUACUCCUCCCGUUCCCCGCCCAAACUUGGGAGGGGUACUUUCAUCCCCCUGCCCCGAACUACUUCCAGGAAAUCCUCUCUUUUUCGCCUGGAAGUUUUUCACCUGGAGCCUAGCAUUCUCUACUCGUUGUGCCUUCUCCACUGCUUCGCUGAAGGCGUUAAUUUGGGCUGCCGCGAGGUCCUUCUGGAUUUCUACGUUCAGGCCCUGGACAAAUCGCCGUAUUCUUCGUUGCUCGGUCAUGAUGAGUUCGGGCGCAAAUUUGGAUAGGCGGGUGAAUUGGCUCUCAUAUUCCGCCACAGUUUAAGCUCCUUGGCGGAGUCGAAUGAACUCGUCUUCCUUCCUCUCCUGAACUAGAGGAGGGAAAAACUUCGCAUUAAACUCUCUGAUGAAGUUCACCCAAGUCCUAGGUGUCUGUUCUCGUUCCCACUUCUGCCGAAUUACGUUCCGCCAGGAACGGGCUGCCCCCUCAAGCUGGAACACGGCAAAAGUCACCUGCCGUUCGUCAGGGUAGUGUAGGGCUGCAAAUAUAUCCACCAUCUUUUCAAGCCAUCUUUCGGCAACGUCUGGGUCGGGUCCCCCAACAAACUUUGGCGGAGCGAACUUUUGAAAUCGUUCGAGAGCUCUGUCUUCGCUCUCGAUAUGGUUACCAGGGUUUCCAGGGUUUGGGUUUGGGUUUUGGCCUUGUUGUUGCACUACUUGUGCUAGUAAGUUUGUCAUUUGUUGCAUAGCAGCAGCUAUUUGCACAUUAGGGUUUACUUGCAGUUCCAGAUUGGGUCCAGUAGAGGUUUCCCCCGUACCCCUAACCGGUGUGGGUUGUCUAGUUCCGCGCCCACGUCCCCGACCACUCCGUGUACCUUCCAUGAGUUUUACUUGGUCUAGGCAAUAAUAAUACUAAACCAAAAUAAGCACGAUGCAUGUAAGUAACACUCAAAACUUUUAUGCAACACAUAUUUAUACAGUCCAAACAUGAGCACAAACGUAUAUAUACAAGCCAAGCAAGAUCAAGCCACACACAUAUAUACAGCCAGUUAAGUCAAGUAAAAACAUAGACGAUCCACCGAGGAAUGGCCUUUCUAGUUCACCAAAUCCUUUCUAACCUAGGCCCUCAUUCUUUCGUAUCCGGGCGCAAGAAUCCCAUCUAAGAUAAUUCACAACUCGAGCCGGCCGGUCCCAAGAGUAAACCAUCUUUAUUAAAGAUUUCUACCCGACAUACAUACCUAGCUUCCUCGAGUCCCAUGAUAAUGAUUCGCACACUUAUCACAUGCCCGGUUCAUAACUUAUGCUCAAACGAGCACUUAGACAUAUUCAUGAAAUUAGGACCACAACACCACUUGGCCCAGUCUCACUCCGCGCAGAGACCACGCGAAGUGGCUCUGAUACCUCUUGUAACAGCCCCACUUUCCCCUAAGGCGAACCAAAGGGGUUAGCGGACUGCCUGCCCAGCUCUCGCCAGGACUACGGAUCAGUUCACGUCGAUCUAAUACGUUCCGGAACAUACCCACGCGCGUAAACAAGUCAAAAUCACAAAAUAAAAAAAACGAAAAUCGAAGCCGAUGAUGAACAGUACCGGCCACGUCAGAAUCCAGAUACUAGGCCGAGAGUAGCCAAAAUUUUUCUUUUGCCGUUUGAAAUACGAGUUGAUCCGAAAUUCAACCAAAUAUCAACCAAACAUACAUACAUUGAAAUGUAACAUUUACAUGCCAAAGCGGCAUAUCAAAACCCAUUCAUUACGAAUAUACAUGUUCGGUUUGCCAAUCAAAAGAAAGUGAACCCAAUACACAUUAGGGUUUCAUUCAAAGAGCUAUCCAAAAGAUACAUUUACAUGAGCUCAACUUGACAACCAACAAGUAUAACCUUUCCAAAAGUGGUCAUUUUCCUGUAAGGAAAACAAAUGGAAUGGAAUGAGCUUAAGCCCAGUGAGUUACUACCACAUAAGCAACAAAGAUCACAUAAGCAUAAUCUUUCAUUUCAAGUACACAAUUAAGAAGUAAAACAAGUCGGUAAAAGGAUACGGACGGCUCUCAAGAGCCCAUUUCCACGCUUACAUUCUUGAUCCAAUCUCAUUGACUCUCCGUCAACGUUUAUGAGUACCAACCGUAGAACCCACUUCACUCCCAUCCCUUCCACCAAACAUACCCCAACCGGGCCCGCACUCCAAUCAGUAGCUUUUGGUAAUACUCGAGUUUACCGGAAUCAAGAGUCUCAUUACUACAAGAUUCCCCAGUACAGUCCCCGUGGCAUGUCAAUUUUCACGACCAAGCCCCCGCCGGCUCGAUUCAAUUGACUACCAACGGGGUUGAGCUCAGUAGUACAGUAAGGCCGUUGGAUACUCGUCCAAACGACACCAAAUCAGUUUUACAUGAAGUGAAUUCAAUAUCUCAUAUAGCAAGUGCAGUAUAUCAGUGAAGCGGUAAACAGUCAUUAACGGUAUCACAAGGGGUGAGGGCGGUCAAGUACACCCUCACCUCAAUCAAUUCCAAUAGCCAAAUAAGCCUUCAAGGCAUCAAAAUCACAUAUAGCAAAGCCACAUUGUAACAUUCAAGUGAGUAGUAUCCUCACCAAUCAAGUAAGUGUUGUUUCAUGCACCGUCGUUAAAAGGACGUCGUGAACCCCCGCCACGUCCUAAAACAUACAAACAAAUACAAUGAGACUCGAUAACGAGUCAUAAAUCCAUGCCAAUCACAACCCCAAUAGGGUUUCAUAUGCAUAUAUAAGCAUUAUAGCAAACCAGAAAAUCAGGAAAUGUAACUAACUUGGCCCUAACAACAAAAACAGUUUUGUCCUCAUUAUGCGGUAAUGGCACAAAUUGCGCUACGCUUAUCGGAUGAGGGUGCAAGACCCACCAUCUCGAAGCUAAAAGACAGGGCUACGACAAUGUAGAAGGCCACUCAGUCCAAAUCCUAGCACAACUAGGUCAAAUAUGCAAAAUACCAAACCAGAACCAUAAUUGCAGGUUUACAAAUUGCACUAUACUGUAAUUAGUCCAACUCAGUCUAUACAGGUCCGAAUGCAGAAAUUCCAAAGGAAUAUGAUAGCUAGGACAUCAAGCUACAUUUCAUCAGAAGACCUGAACAACCAAAUCCAAAGCAAUUCCAGUCAAAACAGCCGAUUACAGGCGCAGUUCGGCCAUCCUGAUGAACCCAGAACAGCAAUAGUAAAUUCGACAUUUCUCACUCUACACUACUCCAAAUGACCUGAAAUUUUACAGGCACCUCAAACACAUCAAUACCUACAACUUUCAUGUUUUAAUCCAAGGCCAAUUCGGCCUCUAACCAUGAGAUACAAAACCGGACAGAAUUGGGGAUAUAAAACCCUAACUUUCUCAAAUUCCUUCCAAACCCAAAAUUGCUUGCAAUUACCAAUCAUGUACACCUACUAGAGUCAUUACCCUUCAUUACCAACCAUCAUAGAUAACCACAACAUCAUGAUCACAUUAAACCAGAAAAUACACCAUUAAAUUGAAAACUUCAUCAUUUCAUCCAAAAACAAGAAAUAAAUCACAGAUGUCAUCACUUUAGCUUCCACUAAGCACAACUCAAGCUUCAUUAAGUGUAGGAGGAAGUUCAAACACCACUUACCUAGAACACAAGAGAGGGAGAGUUGUAGGACACCUUAGCUUCCUUGAACACUUCCACAAAAUCACUUACUAGCACCAAAUGGAGGGAUUUGAUGGAGUAGAAAGCAAUUGGUUUGGAUGAUUUGCACUAGAUGGAAGCUUGAAAAUUGGAGAAGUUUUCUUUCUUUUCCCAGAGAGAGAGCCGGCCAAGAAGUUGAAGACAAGAAUGAAUUUUGUGUGAUUUUUGAGAUAUUUAAGCAAUUGGUCAAAAGUCAAGAAAAUGAAUAGUUGUCCUACAAGUGCCACCAUUCACCAAGUGACACUUGUCACUACAUUUAAAGCAUUUCUAUCCUUUAAGUCUCUCUCACAUCAAUCACAUCUCAUCCUCUACUUAUCUCUUAACGCCCGAUAAAUUUCACUCAGUAUCCGAAACUCAACCUACUUGGCCAAAUUUUUCCGAACUUUUCGCACUAGUGGGUCCCACGUCCAUUAUAUAUCCUUAAUUUUUCAAAAACUAUCUAAUACUAGAAAAAUCAUUUAAAAACUAUAAUUACUCAUAAAAUCCACCAAGAAAAUUUUCCUAAGCCAGAAAAUGCAGAAAACAUGCCAUUAAAGGAAAUAAACCCUAGGAAAAUUAUUAAGAGGAAUUUACGGGUUCUCACAUCAAAUCUGCGAUAAAAUAUCAUUUAAGAGUUGGAAAUCAACUAGGGCUCAAAACUUAAGAGUUUCGCUUAAAGAAAAUCAAGUAACUGAAACUCAUUUAGGUAGUAUUCAUGCUCGCUCUUAAACUUUGAAACUUUGAAGAGAUUAAACUUUGAAAUCACCAUUUGAGUCGUAGUGACAAGAAAAACGUACUUCUAUUAUUCGUUACUUUUAUUUUCCAAGGGUACAAGUUUCGGCCGAAUUCUAACUUAUAUACCUCUACAAAAGAGGACUCGAACAACCUAGACAAUUCGAGUUAAAUUCAUCCUCAAAUCCUUAUACAAGUCACGAGUAUAUCUACCUAGCCCUUAAGUGAAAAUUUGGGCAGCACGCCCUUUGGAUUUAUCUAUUUUUCAGCCAUUUAUGGCUUCAUUAUUUUUCUCAAUUCAACCCCAAAAUCUCACACAAAUAAUCUUACCACAAUAGCCUUUCAAUUAGGCUCAAUGUCAUUCAAUUACAAAAUAAUGCUAGCAAAUUGAUCGGAAAUAAUGUUUAAGACAAAGAACAAAAUAACAGGUUUGACGUCUCUUAGCAUAUCGGUCACAACCGAAGCUGCGCUUAUCGGAUUGAGGUACACUUUAUACCUUUUCGAAGCUAAAACAAAGGGCUACAACUUUCAUGAAGACAACUCAAUGCUAAUUUGAUAUGGAUCAAAGUGAAAAAUGAAGCCAAAAAUGUGAAAUCUCAAAACUGCCUGCUGAAAAGAACAUUUGGCAGUCAGGGGUAUUUUAGUCAUUUCACAUGUUACAGUGUUCUGAUUGAGCUGAUAUUUUACAGGAAGAUAUAAAACACCAUUUUCUACAACUUUCAUGUUUUGAGCUAAGCCUGAUUCGGCCUCUAACAUGGACGAAUGAAGCUGGUCAGAACAGAACAACUUGGUUUCCAAUUUCUGGAAUUUGCACCUUUACUCUAGAAAUUCAUAUCUAACAAGUGCUCUAUCAUCAAACCCACCAAUUACUAGCUCAACAACAUCAAUUAAGAGGUAGAGAACCAUAUUCAAGGCUGAAAAUAUAAACCCUAGCUAAACAUUCCAACCUAUCAUUCAACCCAUGAAAUUUUCCCCAUUAAACUAUCAAAACUACAACUUUAAGCUUCUAGUUUACAUAUAUAUGAAGUAGAGGGAAGUUUCUUACCAAAGUCACCUUAAUCCCUAUGCAAAGAAGCUGCCAAGACCUUCCUCUUCCCAAAUCACUCUACCAAAACCCUUAAGCUUCCUUAGAGAUCAACUUUUGUGGAGGAAUUUGCAAGAUUAUCGGUUGAAACUCAAGAUUAAGGCUUGAAAUUAAGGUGCAAGAUGAUGUUUUCUCUCCCUUUCUCUCUCUCAAGUUUCGGCCAGCAAUAUGCAGAAAUGAAGAAGAAACAAAGCUCUAGAAAAGAUAAGAAGGUUGGAAUUAAGUUGAGCCUUCGGGGGUUGACCCUCCGUCAUUACAUGCAAUCGAACUGAGUUGUAAUUGGAAAUUAGAUGCAACAACACUUAUGAAAAUCAGUUCCAUUCAUACUUAUUCAGCGAUAUUACAUGCAACAACACUUAUGAAAAUUAGGCCAACAAAUUAUCAUACUUAUUCUCCCCUGCAAUUAACUUUUGGUUAUGAACCCAAUGUUUCUCAUUUACGAAUAUUUGGUUGUGCAUUUUAUGUUCCAAUUACACCACCUCAACAUCAUAAAUUGGGCCCCCAAAAACGAUAGGCGAUAUAUGUUGGGUAUGAAUCACCUUUGAUAAUUAAGUAUAUUGAGUCAUUGACAAGUGAUUUGUUUACGACAAGAUUUGCAUAUUGUCAUUUGAUGAAUCACAUUUCUCGAUAUUAGGGGAGGUAAAGAUUAAUCAAAAAGGGAAAAGAAAAUCAAUUGAAAAAUAUCAUUGAAUUUUCUUGAUUCUUGUACAAAAGAAUGUGAACUAGAAGUUCAAAAGAUUAUACAUUUGCAAAAAAUUAUAAAUCAAUUAUCGGAUGCAUUUAAUGACUCCAGAAGAGUUACCAAAUCAUAUAUUCCUGCUGAAAAUGUUUUGAUUAAAAUUAAUGUCUCUGAAAGAUAAAUUACAAAUGCUGAUAAAUCUAAAAGUACGCCUAAAACGUGGGAGAACUCUUGGUUCCAAAGAUAAAAAUUCUCAAAAGAAAAGAGAAUUAGAUCAGUUAAUAAUUAGUGACAAAAUUUAACCUCCCGAAGAGGUCACUCUUAAAGAACCAACUCUUGAAGAGAAUGAAAUUAUAGAAAAUUCAAUAAAUUGUCACCACAAGGAAAAGUUGGAACUGAAGAAAAAUAAUUGUUGAUAGUAUUUUUGCAUAUAAUGUAACACUUGAUAUUAUGAUAGAAGACGAGAAUCAUGAGCCUAAAUCAAUUGAUGAAUGUCGGUAUAAAAAUGAUUGGUCAAAAUGGAAAGAUACGAUACGAUCUGAAUUAGAUUCAUUGGCUAAAAGAAAGUUUUUAGACCUGUGGUCCAAACAUCUGAAGGUGUAAAGUGUGAGAACCCGAAUUUUUACUUACUUUAAUUCUAUAUUACUGGCUUAGUUAAUUAUUUAUUCAACCAUUUUCUCCGAAUAAUUUAUUUCAACCAUUCUAAAUUCGUUUACAUGGAACAAUGUCUCACUUAUAUUUUUAAAACGUCCCCGUUAGCAAAUUUAAUUUUUCUGCGGCUCGUCUAGUAAGGAAUAACGAGUACACAUUUUUCCAGGCAAUAUUCGAUCCGAGAGUGCAAUAAUCUAGGAGAAUUAAGAAUGAUCAUUAGUAGACUAAGAAAAAUUAAUUGAAGAAUUAGAGGUGAGUGAGUUCAAAAUUUCGCUUUAUCGCGCGCGAGUCGAAAGUUCGUGCAUUUUGCGUCGGAACGACUAAGUGGAGAUUUGAGAAAUUAAUGUUAGACUCGUAAGUGUGAGUAAUUACAAUGUUAGAGGAAGUACCUUGGAGGAUUAGUACAUGAGUGUAUCAUACCCGAGAGAAAAUGAUUGUACGAAACCCUCGCGCGACAACUAUUCAAAGUUGACUUUUACCAAACUUAACCACUACUUUUCCAUCCAAGCUUCCAAGACAAGCCACAACACAGAACUCUUUUAUUUCUCUCUCUCCAUUUUCGGCCAAAGCAAGACAAGAAAAGGGAAGGAAGAAAGCUUCACAAAUCUUGCUCCAAUCUUGCUCCAAAUCUUCAUCCAACUUCACACCUCUUGGAAAUCAACUCUAGCUUGAAGAAAAACAACAUCUUGUGGAGUUUCUUGGGGAGUUUUUGGUGGAAAAAUCUGAUUUCAUCUAGGAUUUAAAGAGGUAACCUUCAUCUCCUUUAAUCUUUCCAAUUUCUUCAAGAUUUAAACUUAGUUUGCAUGGUUUUACAACCCUAAGCAAGAAACUAGGUUAGAGGACUUGAGGAAACCAUUUACUUUGCUUUAAUCUCUAGGCUAGCGGUCUUGAGGAGGCUUGUAGGUAGCUGCCUUGAGGAUUUUUUGCUUGGUUAAUGUUGUUUGUGUGAUGAAUGAGAGGAUUAUGGUUAGAAAAUGGAGAGAAAGUUGGAAAAUGGUGGAGGUUGAGCUGGCCGAAAAAUUCUGUCCAUGUUGUUCAGUUUUAUUUCAAAAUUUUGAUCCUUGGUUGACUGUGAAAUUGAUGGAUAUAUGUUGUAUAUUGUGUGUACAAAGUAUCUUUCAAAAAUCGUUUCAUUUGGUUGCAUAAAACUUGAACUUUGGCAAGAUUCAAAUCUGGAAAUCGUAUAGCAGGGGUACUCGGACAGUGCUUCUUUGUUUGAACGUAACUCUCUGUAAAAAAGUCAAAAUUGAGUGCCAUUUAUGGCAUUCAAAACUAGACAUUCAUAGCUUUCCAACGGUAUAAAGAUCUCCUGGUGGUUCAUUUUGAGUGAACCGUAGUGAGUCGACAAAGUUGGCUGUUCUGUUUUGACUGUUCAUACGAAUGAAACUGGAAGCUGCAUAUUGUGGCUCGAUUUUGUCGCACUUGUGGAAAGAUUUUCAAAAUGAUGUCUUCUGAUGAAUUGUAGAAUUUGGAACAUAUUUCCAACACCACUAACCAUUCUCAAUUUGAAUUUGUAUAGAGUUAGAUAUGGUUUGAUUUCGAAAACGCGAUAAAGCUGGAAACUGGAAACCUUUUCCCUUUCUUGUUGGCCGAAUGGUCAAAUCUGUUUUGGGAUAUUUUGCCUCAAAAAUUUUUGUGCCAAUUGCUUGUCAAUUUCUUAUUAAAUGUUUCUGGAACCUUGUUUUAAAAAAUGGAGUGAAUUGGGAUUGAUUUCAUUGGACAAAAACCUUUGGAAAGAAAGAAAGAGUGGGUUGGCAGAUUUGCUUUAAACAUUUCACAAACUUUGGUCAUUUUUUUAACUACCUUCCCGUUCGAGUUUUUAUCUAAAUUUUCAUAGAGAGGUAUUUCAUAUAUGGAAGUUUAAGUGUACCAAAUUUGGUGUAAUUUCAAGACCAUUUCGAUAUCCAAAUGAUGCCCCAAAGAUUGCUCUUCAAAUCUGGAAAUUCACUGUUGAAGUAGUAAAAAAAAAAUUAACCGACUUUAAGCUGUUAUAUCUUGUUGCUCAAAACUCCGAAUUUAGUUCCGCUUAUUUUGUUUGAAGAUUUAUUUGGAACUCUUAUUGUAUUACGAAUUUUAAAGGCUGAUUCACUUUUUAUGAAUUUUGCCGAAUUUCCAAACAUCGCCGAAAACCAAGACUGGUUCUAUCUUACCUUCUUCAAUCAGCAACUUUGAGCUGAAAAAUGAAUACUUUCCAUUUAGAAUCUUGGAAAUAUGUCUUCUAGGAACUUUUAGUACUUUGGAUUUAGUUUCUAACGGUAUAAAGUUUUCCAUUUUUGGACAUGCCAAACUCAAGAUUUGAUUUUCCAAAUAUUUUCACGCAAAGCUGAAAAUUCAUGAUUUCGUGGGAAAUGAGUUUUUGAGAACUUUUCAUUGUCUUUCGAUAUCAAUCAUCCGUUUUAAACUCAUUUUCAUGGAGGAUGCAAGUUUUUCUUGUGACUUUAAAUCCUCACUUUUGAAUCUCGAUUCUAGAGAUAUUAAAGCUCUUUUAACACAUUGUCUUAGUAUUAUGCAAGUGUACAUUCUUCCUUGUGUGGCAAGGGAUUUGUAAGUAUUUGUGAAUGAUAGAUAAUUGUUAUUUCUUCAGGCGCUCAAGAGGAUCUUGAACAAAAUCUCGGAGCCGAUCACUAAAGAUCUUAUUUUGCACUUACUCAUUAGUUUUGAAUUGGUGAGUGUCAAGUGCAUGAAUAAUUGCCAAUUAUGUAAAUUGCUUCUUAUUGAUUAAGUUAUUUACAAUUGUCGAGUCGAGUGUGUACUUUAUCGCACUCGUUCUCUUUUAAUUGAUUAUAUAAUUGAAUUGCUCAUAAUUGAAUGUAUAAUUGUGGUUGUAUCUGCCGGUUAGAGUGAAUCUCAUCGGCUUAUAAUUGUAUUUGUUGAUUGGAGUGAAUCUCAUAGACUCAUAAUAAAAAUCGGGGGACGCCCAAAUCUCAAUUGGCCGACCUUGCGACUCGAGCCAACAUGGGCUUGGUCGAGAAGCUCGAUUAACCAUGAGAUAAUCAAAAACUUUGUGACGACCCCACCUCCCCCUAGGGCGUACCCCAGGGUUUAGCGGACAGCCUGCCCAACUCUCGCCAAGACUCACUCACUCACUUCAAAUAAAAUAGGGUACAACCUCAAGAAUAAAGGAAAUAACAGUUACCAAGUUUGGAAAGUACAAAUAUGUUCAUUUAUGUCUCAACAUCCAUACAACCCCUAAUACAUCAAAACAUUGGAGUUCUAAAUACAUUCAAUCCUAAUCGAGCGAUUAGUGCGAGUACAAUUACAAAUUUUCAAAAAAACUAGACUACAUUAGCCUGUACCAGUCUCACGCCUCGCUCGUACUCCCUGUAAGGAAAACAAAUGGCGUGGAAUAAGCUAAAAAUUCAGUGAGGUUCCAAAUAGCAAAGUUGACUAUUAUUGAAAAGUUCACGUAUCAAAAUAGCAAAGUAGUGAGCAUAACAAGUCCAUAAAAGUGAGCAAUAACACUUCAAGUAGCAAAUCUCAAAAUGAGCGAGUGUAAAAUUCUUUUCUGUAAAAUUCUUUUCUAAAAGAAAUAAUAACACUACAAAUAACAACCAAGGUAUAAGAAUACAGAUGGCUCUCAAGAGCCAAUUUUUCGUUGCUUCACCAGAGCUUGAUCAAGUAUUAGUUGACACUCCAUCAACUUUCAAGUAAAGUAACCAAUCCAGUAGUGCUUCGGUUAACACCAAUCUGUCCACCAUUCAUUCCCCUUACCGGGCCCGAACACCAACUAAACACUGGUGGUAAUACUCGAGUAUACCGAUUAGUCGAGGAGAUAACACUCCACUCGACAACACUAGAUACCCAUGGUUCGUUAUCUAAUCGACCAAGCCCUUGCCAGCUCGACUCGAUUAACUAGCCAGUGGGGUUUGGGUUCCCAAGUAGUCACUAUAGUCGAUGACCAAUCGACUUAGUCAAGAGAAAAGUACGGAGACGGGAAUGAGAGGUACCUCCCACUCGUAUCGAGUGUGGUACAUACUGCCGCUCAGCACUUAAAAGUCAAGCACAAGUACAAAUACAAAUACAGAUCACUGCAAAUCAAGUCACUUGUACAAGCAUGAAUGAGAUAUCAAGUAUUUAGUUGAGUUAGGUCAAGUGCGAUAAAGUACACACUUGCCCGACCAAAUCAAGCAAAUUUUAUCCGAUCACAUUGGUAAAGCAAAUAUCAAGUUCAAUCAUGUAUUUGGAAGCACUCACCAAAGAUUUAGUGCUUGCCAAAAUUACGUUCAGGUGUAACUCCUUCGUUGGAGUCCAAAUCAGCGAUAAAACAUCGUUUAAGAGCUUUGAAAUUAACUAAGGUUCGAAACUUAAGCGUUUUGUUUAACGAAAAUCAAGUAACUGAAACUCAUUUAGGUAAUAUUCAUAUUACUUAUCAUACCCUAGAAAACUCAUGCUCGCUCUUUUAGUUAUGGUAAGGAAGUGAUUAAAACUUUAGAAUUCUCAUUUGAGUCAAAAAGAUGAAGAAAACGUAUUUCUAUUGGUCGCUACUUCCAUAUUUUCAAGGGUACGAGUUUUGGCCAAAUUCCAGCUUAUAUACCUCUACGAAAGAAGACUCGAAUGCCCUAGACAAUUCGAGUUCAAUUCAACCUCAAUUCUUCGCUCGAACCACAAGUACACACGUCUAGUCCUCGAGUGAGCGGCACGCCCUUUGUAUUUAGCUAUUUUCCAGCCAUUUAUGGCUUCAUUGUUUUCCUCAAAUCAGCCCCAAAGUCACACACAAGCAAUGUUAUCACAAUAGGCCUUCAACUAGGCUUAAUGUCAUUCAAUUACAAAACAAUACUAGUAAUAUGUUCGGAAACCAAGUUUAAGGACACACAAUAAAACAGUAGGUUUGACGUCUCUUGGCGUUUUGGUCACAACUGAAGCUACGCAUAUCGGUUUGGGGUACACUUUAUACCAUUUCGAAGCUAAGACAGAGAAAUACAAGUCUUAUGAAGACAUUGACAGCCAAUUCAUUCAUUUUCAAGGUCAAAAGGUGUAAUCUCAGAGAAAACAGAAAACUGUCCGCGAAACAGUGCAUAUGGCAGUCAGGGGUAAUUUUGUCAUUUCACAUGAUACAGUACUCCGAUUGAGCUGAACUUUUACAGGCAGCUAUAUAACUCCAUUCCCUACAACUUUCAUGUUUUGACCUAAGCCUGAUUAGGCCUCUAACAUGGACAAAUUAAACAGGUCAGAAAUAGGGCAGAUUCAUCCUUAAAGUUGGAAAUUUGAUGAUUCAAUACUUGAAAAUUACAUUUAUAUCUUGAAUCACAACCCCAAGUCCCUAUCCAAGCUCACCAACAUCAUAUACUAGAUAAAAAAAAAGAAUCACAACUAAAAAUAUCAAACCCUAACUAAAAAGUCCACCAUAUCAUGCAAAACUCACUAAUUAACCGUCAUAAGCCAAGAAUAUGAGUUUCUAUCCAAACUUAAACAAGAUCAAGGAAGAGGAAAAGGAAAGGCAGCCAUGAUACCUUCCAAAGGUCCUUUGUAAAUGAGAAAUACACCACUUUCUUCCCAAAUUUUCAGCACCCCUAGGCUUCCAAGCACCAAAAGGAGAGGCUAAUCGGUUUAGUUCGGUUACUUGCACUCAAACAAAGAUGGAUUCAAGGUGAAGGUUGCUAGUUUCUCUCUUGUGUUUUUCUGUCUUGAAGCUCGGCUGGAAUCUGCAGAAAUGAAGAGGAAAAGAAGUGAAUUUGGUGAUAAAAAUGAAGAAAAUUGGUUGGUCAAACAACCCUUAGAUGGUUACCACUUAUCACUCCAAGAUUAAGUCUUCAAUUUUUCUUCUUUUUCCCUUUCUUUUUGGUCAAUAAUUUCGGCCCUCUCUAGGAUAAUUAAGGGCUGAUAUUUCUGCAAUAAUAACAAGAAUAUUAAGGUAUUAAAGUGGUGUUCAAGUGGUGUACUCAAUCGGUAACAAACAGUACACGUCGGUUCAACCCGUUUUUCCUUAUUUCGCACGUACUAGAGUUUUAACUUAUGAUUCACUAACUUAUUAUUAUUACUUCUAAUCACACACUUUCUCUUAUCUAAAACUCACUCUUAAUCACCAAAAUUGAGUACACACUCCACACCGAUUAUUACUCUACCAAAAGAUGCAAAAACCCUAGUUUACCUUUAACAAUGAAAGUAAAGGAAAAACCCUUGGUCCUAUAAUUAAUUGUAACUAUUGAGGGAGUGAAUGAGUAGUUUGAGUAGUAAAACUAUCAUAAAGUAAUUGAGUCAAAAUAAAAGAAAAUUUUAAGAAAAUAUGAGCGAAUUUUCCAAUCGUCACAAACUUGAUCUAUUAAGAGAUCUCGUUUGGCAUACUCAUAGAGUAGUGCCUUUUAUAAAAGAAGUGCGGGCCCGGAGCAGGGGGUGUAACGGUGAGCGGGAAUGAAAAGUAAGUGGAGUUCUACGGACUUAAUACCUACUCGGUUUUGACGGAGUAUCAUCACAUGGAGAUAUUUGAUCGAGCCUUGGCGAAGCGAGUGGAAUCUAGCUCCUGAGAGCUUCUGUAUCCAUCAUGUGUGUUAAAGUUAUUUAUGAGUUACUUGAACUUCUUUGUUUUAUUUCUCGUACAAAUGCCAUUGCUACUUGAACUACGUGUUUGCAUGUUUUCUUUGCCUCACUGAACGUCAGCUCAUCCCAUUAGUUUUGUUUUCCUUAACAGGAGUUUGGAAUGGAAAGAAUUUUGGAGAAACCAGUCUAAUUACUUUUGAUUAGUAUUUUGGGAUGUAAUUGAUUAGCCGACUUCUAGUGGUUGUAUUUUGGGGAAAGUGAUGCACUUUUGAUAAUUAUGAUGUAAGACUUGAAAGUUUAUUUAAGGAAGCGACUUUUCUUUACUUCAACUAUUAUUCUUUGGUUGUUUAUCCUUAAAUUUGAAUUGGAUUCGUAUUGAGUCCUGGCGAGAGUUGAGCAGACGUUCCGCGGAUACCAUUGAGUUCGCCCUAGGGAGAAGUGGGGGCAUCACAUAAAGUCAGUAGGAUAUAAAUGGAUAUUUGCGGGCAAAAGAAAUUAGAAAAAUAAAAUUGUGAAAUAUAAAGCAAGCCUUGUAACUCAAGAAAUUUCACAAAGACUUGGAUUUGAUUAUGAUGAAACGUAUUCACUUGUAGUGGAUGCAAUCACAUUUAGAUAUCUUGUGAGUUUCGCAGUGCAUGAAAAACUUGAUAUGUGUCUAAUGGACGUAGUUACUAUUUAUUUAUAUGAAAAUCUUAAAAAUGAUAUUUAUAUGAGAAUCCGCAAAUGAUUCAACAUGCCUGAUGUAAAUCAAAUGCUAAAAAUAUUUAUUCUAUUAAAUUACAAAGGUUUUUGCAUGGAUUCAAACAAUCUGAAUAUAUGUGGUAUAACCACCUCAAUGAAUGCUUAAUUAAAGAAGAUUAUACCAAUAAUCCAAUAUGUCCAUGUAUUUUUAUCAAAAAAAAGGGUUAAAUUUUGUGAUGAUUGCUAUAUAUGUUGAUAAUCUUCAUCUAAUUAGAACUCUUGAAGAGAUCCAAAAUACUGUUGAAUGUUUGAAGAAAAAUUUGAGAUUAAAGAUUUUGGAAAGACAAAACUCUGCCUUGAUUUACAAAUUGAGUAUUUGGAAGGUGGAAUUUUUGCCCACCAAACUACUUCUAUCCAAAAGGUAUUAAAGCGAUUUUAUAUGGAUAAGACGCAUAUAUUAAGUACCCUAAUAGUCGUUAGUUCAUUGGAUCUUAAUAAGAAUUCUUUUAGACCGUGAGAGGAAGAUGAAUGAUAUUUAGUUCUAAAGCACUAUAUCUCAAUGUGAUUGAUGCACUAAUGUAUCUUGCUAAUUGUACAAAACCUGAUAUAUCAUUUGUAGUGAAUUUAUUAGCAAGAUUUUGCUCCUCUCCUACAACAUUGGAAUGAUAUUAAACAUUUUUUUUGCUAUCUCUACGGAAUGAUAUUUAUCAAAUCCACAUAAAAUAAAAUCUCAUACUGCUUAUCUAUUUACAUGUGGUGAUGCAGUUAUUUUUUGGCGAUCUACAAAGCAAUCAAUAGCAACCACUUCAUCGAAUCAUGUUGAAACAAUAGCAAUUUAUAAAGCCAGUCGAGAAUGUGUUUAGUUAAGACCAAUGACCCACUACAUCUGAAAGACUUAUGGGUUAUCCUCAGAGAAAAAAAAUCCUUCAACUAUAUUAUAUGAAAAUAAUGCAACUUGUAUAACUCAAUUGAAAGGAAGAUACAUUAAAGGAGUUAGGACGAAACAUAUUUCAUCAAAAUGCUUCUUUGCUCAUGAUUUGUAAAGAAAUGGUGAAAUUGAAGUGUAACAAAUCCAAUCAGAUAAUAAUUUGGUAAAUUUAUUUACCAAGGUAUUACCAACUACAACUUUUGAGAAAUUUGUAAAGAAUAUUGGAAUGCGUCAGGUAAAAAAUCUCAAAUAAUGUUUGCAUCAGAGGGAGAAAUUAAUACACAAGAAUAGUGUACAUUUUUAAUUUCAUUAAGAUUUUUGUCCCAUUGAAUUUUUCCCUAAUAAAGUUUUAACGAAGCAUAUUCUGUGUAAUUGACAUUCAAGUGAGAAUGUUAUGAAACAACUAAAGAUGUGGAUGUGUAUUCUUGAGAAGAUUGAUUCAUGAAUCCUCCACAAUAUCCAUUGGUACAUUGAAUGAAUUCUAUUAUUAUUCGUUAGUUCAUUAAUAGAGCCAUCCUAUUUCUGAACAAGUGUUUAAUAGGAUUCAUGUAUGUAUAAUCUUAUAUUACCCAUAUAUAGAGGUAUCAUAACCUCUCAUGUAACAACUUUUGAUCAAUUAAAAUAAUAAGAAAAUAAUUCUCAAUUCUCUCUCUACUUCUUACUCUUCAGUUUAGUAAUUUAUUUUAUUAAUUUCACAAUAUACUUUACUUUAUUUUUAUUUAUUUGUUUGUUUAUUGGGAUUUCAAAUUCCCUACAAGCUUGUUAACCCUCACUAUUAUCUCAAUAGAUACAGAACUACCCAUUCCAUGACGCCUAAUAUUUCUCUGUUAUACUAACACAUUAUACAGCCAAAGUAACAAAAUACAGUCAAAGAGGAACGGUUUCCUGGCUUUUAUGUUCCUAUGACCGCCGUUCUUGACUUCUUCUCCAAUCAAAAAUGACAGGUAAAACAGAUUUCUUGAUUGCAAACGACUGAACAAUGACAAAUACCAUUGAGAGCGACGGAGUGAUCAACCAUAGCUUUGAUCUUUUAAGAAUGCCAUUUCUUACAAAUUACGAACUGGUUGCACCAAUAAGAAUAUAUACGACAUAUUUCACUCACUAAAGAUCUAUAAUGCAUGUUUUUACAAGAUUUAGUGUGAUGCAAUUCAAUCUGCUCUCGGCAACAAAUAAACUCAAUUUAUCCUUGAGCUGUUCCUCCUUCCCCACCAUUUUUUUCUUCCCUUGUCCCCAGACCCCUCGUCACUUCCAAGUUUGUGAAGAAUCACCUUUGUUUCACGCAGUCUUGACCCGUAAUCCUUCUUCCAAGCCUCAAACAUCUGUUUUAAUCUUCUAAGCUCACGAUCAGGGUCCAGAUUUGCCUCAGCUUGACCUGAUUUUACUUCCACCAAAAAUUUGGCAUCGUCACCAAACACUUGACUUCUUUGCUCAAACUCUUCAGCUAAUCGGCUAAUCACACUUAGACCUGCAUUCAUUGGUCUCAUCCCAUUGCUGUCAGAAACCCUAAAGUUGCUUCCAGCAUCCCAACUAGUCUCCCUGUCAUCACUUGCAUUUACAGAUGCGUCAGAAUUCCUGUGGGAAUCAUCAAGAGCCAGGCUUUUCUUUGCGAUUGAAAGGCUGGACUGCAGGGAUCUCAUUUGCUUCUGCCAUACUUCUUCCAUGGACUUCAUUUUCAACUCAUAUUCAGACCACCGAUUCUCAUAUUGUUGGAGCCGUUGGUGAAGUAUGUCAUUCUCCUCCUCCUUCUCCCUCAGAGCAGCUUCAGCUUUAAGAACCCUGCGCUGUAGUUCAGCAAGAUAUGAUGACUUAACUAAGAAGUCUUCUGACCCAUUACCCUGGUUUAAAAAAGAGGCAGAAAAAACAGUCACAUCUGAUGCACGAUAUAGUCAAUCAAUAAUUGUAGGGACAGAAUAAUGAACAGAAAGUCAGCAGUAUUUUAUCGCUAAAUUGUGACUUAGUGGGUAGGAUAAACUCACUCUGCAUGUAAGAAAUUAAAACCUUGAAACUAAAAUAGAGUCCAUACAUGAAAACAAACACCAUCAACUCCACUUUAACUCUAAAGCUUGAUUUGGAACUUUGCCCCUGAAGUUAUCAAAGCUCCAAAACAGUCACGUCUGACGCAUAAUAUCAUCAACCUUAAUCAUAGGGACAGAAUAAUGAACAGAAAACCAGCAGUAUUUUACUGGAUUGUGACAUUUGGGUAGGAUAUACUCACUCUACGUGCAUGAAACUAUAUCCUCAAAACCAAAGUCCGUGCAUAAAAACAGUUACCAUCAACUCCACUUGAACUCUAAAUCUUGAUUUGACACUUUGCACCUGAAUUUGUCAAAGCUCCAUUUAAACACCCCCAACCAAACCCCCCCCCCCCCCAAACAAAAAAAAAAAAAGAACUGUUGUUCACAUUGUUAAUAUGCACGCACAAACUCUUUUCAGUAUAAUCUCAACCACUAAAGCCGCUUUACAACCUUGAGGAAGGUUGGCAUGGAAUGCAAUCACAUACUUUGUCUACUUCAGUUACAAGUGAGAAAGCUUUGGGUGCUUUAUGACAUAAUGGUAAAUUUAAAAGUUUAAAAUGAGGAAAACAAAAGCUCAGUGUGCUAUAAAUGAGGACAUUUUUGGUAACUUCAGAAUGCAAAUAUACCAAAUGCAAGUUGAAAAUGUAAAAGGCUAGGGGUAGAAUGUAACAUCUGGACUUGAUAUAAAUAUAGAAGACUUGCAUUAGUCAAAAUUACUUGAUCAAAUGACUAUGAUAAAACGCGAGCAAAGUCGCUAUGUUAUAAGCAUUUCAUAGUAGCUUUAAUGAGAUGACAAAAGAACAAACGAAGUAACUAACCCCGCAUCUACAAUGCAACAUAAUAAUAUUCACCCAAGAAAGAGAUCAAAGAACAUUUGUGCUAAUUAUGAACUUAAAAUCAUGGCAGUCGGCAUGUAAUAAGGCAAAGCUAAGCCAUGAUUUUAAGUUUCAGAUUUAAUUUUUUUCACGAAACAGGUUACAAAGUUGACAAACUCUACAUAGCAAAUAGUUGCCCAGAAUUACUGUAUACUAGCUCCUAAAAAGAAUGGAGAGAAGAAUUUUGCUUACCAUCUGGUUCAACAUAAUAUCCUCAAAGACAAUGAUGUAAUAAAUGUACAAAGAUGAAUUCAAAAUUGACAUUCACAUGUCAAGAGAUUUAAAUAUUGAUGUCAGUAAUAAAAAGUUGCUUCUACAAACUUGAAGAUUAUUUAAUACGAUGCAAAAGUAAAAGCAGAGCUCACCUUUUCUGAUCCAAACUGUAGUAGCCCUAUGUCUCCUGAGCAUCUUCUAACCAACCAGCCACGAAUAACUAAAUGGUGAAAGGAAAGGAAAAAAAGAAGCAAACGCCCCACAUCAAUACUUCAACCAAAAGCUAAUUACAAAAUAUGGACUACUUGAAGCUAGCUAAAGCUUGACAAACACUUCCGCAUCCAAAAGAUUUUCAAAUAAAUGAAUUGUUAACAUUUAGCGUCCGAUCACUUAUCAUAAACAAAUAGUUUAGAUAUCAUUAAAACAUCUUUCCACUUCCUUUUUUAAAAUUAUACAAAACAGAGGCCAUUUCCAAAGCUUGGCCAAACAUAAGAGUAUUAGACAAGUACAGGGAUCAAGUACUGGCAGUUUAAGGACCCUCAAGUCUUGAGCAAACUGUAUAAUAAGAUAAUUAAGAAUAGGUCUAACUUCAAAAGAAGCCAAAAAAAUUCGGAUAAGGAUCCUCAAAUCUUGAUCAAACUGUAUAAUAAGAUAACUCUGAAUAGUUCUCAGUUCUAAACAAACAAAAUUCUGAUAAUCACCUGAUUGGAUUAAAAUUGAUGCAUCAGAAACAUUUUUAAAUCUUUUUGUAGUAUGCCUGGCUUUUACUUGCUUCUGUAUACACACAGCAGCUCUAUGCCUCUCCAAUAGGAUAGCAUACUCUUUCCUAGCUUUCUCACCACGAAUAACUGCACAGAAAUGGUAAAAUAUAGUGACAAAUAAGCAUCAGGUAUCGAUUAUCAUGUCAAAACAAAUACAACAAACAGGAUUUGAAAGAAAUAUACAAGACUGCAGAGUGGCAAUUCCUCUCCUCAGAUUCCUAAUAUGGCAACGAGCUUGAUAACCUCUAAAGCAGCUUUGAACGCGCAAGAUACCAUGGAGAGUACGAUUUCUUGUGUCCUCAAGGACUCCUAUCUGAGAAUUUUUACGAUAUAAUGAGACAAAAUUACAUGAGGAAAUGCAAAUAUCUACCAAAAUCUUCAAUGAAGACAAUUAUGGGAUCACAAAUAGAUAAUACUUUCAAAAAGUAAGAAACUAGUCUUGAUUAUAGCUCAAGGCUUCCUACUUGAAAUUGCAGUACAUACUUUACAAUGGGCAUACUAUAGCUUUGUCCACAUGCAACCAUUCACAGACUCUGAGGUUUCUUCCCAUUUACAUUACCCUUUGUAACCCAAACUCUUGUGCAAAGGAGAUACAUGAAUCAAGACUAAUAAAACAUCACAAAUUCAUAAUGCAUGAAAACUCCAAAUUUAUUGAAAGUGGACAUCAUUUGGAUACACUAUAAAGGCAAGUAAGACAUUCAUCUACGUUAAUUGAAUACCUACACAACUGGACUUUAUACUCAAAAGUUCCUUGUGUAUUACUCAUGGUCUUGGAAAGUAAAAUAUGCUAAGAGAUUAUCUUCACUUGAUUUUGCAAACUGGGGCCCUCCACGUACAAAGGGGAAAGAUAAACACUUUGUGUAAAAAAAAAAAAAAAACUAAUCCAAGAAAAUGAAACAUGCAUAUUGUGUAUGCGCAUUUUUGCAGAUAAUUCUUUAAAGUUCUUAGAAUCCUCAAUUACAAGCAAUAUAACCAGGUUACAUGUGAAAGCGAAUCAACUUCAUCUCUAUGCCAGCAUAUCCCAGCAAUGCAAGCAAGUAACGAGAUGCAAAUCCUUCCUGGCUUGUUAGAAAUCAAAAUGCAGAAAAUUAUUCACAUAAAAUUAGGUUCCCAAAUAAGAGCCAAGCUCUUAAGGAGCUUGCAAAUUUCCAGUAUACCAAAAAUCUGGCCUUAAGACAGGUAACUCAGAAAAAAAGAUAACAAAAUACAGUGCGAGCCCUUCCCUUAAGUGAAUGAGCCCUCCCCCUUUCAGGAGCAACAUUACAAUAGCACAUCAUGCUCUAUAUCAUCACAGUAAUUCAUGUUAAGAGUGACUAAAAGGUCAAUUCAGGCCUAACUGUAAGGUCUUUACAUAGUAAAUAGAGGCUGUAUUAUCUGCAGCAUCUUGUUCAGAUUUAGAGGACUAAGAGGAUCGAAAUUGCAUGGACAGGAGGCAGAGAGGAAGCAAGAGGAAUUACUUUUUAGUUUGACAUUGACCAAAACAAGACGAAGUUUCCACAACUUGGGAACUAAAAGUCAGAGAGAUUUUUCUCCAGUUUCAUGGUCAGGGAUAGGGAAAUUGAGGCAAGGUUAAAGUAAAAAUGAAAGGAGAAUGAUAAACGAUGUAAAUAUUGAUCUCACCUGUCCAGUACGGAAGAACAACUUUGUGUAGCCAACUUGAUACAUCUCUGGUAGAAUAUUGAACUGAUGAAGAAUCGCAACUGAAACACUAAGCGGAUCUUGUGAUGCAACAUGGUCUAAAAGAAGAAAACCAUACCUGAUGCAGGAAUGACAUUAGAUAGCAUAAAAGGAAAGAAGUGCAAGGCAACAAGUAAUUUUCAGAGCAGAUGAAGUGAGGUACUGUUUGUUUUACCUUCUAGCGAACUUUUGAUGAGACAUUCUGGUAGGGAAACCAGAUCUAGAUAUUCGAACCACUUCCAAGACUCCACAGCAUCGCAGUUGCUGCAAAACUAGUUUUUGAUCAUAAACCCCCGGAGAUUGCAAAUUAUUGGGCUUGAUACAGCGUAUGAAAUGUGGGGUGGUGUUCUCAAGACGGUGCAUCAGUUGGAAUAAUUGGCCCUGACACCCACCAGAGGACCAAAGAUGAGCUAUUAAGUAUAUAUAUGGUCUCUAAGAAAGCAAAAUCAAGAAACUGCAUAUUCCACGAUUACAAAUUAAAAUCACCAAUAACACCAACUAUGCACUUUGAUUACCAUUUCUCUGUCAUAAAAAUCACUUUGCAGAUGCAACAUCAUGUCAUAUAUUGGUUGAACCAAUCACAGCCAUGCGCGGGUCUAAGGGACUAACAGAAAAUAAUAAUCAAGUAACUUGACUUCCUUAAAAGGCAGCUCGCACCAACGGCCAAUGAUGCCUAAGUCAAUAACCCUGCUCCUCUCCUCCAGAACAACUCUCCCCCCAACCCAAAAAAUUUAUAUUCUGUCCAUUUAAAAAGUUUUAAAAAAUAUUUUUAAAAAAAACCUAAGAGGCAAAAUAAAAUGUCUUCCAAGAAGGAUUAAAGUAUAAACAAAAAAAUCUGAAAUGAAGAAAAGUAAUCAUAACUAAUCUACGUUCAAAGUUCAAAAUCGGGUUGAACUAAAGCAACUAUGUUUUCAGUUUUGAGAACUUGAACUGCAAAGACUCAAAUCAAAACAGUGUGAUUUUAAACUAUUGCAUAAUAACUGCACCCAUAUUGAUACCUUAAGAGAAAUUUUAGUCAACAAAAACAUCAUUCCAUCAUUACAAUGUAAUCCGUGUAUAUUCACUAAAGGUUCCAAAACUAGGCAGUUAAAAUGAACAGAGGUUAAAGCAUCUAUGGCAACAUUUCCAAGGUGGGGACCACAAGCACAGUUGCUGACACUCUGAAGCAUGAUAGCAUUAGAGCCGAUUAACAUUUCCUCUGAGGCACAUCCACUACCUGCUCUCCAACAAUCCCUCAGUCCCAAGGGGAAAAAAAAAGUCUGAGCAGUAGAAUAUUUCAACUGCUCUGACUCAUAGUCUUGUCCAGGGGAUUGAAAUCUUAGUUCUCCCCAUCAUUAGUUUCAGCAUUGUGACUACUUCACUAGAACAUGCACAUAAAACAUCACAAACUGGUAUCUGAGUUGAGCAAAUAAGAAUUAUAGCAAGAAGAUCCAAGGGAUGUAUUCAUAUUCCUGAAAACUUUCAUUUAUCCAAACCAUACAUGAUACUCAAUAUUAUUUAUAAUAUAUUUGCGAAGAAAAAAGUUACCUUAAACUUUGUGGCAACACUUAACUUUUGAGACUCAACUCCACCAGAUUUAUGCAAUGGACCAACUACAGGCUUCUCUGAUUGAGUAAGCAUGAUUGAAGCAAAUAUUUGAGGAAGAUGGCAUGUGCAAGAAGAUAGAAGUUGAAUAGAGUCCAAGUGUAACAAGUCUCGGUUCUUCUCCAGAAAUCCAGUUGUAUCAUAUGUGACCUGAGAAGACAAGCAAGCUUUAAUGAUGCAAGCUUCUCUGAUUGAGUAAGCAUGAUUAAAGCUUUUAUGAUGCAAGAAGAGAAAACACACAGCACAUGGGUAGAAAGCACAAGUUUGGGAAAAAAUUUAGUAGUUGAACAGAGUAAAAAGAAAAUAUUUAUCAUAAAAUUGCUUAUAUUGUCCUUUAAUUAGAAUUCUUCUCAUCCAAUCCAGUCUUUCACCUUUUCAGUUUAGCACAUUUAGUCCCCAAUCAUUUAUAUUACAUCCAUCAAGAUUAAUGCAGUAAUAGUUAAAUUUGGAAGAAUAUGAAGCCAAUUGUUCUCGUUUAAACAAAUUUCCACUGUAGGGAUUCUGUAAAUCUCAAAAACAGAAUAGAAUUUUCCUUCCCUGUCCUUCCAGCAGUAGGUUUACAUUUUCAGCCUUUUCUGGUGAAAAAGUCAAUUCUUAAAUCUUUUUUUUUGUUUGUGUGGGUGUGUUUUGGGGGGGGGGGGGGGGGGUAAGAGAGGGAUGAGCAGACAAGUAGAAAGCAAAUACAAUCAUAAAGAUACAUACCUCUCCUGCAUAAUGGCAUACAGAAAAGGCAUUGUCUCGUUCACCUCGAAAACAAGAAUUUGCUUUUAGAUGCUGCUUGAGCUUGUUGGCAAAAGUCAUGUCUGUCCCAUUCGGGAAAGUAGACUCCUCAUCUAGCAAAGACAACAGACCCAAUGGUUUCUGCAGAGGACAAGAGAAAUUUCAAAAAGCACAUCUUUGACAAUCAACUAGUGAACUAACACUCUUCUCUUGUGUUCAUACAUUCAAUAGCAUAACUUGCCAACAAAAAUAACAUAUUGCACAAAGUUGCAUGUAUAUAAGAGGACUGGCAUGCUAACACAAUCCUAGUUGUCUGCAGCAAAAGUCAACAUCCAUUCCUUAAACACUAUUAAAGGGCUUUUUAGUUCACUAUUGCAUUCACAUGCAAUAAUACAGAAUCUGUCAAUAAGAAAAUUUGUGCCAAUACCAAGCAAAAUAAAUAUGGGAAAUUUCACUACCCAAAUUGACAUAUAGAAAGAGCGCUCUUCUAAUGCAUAAAGGGCAAAAGACUGCAGCAUACCUUCUCAAAAAGAUUCAGGCAAUCUUGGUUGUCUUCGAAAUCAACUUUUGCCCAAUCAAUGCCAUCUUGAAUAUAUUCCUGGAACAUACUAAGCAUUAAUGAAUUUCAAAAGGAGUUAAAAGAGUUCUAUGGAACAACAUGAUUAAUGUUUCUUAAAAGUUCCACCUAUAACCAAAUUUCCAAGUACAAGAAAUCAAAAUUUUCAUAUACCACCAGCAACAAUGUUUGGUGAUUCAAAUUGAUUAUUGAUUUUGAGACCUAGAAAAACAUACUUUUGCUGUGAAAAAAACAAGCUCAAAGCUGUGAGCAAACAUGAGCCUUUAGCCAAUUAAAACUACAAUGCAUCUAAUAAUGCGAGGUAAAAAAUUCAUCCUUUGUAUUCAGAAUAUCAAAGUUGCAUGAGAUAGCCCUUCCUGAUUAUUCAAUUAUACAGUGAUGUUGUCCAAACUAGCAUAAAUUGUGUCAACUAGAACAGCAAUCUAACCAUGCAAAGCAGAUGACCUACUAAAAGUCACUUUCUUGGCCCACAAGAAGCUAAAAGCCGUUGCACUUGAAAACUUGAACUUGAUGAACUCUACCGUAAGGUAAUAUCUAAUCCAUAAAAUGUUUGUUUUUUCGCAUUUUUUAUUGUUCCAACUCCUAAGUACACCAAAUCAGUAAACAACUCUACCAGAUGCUAACCAUCCACAGUAGAAGUGAAUCUGAUAUGGAAUGAAGUCUAUGAUACAAUAUCUUUCUUGAACUGAACCCAAUAACUUUAAAUGCCAAAAACUGAUUACUUUUUUCUAGAUAGGGGGAGUACAAGUUAAUGCCAACAGUCUAGACACAUGCAAAUCAAAUCCAUUCUGAAUCCAUCUAGUCAAGAUCUGGAUCUGCAUGAAGAAUCAACUACUCGGAUGCAGUUUGGAACCAAUCAUAUACUUAUCCAGAAGCAGUUUCAAGCAGUUCAUACACCUUAAUGAAUAUAUUAAAUUAGAUCAUGCUCUACCGAAAGGCUAUCGUCCCAGAUGCAGUAGAACAUGCUGCCAGUCAUUUUGUCAGAAGAUGGCGUGACACCUCAAGGAAAGUUUAACAGCUUUGCCAGCUUUUUCAGAUUGAAGAGUAUAUAGCUGCUACCAAUCCUUAGUCUGUUGCUAGUAAUGGAUUUUCUCAAUGACAAGCAAAUCAAAUUCAGUUCUCAACAGAGCUCUUCAGAUUCAUCAAAUUUAUAGCUAACUACUUCUGCUUUCUUUUGCAAAAGUGUAAGAAGAAGAAAUGGCAUUCAGCUUUACAUUAGGCCAGCUGCAGAAGAAGAACUACAAAUCAGCCUAGCAUUCUACACAGUUAAGCCCAUUGUUUUUUCAAAGUGCAAGGACAUCCCAUACUAAAAAGCCAAGGUUUGUCACUAACUACAUUUAGGUUUCAUUUGAAAAAAAGAGUACAUAAGCCAUAAAAAGUUAAUGAUUAACUAACUACAUAACAUGUGCAUAUAUCCGUGGGUGUAUGUGUCCAGGAAUGUAUGUUAAUGUAUUUGCUUAGCAUGAAAUAUCCUAGAAAUCAGAAAAAUAAAUAAAAUCCCAAAUCCACGAAAAUAUAAGAAUAUUAGAUCUGAACAUCAGGAUUCUGCCUUCAGUAGAAAAACAGAGGUAAAAGAAAAAUAUGGUUUAAGAAGUUACCUCUUGCUCCAACUUAAAUAAGUGACGAUUAAAGUGCUGCUGCAGCCUUUCGUUGGCAUAGUUGAUGCAGAACUGCUCAAAACUAUUCCUCUGAAAUAGAAAAUAAAAAAAUAUGAUUGCCUCUAUUUUUAUAUAGGAGAAAUUUUGUACACAAAAUAAUAUAUUAUAGAUAGUGAAUAAAAGGCAAACAGAAAGUCCAAGGAAAUACUUCAAAUGAUUCAAAUCCGUAUAUAUCAAGGAUGCUGAUUGAUCUUCCAGUCCGACGUUUGCCAACUGCAAGAGAUUUGUUAAUUUGCUCCACCAGCCAGUCAAACAAACAAGAGUAAAUCGAUUUUGCUAAGGCGUCUCUUGUGUCAAUGGCCUAAAAUUGAGGAAAAGAACACUCAGUUUUGCAAAUCUAUACCUUUCAUUGACAAAUGAAGAUGUGAUUCUUACCUGUGAUAGAGUUAGCUUUUGAACUAUGAUGUCAUUCCGCACUUUCAUUUUCCGAGUUGACAACGCCAGCUUUAGUUCUGCGAUCCCGCAACCAAUUAAGGUUGCAACAUUAACUAGACCUGCAAGGUCAAGUAUCCAAUAUUGGGUGAGUUCAAGCAAACUCAUCCAUGAGAAAUUCAUAGCUUGCACAGACUGAAUAUCUUGCACAAUUUUAUAACGAUAUGGAGGAAAGGGAAAAACAAUUCUGCUCUCUUUCCCAUUUAUCCAUGAUCUUAUUCCUGUCCAGCUGAUCUUAAGUUGCAAAACUCCAAAACACAAUAAUCCAAUUCCAUCUCUAUUUACACAUUAAAUUGCUUGGAUAAGAUUAUAAAAAAAAGUAACCCAAAUAUUUGCAUUUCCUAGUCAUACGCAUAAGGAUAAAUAUCUAAAAGGCUAAUUCAAAAAACCAAUUUUGAAAGCAAUAGAUUAAUGGGACUCCCAAGACUUUGACGAAUAUGAUAUACACAGGAAACAGACAAUUCUAACAAAGAAUAAUCAUGUACAUCUUCAUCUGAGUACUACAAAAAUAAUGCUCUUAUACCAGACACAAAACUAAGUAAAGCACUGUCUAAGAUUUAUAAUAACAUAUUCCAAUUCAAGUCACUGUUCAGGGUCAGACAAUUGCAGGCUGGUAGGAGAUCCUACUUGUAUUUGGUUCCACUUUCCAUACUUAAGCACGCGCCAAUACUACAUUCAGUACAACUAUCCAAAGGCAUCAAGCAUGUAGCUGACAUGUAUUACUGAUGAAACAACUACUUACUUCUGCCACCAUCUUGUAAUAGUGAAGUCUUUUUUAUGAAUCCAAUGGUUGUAAUUGAAGGAUUUCAGUAAGCACAUGAUUCUUGCCUCAAUCAAAUAUAUAAAAGUAGGGUCUAAUGUCGGGUGCAAGUACAACUGUCCAACAAGGUUCGCCUGGAUUUGCUAACUUUGACAGAUAAAUUCGUGUCACCAUGAUAGUUCAUGACAACAGUAAUUAGUAUAGUCCAAUAGAUGCUCAGUAGACAUGAGUGGCCAUUAAACCAUUCUACAAUGCACAAGCUCUCAUACACAACUUAAACAAUUUGCAUAUAAUCUGAAUAAAGUGGGUUAUGUGCCAAACUCCGGCAUAGCCAUUUAAGCAAAUCUCAGUAUAAAAUCUUUCAACUGUAAACUAAUGUUCCAAAAUUUCCAUAAUUAGCCAGGCUAAUGGAUCCACAAUCUUGGAACAGUUUUCCACAAUUUUGUCUACAUUCCUUAUUCUAUUUCAUAAGAACCUUCUCAACUUAAUUCUACAGCUGGAUUAUCACAACAUAAUUAGCAAUGCAACAAAAAAAAAUAGAUGACCAGUCCGCAUAUUUGUCGCAUCCAGCAACAAACAAACAAAAAAAGCAAGACAGACACACAAACAAAAGUAAAGAAGCAAUUUGAUUAAAAUUAGCUCUAGAGUGAAUUAAGAUUAGGACUAUGGAUAGGACACAGCAAUUAAUGCAACUGACAUACAUUUCACAUGUCAACGGCUAAAAAUAAAUGUAAAAGAACAUUUUGGAUGGUGAUGCACUGCCUUAGAAACAUAUGGAUUGGCAUAAAAAUCAAUUAAAAUUUUGUCUUAAAGCUUAAAGCAGAACAAAUCUGAACUCCUAUUUCCACUAUCCAAAUUGAAUUCUGUGCUACAACCACCUGAUGCAUGUUCACCUUGGCGCAGAACUCAAAUGUACAGACAUUUGCCUUCAUUUAAAAACCAAAGGUUAUUAUAUCUCAUUGGAAAAUUUUCUGACAUUUUCUUAAAGUGAAUAUGAAUUUAGCCAGCCAGAAAAGUUACCAAGACCAAGAAAUGAUCAGGAAGCAAGAAUACAGCUAAGAGAUAGUAGUGUAAUCAGAAAACUUAGAUACGGUUUUCCUAUAAAACAUUACCUUCAUCCUCUACAGGUUCCACGUGAUUUUCGUUAUCAAGAACAGUAAAGGAGAUAUUUCCCAGCCAUAAAACAGCAGAAAGCAUUGCAAAUACACUUUCUUGGUCUGUUUUGCUAACAUGAACAACAUCAAGAGCUUCCUGAUUAAAAAAAAGAAGAAGAAUACGACUUAAUCCAUUUGUUUACAUUACUGUGAAGCUACUCUUCUUUGACAGGAAAAAGCAUAAUAAAAGCGGAAUAACAGCUUGAAUUCCCAUAUCUGGUUUAACAAGACAGAAAAUGACAUAUCAGAAACAUCAAAAAGUACCUGCACAACACGAAAUUGUUCAGCAUCAUCAACCCCAGAAAUGGCAUGGCAAUUGCUCUGACUCAAAUACUUAUAUUCGUCCCAAUUUCUUAAAUACAAUUUCUCUGUCAAAAAACAGACAAGAAAAAUAACAUCGAAGUGCAGUAAUUAACAAUUGCAACCAGAACAAUGCAAGACAAUGGAACUAGAAACAUAAUUGGAAGCACCAUUUCAAUAGGGUCAUAAUAUCGAAUGAAAACCACAUAUACAUUCCUAAUUUGCUCUCAACAAGCGUACCUCAAAAGAAGAGAAGGCAGGAUAGGAAAACAGGAUAAUUGAAGAAAUUUGCUUCAAAGGAAAAGGGAAGACAAGGUAGUUAAAGAAAAAAUCAUUUUGCUCCAGAGAAAAGGAAAAAGCAAAAAAUUGCCUUUCUAAUUUUGCAAAUGGAAGUUCCAGUAUUUCUUUGUUAGCUUCAAUUCUGUUUAAAGAUAUUGCCUUGUUUUAACACUUAAAAAUACCAAUCACCAUAAAAGAAAGCUAUACCAGGAAAAAAUAAAAGAAUCCAAGCAUAAAAAGAGGCACCAAAAUAUUGACACACAACUAAGAACAAAACGUAACAACUAUUUAACUCAGACAAAUGCAUUAUGGAAAUGUUGCAACCUCUAAGGCUCUUUGGAGCUCCCCUACAGAGCUGAUAAAAGAUAUGGUAUGACCUUUCUCCUUCUGUGCAUUGGACCACCCUGGACUGUGCAUAAAAAAUUAAUUAGGUCACAUAAAUUUGAAGGAAAAAAAACAUAAAUGAAAAUCACUAAGUAUGCUGGAUGGGAUACCUUUUCUAGUAAAACUGCAGCAAAAGAGAAUCGUAUUUGAAGGGAAAGGAAGACAAAAGUCAGUUUUCUGUAAUACCAAAAAUUACAAAAUCUUAAAAAGUACUUCAUUGCAAGGACAAAAUGCUGGGCAUCUUACAAGUUUGAAUAUUGGCACCAGCUAUUUUUCCAGUUUCACUGAAGUGAAUUUCAAUCAGCUUCCCCUGUUGAUUUUGCAAGAGGAGGUUGAAAAGUUCAAAAGUGACCUUCUGGUGAAUUGAUUAGAACUCAAUCAAAAUGCACAUUUAACUGAGGUUCACGCACAGAACAUGAAACUUACAAAUCGACUUGAGUUGUCAUUCCUUAGUGUUUUUGCAUUACCAAAGGCUUCCAGUAUUGGAUUUGUUUUCAAUAUCUCAUACUCUAUCCCACUUCCACCUCCUAAUGCAGCCAAAUACUGCAUUGCUAUUUUUGCUGUCUCUGUUUUACCAGCUCCACUUUCCCCACUGGUAAAACAACAAAAUAAAUGAGGAAUACAAAUACAUACUCUUUUAAAUUUGCUUACAACCCCAGAAAGAAUAUUAGAUAAAACAUUCCUCUAAUUUUUGCCAGAUACCAUUAUCUAAAUCAAGCAUCAUAUGUCAAAUUUGUGAAAAUUACUUCAUAUGGUAAUCACGUAGUUGACAUCUGCUCUGCUAAAGAAACUGGGAAUCCAAAAUCAAAUCCAAUUGGAAAUUAGUCAAACGACCCAACAUCGGCAUGCUUUGUUUCUAAAACCUUGGGGACUAGGCUUAACGCCCCCUGCCCUACUCUGACAUGACUCAAGAUUGGCGAACCCAUGAAGAUUGAAUGGGAUUCGGAGGAGAGUAUAGAACAAAAGGAGGCACUUCACAAGAAUCUACGAAAAUUUGGUGGGCCUCACAGGAGCCCAUGAAAUUGAGACAAGCUAAGAAGGAGCUGAGUCACAUGCGGAAUGAUAUCAAUGGGGGUUUCAGUUGAAGAAUCUGAGUAUUGAACUCAAAACCAAUUGGCACUGAGUGGGUGACCAACAAUCCAUUAUCUUGCUUCCAAAAAUUUUGGGAACAUGAUGUGGCAGUAAGUUUCUCAACAAACUUCAAGACUAGAAGGUUUCUUCAUGUCACAAUUACAAAUCUCAAGUGAGUCACACAAAUGUCAAUUUUUGGCAGCAACUGACAGUGCAUAUAAACAUGAAACCGUAUCUUUGUCUCCUAAGUACGGAGACAAUUGUCUGUUCCACAUUUAGUAGUCCAAAGUAAAGGAGGCACGAACCCAACCAAAUAAUUUCAUGUGCAGAACAUAUAAUAGUUCCAAGGUAAUAAUAAUACCUCCCAUCCCGCCAACUGCAAUAGUAGGAAGACUAAUAAUCUUUCUACAGUUUAACAGAAACUUAAUAUAAGGGUGAGACACUUUUUGUCGCAUCAGAUACCAAAUAAUAAGCCUAAAAUUUUAGGGGGACAAGUUACAACUUUAUGUAGAGGUGGCUCUGGGUAAAUUAACAACACGAUCCUCACAUUUGAAUCCAUAACCAUGAGAAAUGCCUUCGCACAUAGAAAGUGUUACUUUUUCAAAGGGCAAAAUGGGAAAGCUAGUAAAGCUAUGUGUCCCCAUUUACAAGGCAACUUUUAUUUUUGGAAAUCAAAGAGAGGGAAGCACGAGAUUGACAAUGGAUGGAGUAUAACAUGUUAAUGACCAUUUUAAAUGUCCUCUUACCUCAUGGUUGCACGAAUAAUCUCAACUGAAAAGGCAUUACAACAAUCUAUAUGACCAUUCCAAAAUAAUUACCCAACAAAAAUUGGAGCAAGUGCAAGAACUAGCAGUAAGAUGCCAGCUUUGACUACAAGCCUCCGAACACAAAUUCUCAACUAGCAGAUUUGCUAGAUCUUUUCUAUAGAUUACAGGGAUAAGAUUCUUAGGAAUAGAUAACAGAUUGAAUAACUUUCAAAAGGUAAGAGAUAACGAAAUCAAGUAUGGAGGCAAAGACACAUUUAUAAAGAAGUAAGCAUCCUCCUUACCUUAUGAUAAUUGAUUGGUUGACUUCAUCUGAAACGAAGGUACAAUAAGGAAGAUAAGUGAAGUGUCCUAACAAAAGUAUCAUAACAGCAAGUGAAAAUGAGAACUUUAAACACCUCGAAUCAUUUCCCUCAUGGCUGUGUCUGUGAUUGCAUAUACAUGUGGGCUAUCAGUGGUUUUAACCCUGUAUGCUUCAAUAAAAUUAUUUCCGUAGAGUGGAACUUUCUUGAAGGGAUUGAUGGCAACCAGGACUGGCCCUGCUUUUGUCUGCAAGAAGUGAAAGCUAUUAAGGAGUUGGAUAACCAAUAAUACACCAAGAUCAAACUAUAAUAAAUUCUAAAUUCUUACAUAGAUCAUAUCUCGAUUGUAUCUGUACUGAAGAUUGUAUAGAACUGAUGGUUCGUUUAAGUAACUAAGUUGCAUAAGAUCAUCAACACCAUCAAGGAUAUCAGGAUUUGCUGGUAACAGAUCAUCAGAGUUCACUUUCAAAAUCUGAAACAAAGGACCAUAUGAGGAAAAAAUUUAUAAAAAAAAAAAAAAAAGAUUUACUGUCUAAAGAAAAGCAGAAUUUCAUAAUUUAGCAAACUAGGCUUACUUUUUCUCCAGAUAACGAUAUCACAACUUCAGCCCCUGCUGUUGAAAGAAUUGUUCCAAGUUCCCAGUUCCCAUCAGGAAGUUGAAACCAUGAUUGGAGUUUCUGCAAUGAGGAGCUUUAACCAGUUGGUCAAGAAUAACUUAAAAUCUUCUUAAUGGAGUAAAAAACAAAAUAUUGGCUGGAGAUACAUGAUAACAAGCACAAAAAUUUAGACUUCAACAGUACUUGCUCUUUCAAAAUGCAAUCAGCAUGUGCAUAAUUACUAGAAAGAUAUCACAUCACAAGAAGAAAGAUUGUUUUUCAUAAAUGAACAAAAGUUUUUGUUCACAUUUUAAUAACCAGGUUUUUAGCCAACUGGUGGAACCUUGCAUCAACCUGGGAGCAUUAGUAAUUCUUUCAUACCAAGGUUAUCAGGGUUCAAUCAAUGGGUCACUGUAUUGUGUUUUUUCUUAACAUAUCAUGUCAAGAGGGGUAAAGAUCCCAGAAAUGGAAGGAUUAAAUAGAGGGUCAUCGGGCUCCUUCAACUCUAUUAUAUCACCCUUGACUUCAUUCAAAAUAUAUGGAUCUGCUUGAACACUAUCAUCAGACCCUACUUGUUUGUAUUUUUCCAACGAUUUAAAUUACACUGAAACAGAAGCCAUUCCAAAAAUUUCCUCGUACAAUUUAUAGAUUGUAUCAAUUCAAACUAAAAGCAAAGGCAUUCACGAAAGGCAAAAAACUCUGCCAUUAUAUGUGCUCUUAACUCAGCUGUCCAUCAAGAAAUUUGUCAAGCUAACUAUAAAUCAUUCUUUUUCAUUUCAAGCUGUGAAGGUUCAAUUUUCUUGGAGAAGCAUACAAUCAUCAAGAAGCUGCUCCAUUAUUUAACUCAAAAUUAUACAGAUCAGGCCCCAGUGAUGGGCAAAUUUUCUCAAUGACAACAUUGAAAUUAAUCAAAUAUACCAAAAUGUUACUGUAUCUUGUGCCAAUCAGCCUCUUCCUCCACUAUUAAGGAUAAAAAUAUUGUAAAGCCACAAGCUAUCCGUUCUUAAGGACUUUCCUUAGUAUACCACAAGUAAUGGCAAGAAUCAAUCAAAUCUCUUCCAGAGAGUCUGGGUUGAAGAAUAGAGGAGACAAAGCUGCAUCAGAAGCUGCAUGUAGACCAGAGGAAUUGCAUGCUUGCACUCUUGUCAAGAAACAAAACUUUGGCAGUGAUGUAACAAUAAAUACCCUACAGACCAAGUGGACAUACAUGAAAUUCAAACCUCUGGCUAGAAACCCAAAAACCAUUUCGAUUUGGAGAUGAAGCUGAAGCACUUUCUUGGCAUAAUAGUAAGCAAGCAAAUGGUCAUCUUCUAUUGAUAUACUUGGAAAAUAUUUCAAAGAAGUUGCCAAAACUACUUGAACAUACAACUACCACGAUAUUCAAAUCAGCAGGUUUGUUGCAUGGUGUCUAAUAGGUAAAGGGUAAAUGAGAAAGUCAGGGAUUUAAUCUCUACUGACAGAUAAAGCUGCAUUAGAAGCUGUUUGUAGACCAGAGGAAUUGCAGGUUUGCACUCUUAGUCAAGAAGCAAAACUUUGGCAGUUACAUAACAUUAAAUACCCUAUGGACCAAUUGGAUAUAUACAUGCAGAAAAGGAGAUCAAACCAGGUAUAUCUGUUCCAGAUGUGUAUUUCCUGUGUGGAUGUAGUCAGUGAGAUUCAAACCUCUGGCUAGAAAGUCAAAACCCAUUUAUACUUGGAGUUGAAGCUGAAGCAUUUACUUGGCAUAAUAAUAGGUAAGCAAAAGGUUAUCUUCUAUCGAGAUAGUCCAAGAAUAUUCCAAAGAAAGUUGCCGAAACUACUUAAACAAACAACCCCCACAAUAUUCAAAUCAGCAGGCUUGUUGCAUACUGCCUGACAGAUAAAGGGUAAAUGAGGAAGUUGGGCAUUUAAUCUCUUCUGCAGCUGUUGGCAUUACUCAAGAUUCAACUAGAAUGAAUAAAGUUUUUGGAUUGGUUUUUAGACAGCAUCGUUCAGCUUGCACUGCUGAAAACUAAGGCUGUCUGAGUGCCAUGGUAAAUUUUGGCCUUCAAAAGAUUAGCCAGAUUUGCUUUCAUAUUAUGGCUGAUAUGCACCUGCCUCCCAGAGAUAGGGCACUUAAGUUCAGUGACCAGUAAACCAUGCAAGCUUUGUCCGGGCCCUUGAGAUUAAAUUAUUAAUAUUUCUUGUGUCCAUUCUCUGCUGCUCUAUCAUGUAUAAUGCUGCACAUCAUGUGCAUUUGAUUUGCAUUAAUCUUCGGAAUAAGAGUAAUAUAAUCAAUGCAGUUAUCUACAAGAAAUGGCUUUGCCCAGCUUCUAUGUACCAAAUGCGGGCUAUGUACCAAAUUAGCAAAAAAUGAACUCCAGAAAUUAUGGUCCCAAAAGCAGACUAUGAGCAUCUGUCUCCUUCUGACUUAAAGGAGAAAAAUAGCAGCUCAUCUGAAACAAGCUACACCUACGACAAUCUGGAGCUGAGCAUCUCUAAGGGAAGGGAUAUACGAAUUACUCUAGCAAGUUCAAGUAUAGAUCCAAAGCUGUAACUGGCAAUCUGGGUUAGCAAGUUAGAAGGACUAAUUUGAAAUUUCAGUGCUCCGACCUUACUGAUUUAAAAAUAUUUUAAGAUACAAGUUAUAGACAUAUUCUUCAGCACUUAAGCAAAAUGUGGUCCACCUUACAGUUUGAAAAGUGCCUUUUUCUAUCAAAAUCAGUUGAUUUCAUGAAAAGACAAUACAAAACAGAAAACAAAAUGUAGAUCACCUCCUGCAGGAUCCAAAGGGGCUACAGACAAACAUACUUGAAAAGUGGUUAUGACUUCAAAAUUUAGCUAAGCUACUUGAAUGGAAGAUUUGGCAGUUAGAGGUUUAUGAUGCAACACACUUAACAAGCUAAAGACAUUUACGAUUCUUUAAAACUUAGAACAAAUUAUGUAUGUAUUUAUAUCCUUAUCUCACAGGUCCCGUCCUUACUGAAGCUCAUACAUCUACACAUGGUUUCAGAAAGCACAUCGGAACCCAUUAACCUUCUUUAAAUGAAGUCUUACUCUUUGCAAUCCAUAUUUCAUCCAAAAUCAACCAAUUAUACUAGCAGCCCUCUUGCUACAAAGCUUUUAAUUGUAAGAACUGAAGCCCUUCUAAGCACUAACCACGAAGAAUUAGGAAUCAAUCACUAGUAUUCCAAAAGAAAAAAAAUUUCCACCGAUUGCCAGAAUUUAAGCGAAAUUUAGUGACCACAUGUUCUUUGUACAGAUACAAGAAAUAACCUACAUCAUUAAAAUGCUGUAAAUAUUCUCAAAUCCUCAAUGGGAGCACUCACAAGCAAAGCACAUCAACUGCCCGAAGAGGUAAGAAAAGCAAAUUGAAAGCAAUGUAAAAUCUAACUAAAUCAUAAACAACAAAAAGUGAAAACAAAUUGCUACCACGACUAACCUAAAUGCUUUGUUAGAUAUACAUUAAAAAACCAAAAAAAAAAAAGAAAAAAGAAAACCAGCAAAGUGAUUCAAACUUGACCCAGCAACUAAAGUCUAGUCUUCAUCUAGAAAACAAAGUAAGUAACCAUCAUCGCAGCAGAUGGUUUCAAAUUCAAUUAGAAAGCCAGUGAUAAGCAUAAAAACUGGAGGUUUUAGAUUUCAAAGCUAAUCCCCAGAUAACCACUAAGGCUUCAUGUUUCCGAUUUUAUUCGAUAAAAAACAAAAACCAAAUUAAAGAAAGGAGCUAUAAACCACCUUCAUACAAUCUAAACUUGUGGUUACUAGAUCAUGGAACAUUCCAAUGGUCAUUGAAUAUGAGCAAAAGGGAACUGUAAAUCAUGUUGAUCUAAUCUCAUUUCGUGGUUGCUAUAGCAUGAUACUUCUAAUUGCUCAUUCGAUAUCAGGCAUACUCCUGAUUAAAUAAACUUAUAGCUUCAGCAAUUAAACCAUCAGGCUGUCAUCAAUUAUAGCAUGGUAAAUCAUCAGGCUGUCAUCAAACCACAGUUGCUGGCUUAUUCAGACAUUAAGCCAUAGAAUCGUUGCUUUUUAACUUUUUCAGUUAUCAACCCAUUCCUUGCUACGAACUUAAAAAGCCAUAAAUACCACAUGGUAUUCAUAUAAAUUUAGCAGAACAGAUAGCAUAGCAGAAAGCUACACCUUACCAUGCAAGAAUUUGUUACACUAAGUUAGGAACACAUGCUACACACAAGAGGUAAAGCAAAGAAAUAUACAGCCAAACAAUCUACACCAGCAACAGUAUUAAAGAUAUCACUUGAACAUCCAUUGAGCAACAAACAGGAGGAGUAAAAACAACUGUCAAAGCAUCAUCCCCAGCGAAAUAGAAAAAGAACCAACAAAUACCUUCUUGACUGAAUACGAUUUGGUGUCAGUCCAUUUAGACUCAACAUGAGAACGGCCAGUAGAUUGAACAGAUGAACUCUCUGGAAUCAAACAAUCACCAACAGAAGGCCUUUCUUCAGCUGAUAAACUCAAACUACUAUAUGGUGAUUCAUCAUUUUCGACAUCAACAUUGCCAUUGACACCCUCCUCCAUGGCAUCACUCAUUACUUCACCAUUCACCACAUUCCUCUCAGACGCAAUUCCGCCACCUGAUUUUUCUAAUAAAUGCUGAGAAUUUGGUAAACCCCUCAACCUUAAAUCCACAGGCAACGAUUUGAUUGACUGAAAAGAAGGCGAAACACGGCCUUUCUGGGACAUUUUCUUAAAAAAGGGUUUACUUCAAACUUCAAAAGAACUGCUAUCUCUUAGCAACUAACCACUAAUUUGAUCAAAAUCUCAAUAAUUGGAUCAAAAAGUUAACUUUUCUCCCACCCCUUUUCUUUUCUUCCUUCUAAAAAGCAAAUCAAACUUUGCUCAAGGUCCCACUUUGCUUAUCUGCCUAACUUAAUGGAGGGGACCAUUUUCUGCUGUUAACAACACAAAAACCACUAGUGCUUUCUCACUGAUCAAUCACGAGACCCAAACCCCAGUUCCUCAAAACUGCAUUAUCUUAGGGACAAACCAUAAAUUAUCCAAUCUCCCAUAAAUAAUCCCAAUUCUUUCCAAGUCCGUAGAAUCAAGUAAUGAAAGAAAAAAUAAACUUCAAAUAUAUUUGUAAAAACUUCAACUUUAUCUCGAUCUGGUCUUUGAUCUUGGAACUUCAAACUAGCAGGACAAAUAAAAAUGACUUCUUGAACUGCAGGAAAAAAAAUGCAAACAAUUCGGCCUCAGAAGAACGAAACAUCUACAAAAACACAUAAAAUAACUGAGAUUUAAAUUGCUAACAAGUUUAGAUGCUGAGAUAGAUUACUUGAUGUAGUGGGCUGCCACCAAGAUGCCAAAUUCAGCUCCCAUAAAACCAAGAAAAAAUAAGUCAAAAGGAAUUUUUUCGAAAAUUAGAGAAAAUGGUGCUGAAAAUGGUGAAGAAACUAAUGCUUACCAGAGAGAAAAAGAAAGAAAGAAAAGAAUGAGGGGUGCUGGGAGUUGGGAGGGAAAAGGGUCAAAGGACAAUCCAAGGCUCUGUCUUCACGAAGCAGCUUUUUUUUACUUUGCUCAAGUUUUUUAUAUGCUUUUAUUCUUUAUUCUGUUUCUCUUUUCUUUUCUUUUCUUUUCUUUUUUUUUUUUUUCGCCUGGAUGGUUUUUUAUUGAAUAUUCAAAAGUGAUUUCGUUGGGUUCUGUGUGUCAGUGUGUGACUGUGUGUGUUUUGUGACAUUUCAGAGUACAUUUGUUUGUUGAAUUUUUUGGAACCAACCAAAAGUUUGAAAUUUUGGAGCUCACAUGGUUUGUUUACCGGCUUUGGUGAAUUGACUAUGAUACCCUUACGUUAUUACCAGUUUACCACCCCAUUGGUUUUGGUUUGCUCCUUUCCUUUUUUUUUUUUUUGCCCUUUCUUGGGUUACUUUGCUUUUCCAUUUAACCCUGGAUGUAAGAAAAGACACAAAAAAAAAUGGUGAAUUUGAAUUUCACAUGGGAUUGAUGUGUCAGUUAUAGAGUCAAUUCUUACCAAAAAGGAAACCACUGCUAUUAUUGGUUCUUUAUGUCUAUUACUUCUUGGUAUAGGUACUUUUUUUCUUAUCUUGCAAGCGUAAUUAGGGCCUCCAAAUGUGACAAACCCUUAAAUGCUAAAUUUAAACUUCACGUUCCAGUUGGUAGUGGCAGACAUUGAUUAUUUAAUCAUAAAUGAUAAAUUUGAAUUAGCAUUGCUGGUUAUGAGUUAAUUAACGACUUAAUAUAAUAUCAAUAAAAUCUCUUUUGUGUCCCUUAACUUUUCUCUAAAGUUGAUUUGAACAAAAGUCAAGAAAAACACAAUUGGAUUCAAAUUCUCAUAUUAAAACAAAUAUUGAUGAUUAUUGAUCAAUAAUAUCGUAAAAAGAUAUGAAAUUUAGCACUUUUAUCUAUUAGAUUACCCUACUAAUUGUAUAGAGAAAGUCUACUCUAGUUCGUACAGUCUUUCUUGCAAAUCAAAUAAAAUAGGUAGCACUUUAUAAAAAAACAACGCAAAAGAAUUGUAGUAACAUCAUUUUUUGUGUAUCUCCAAUUACAUCUUAUGAAACUACGUCGUUUUCCGUGAUCACAUUUCCCUAUUACCUUUUUUCCUCACAUACAUCAAAUCGCUACAGUAAUUUUUCCAUGAAAAAUCACGGAAAAUGCAAUCCAAACACAACCUAAAGAUUUGUGAAUAAAUCUUUCAUAUACUGAUAAUAUAUAUAAACACAUAUAUAUAUAUAUAUAUAUAUAUUAUCAAAUCCAUAACACAUGUGCAAAAGUUAGAUUUUAGAUCCAAAUUUUGUAUAGUUGCUAUUUAUCGAAACUGAUUUGAUCUCAAUAUUUUUAGGUUAAAUGAUUUUGAUUUGUACAAUUUAUGAGGUAAAAUAUUUUGUUUAUCUUAAACACCAAAGAACAUUUGAGUACACUAGACUCUAACCAUCACAACCCUUGAACAAAGCUUUUUCUUUUUUUUUUCUUUUUUUUUUUUUGAGAAUGAUAUCCCUCUUUAUUAGUAUUUCUUUUAAGAUGAAUCACAUUGUAUGAGUACUUAGCAAAACAAAAUUCUUCGAAGAUUAUUAAUAUUAAAGUACUAAACUUUGUAGUUUAGGUCCCAUUUAAAUUACUUUUUUUAAUUUUUGUAUAAAAAUGCACUGUGGCAAUUUAAUGUAUAUUAGUAAAAAGGUAAUUAAAAAAUAUAUUCAUAAAAAAUGUAAAAUUUUUCUUAGGUAAUUGCAAUCCAAACAAGGUUUAGCGUGCGUUUAAUAAAAUUAAAAUAUGAAAACUGAAAUCUGAAAGCUGACUUUAAAGUCUGAAUCUAUUAAGUUAUUGAAUUGUUAAGUACUAAAUCUAAUACAUUUGACCGUAUAUCUCAUUAAAUAAUAAGUGAAUAGUUUAUCACUUAUUUUUUUAGGGCAAAUUUUGCAUUAAAAAUUCAGUGCCACUUAAUUAAUUCAGAUGUUCAAUUUUUAAUUAUCAAAAACGUCGGAAAUAUUAAGAUCUAAAUACAUUAGUUUCAAGUAUUGAAUUAGAUUAUUAAACAGGGCCUUAGUUAUCUCUUUUGCCCACUAAAAUUGUGUGAAUAUUACCUCGUAUUUCACAAGUCUCUUUCACUGACAUUAGACUAUAUAUGACAAUUUAUAGCCAUUAACAUACAGUACUAUAUGACACUUAAAUUUAUAUUGGCAUUCUUUUUCUAUCUUAAAAUAUGUAAUCAAAGUAUAUUUUUCUAUCUUAUUGAACAACUAGCUAACAAGUAUUCCUUGUAAAAGAAAAGAAUGUUUGGACCAACAAUUAUGUUUAUUGGACUUCUCAAUAUGCAUUAUAAAAUUCUUUAGUCUAAAGGCACUACAAGAUUGGGAAAAAAAUUUUCUUUGUAGCUCAUUGAUAUUUGAACUAUUUUUUCUUUUUUUUAUAAGACAAAGAAAAACAUCCUUGAGUCGACGGUUAUCUCAAGUCAUACUAUAAACCAGUUUAGCACCAAUAAUAUAUGAUUAAAAAUUCUUGAGAUGUAUUUAGUCAUUGAGGAAAGAAUUUUCUUUUUUCAACUCAAUACCAUUGACAGAAAAACAACAGCAAUUAACAGUGAAAUAAAACUCUCACUUCCUUCAAUCAAUUGCAACCUCUCAAGUCACAACCACCAACUCACCAAAUCUUAAUAUAUAGCCUUUUACGGAUUGUGAGCGCCGCACAACAUGGCUGUAAUGUACGGCCAUGUUUCACUAUCUUUAUGUUCUCCACGGCAAACAGGAUUCUGAUGGAAUUUAGAAGAAAGUUUUAGAAUUUCAAGGAUACCCUUGAGGGGUAAUUGGGUCAUGAAAAAUUAUCGAUAUUAUAAGCAGCUAACGUUACAGUACGUUUACGUUGUUAGAUUUUUGUUUGGAAGGAGUCAAAUGUUUCACCCGAUUGUUUGGACCCAUUUUGAAUUUCAGCCGUCGAUUGUUAAUUUUACGGUAGAAGAUCGUGACACGAAUUUGUUAAGGACAAGGCAUUGGGCCCGCUUAUUGCCCUUUCUCGGUGGGCGGCAAAUGGGCUUUCCUCUUAAAUUUGCAAUCUACUCCGACUGAUGAGUGUCCCACAUUCUUUUUUGAGGUUUAUUUAAUGCUGUUGACUUUUUCCUUUUUUUUGGGUGAAAAUGCUGACUUUUGACAAUAAUUCACAAUUCACAAGUCCAAUCUGUUUCAUUUGCUGUGAGAAAUUACUGCUUGAAAAAGAAAAACUUUAACUAUUUAAAGAUGGGUUCUAUUAUUUUAUGCCCUUAACGGUACACAAUAAAAGAUAAGUUGAAUAUUACUUUUAUUUUUAAAAGUUUAAAAUUUUUAUGAUAAGGUGUACCCAAUUCAUAGUAUGGUGAUAAUAGUAUGUUUGAAUUUGCCACUUUUCUAUAUAUUAAGUUUUUAAAUACAAUAUUACAGUAACGUUCUCCAAAAAUAUUCAAAAAAUAUUGCAAAAGCACCUAUCAAAAACACCAAAACACCAAAAAAAUAUUGCUCCCCUUUCUUCCUCCAGCAUCACCUCUCACCUCCUGCCACCACUACCCUUAGUCCUACCAUCUCUCCUUCUCCCUCCUGCCUCCUUUACCAUCCAUUUUCCUUUGUUCCUCUCUGUUUCCCACCCCCUUCCCUUCCCCGUGUUUUUCCUUAGAGGAAGAGAGGGAGAAGAGAAUUGGGAAAUUGUAAAAAUUGUAAAAAUAUCCUUAAAAAAGUUUUAAAUUUUUAAAACACCCGAAAAUACAAUUGUACAGUAAACAACAUACUGAAAAACACCUAUUUCAUACCUAUCAAUAAACUCAUUAUUUUUCAUGUACUUAUCUUGUACCUUAAAGCCAUUAAAAUGAACUUCGCUUCAAAUCCCUAGCUACUUAAAAAUAUGUAGUAACUAUAACUAGUGCUAGACCCUAAAUGAACUCAAGCAAUGUAAUUCAUUCCCUAGUAAUGUACAAGGGAUAAAAUAAAGAUAACAUAUCACUUUGAAAAUGCUCAUACAUUCAAAGUUUGUAGAUAUUUUUUUUUAUCUAAUAUAAGGAUUAAUAUUCUAUACAUUGAUAAUAUUAUUGUAUUCGAAUGCAUGUCAUGUAUACAACAUUUGAUUUCAAAUUCAAAUUAAGAUGAGUUGUUAUACAUCCAAAAUUGAUAGUGUAUGCAUGUGAGUGUAUGGAAUAUCAACACAUAAUACAAAGGUUCCAUUUGGAUGGAGUUUUUUGGGAUGCUUUUAUAAAACUUUACUAUAGAUGCAUGUUUAACAAAAUAUUUUGGGUAAAUUACCUUUUACCUUUUUGUGAUUUGGUACUUUACCACAUAACUCCCUAUAAUUUAAAAAUCUAUACAUUACCCUCUCACGAUUUGAGUUAUAGUGUCACUGUUAGUUUUUCUUUUAAAACUAAUAAUCAAUAUUGAAAAUUCAAAGUUAGAAUAAUAAAUUGAUACAUUUACACUUUAACUACUUUCCCCAAAUAUGAAUAAAGAAAAAUAGAAAUAGAUAAUAAGAAAUAGAAAAUACCAAAUCUUUAAUGAUUGUAAAUAUCAUUAUAGGCUUUUAAGUCCAAUCUUUAACGAUUGCAAAUUUUUAAUGGUAUUUUCUAUUUCUUAUUUAUCUAUUUUUAUUUCCAUUUCUUCCUUUUAAUAUUUGAAAAAAAUUAAGAUUUGCUAGGUCAAAGGAAAAAGGAAAAGAGAAAGAAAAGGAAAACGAAAAUAGUGAAAAGGUGAAUUUAUCAAUUUAUUAGUUUCUUUGACUUUUAAUAUUGACCAUUAGUUUUAAUAGGAAAAGCGAAUAAUGAGACUUUAAUCUAAAUCACGAAGGUAUUAUGUAUGGGUUCUUUAAUCAUAAGGAGAUUUUGUAGAAAAGUACCAAUCUAUAGGAGGGUAAAAAGUAAUUUACGCAAAUAUUUUAUGCAGUGUUUUAAGAUUUUUUUGGAAGUGUUUUCUAGGAUCUUUUUAUAAUAUGGUGGUGAAUCCUUCCUACUUGUUCCUUCUCUACUCUUUCGUUAACCUCGAUAAUCCCUAUCUUCCCUCAUUUCUCCCACUCUCCACUUCCACAAGCAACCCUUCUUCAACUAUGUGGGGAGAGAAAAAAGGAAGGGGCAAAAGUUAGGAAAAGCCAAGGGAAGGGGUGAUAGGAAAGAAGGUGGGUGGUAGGGGCAAUGAUAGAGGGGGAAGGGGGAGAAGGUGGUGGUGGUGGUUGGGCGAAAAAUGGGGAAGGGCAAGAGGGAAAGGUUGGUUGCUAUGUUUUUAAAUUUAGAUCAGAUUGGCUGGUUCAAUAAUUCAAACAAGGAAUCGGAUGGUUGUUCGGUCUGAGUUGGUUGAAGAAACCGUGUAGCAAAGACUCGGUCAAAACUGGUCAAAGACUAAUUUCAUUUGGGAAUCGGAGAACAUAAAAAAAAAACCCAAAUUUUUUUCUAUUUUUCAUCCCAUCUAUUUUUAUCAAAAUUUUCACAUUAGAUUUUGAUCUCUUAGUGUAUGUGGUGGAUCCCGUGGUAAAAGUGGCGAUAGUGAAGGCUGUGGCGGUGGUACAGCCAUUUAUUGCUCUUCCAACAUUGAUCAAAAUAGUGAGAGAUCUAGAAUUGAAGUCAUAAGAAAUGAGAAAAAAGAGAAAAGAAAAAGAUAUAAAGCAUAAAGAUUGUUAUUUUCAUUGUGGCGAAUAUAAAGGAUAAAAAUUGUUGUUUUCAUUGUGAUGAAUAAAGAAAAGAGAAAAAAAAAAAAAGAAUAGAGAAAAGAGGCAAAAGAUUCAGAAGAACAGAGGUGAAGAUCGGUAAGCGCUGGAGCUGGGAAACAAAAGAUUUAGAAGAGAAAAGUGCGACAGCACCAGGUUUAAAACAAUGGAUUAAGGUUUAGAAUUAAACAUUGAUCCAUAACUUUUCAUUUAUUUCAUUUUGACCCCUAAAUGUUUUGAACAAUUAUAAAUAAUCUUAUAAACUUUUCUAGAUUUCUUGUACCCUUAAUUUCUUUAUCAAUUCAAAUUGGACUUUUGGAUUUAAUUUUAGGCUUAUCAAUCUUUAUUUAAAGCUUAAAAAUAAGUUAUUUUUUAAGGAUUUUAAGUUAUAGGAUGAAUUGGAGCAAAAAUAUAGAGAUAAAAUAACAUUUUUAUUCAUGUUAAUACUAUCUUAUAUACAUUUUUCCAUAUCAAAUACUUAUUUUUUAAUUAAUAUAUUUAUAACAUUAUGAUGAUGUCACUCGAUUCUUAAACAGGUCCGAUCCUCGUCAAACCCGCUAACCCCUGAGUUCAGCUAAAUCAUUGCCCGGUUUGAGUUUCAAAACAUAAGCUAGCUAUGAAGGUGGAAAGGAUGAGUGGCAGUGGGAGUGGAGGGAAAAUAGCAGAAGAGUGGGAAAGGGGCUGGUAGGUUAGGGUGGCGAAAUAGGGCAAAAGAGUGAUGCACUUAUGUGCGUGUUAAGUGCAAUUUUUGUGUGAUUUUGGGUAUUUUGACUUUCUUUUUUUGUCUUUUAUGAGUAGUUUGAGUGUUUUUAUAAUACUUUUUGGUGUUUUUAAUAUCUUAUUAUCAAUAUACAUUUUAUAAAGACAAUGGGUUAGCAUAAUUUUUUUUUAAAACAAGUAUAUUAAUCACACUUCUUUGGUAAAAAAUGCCUCAAAAUACUAUAAAAGCACCUCAAAAACACCAAAAAAAUAUCAUAAAAACACAAAAAAAACACCCAAGAAACACCUCAAUACUACACACCUCUUCCCCCACACUAUCCUCUCACCUCACCCAACCCCACUAUUGACUUUUUACAAUAAUUUUGUCUAAUACUGUGGUUUUUUCAAUUCGUUCAUAUGCGUUGAGAACUUAUUAUUUUAACAAAACUAUAACUACAUAAAGAUGAAUUUUUUUAUUAUGUGUCCAAUAAUAAAAAGUAGGUUCAAUAUUACUUUCAUCUUUAUAAGUUUACAAUUUUUGCUCUAAGUUAUACACAAUUGCAAGGAUAAUGAUAAAGUAAUAAUUUUAUAGCGGUGGACUGCUUUUCCAAAUGAACUCAAGUAGACAAGGCUCAUACUUUCAGAACUUGUAAACAUUUUUUUUUUGGUCUAUCAUAUGAUAUAUUGGGUCAUUUGGAUGGGCGUUUUUUAGGAUGUUUUUAUAAAAUUUUAAUCAUAGACUAGUAUUCUGACUUGCGUUAAUGCAUAGGAUAAAAAUAAAAAAUGGAUAAAAUAGUUUGAUGCAAAAAUAGAUAUUAGGCAUAUUGCCUAAGAGAGAGAAAAUGGAAUAAUUGAAUUAAGUGCUUUCAUAUAUACAUAUACAUAUACAUAUAUACAUAUAUGUAUGUAUGUAUGUAUGUAUGUGUCCAGAUAUAUGUAUAUAUCUUUGUGUGUGUGAAUGUAUAUGUAAAUUACUUAUGCAUAUACAUAUAUGUGUGUGCACACACACAUACAUAUAUACACUGACACAUAUAUAUAUACAUACACGUAUGUAUGGUAAGGACGGGGUGAGACUUGAGAGGAAGAAGUGAAGGGAAAAGAAAGAAGAGGAUGAAGUAGUGGUAGUAGCGGAAAGGGGAGGGGGAAGAGGGAGCAGAAAGAGAUGUGGAAAACGACGAAAGUGAAAUUGUACAUCUCCAGUCUCCACUGCCUAAAUAUAAAAUUUCUGGUUGUCGAGUGGUUUAGAAAAUUGAUGCUUUUGAAAUGGUGAAGGCUCAGCCACUCGGAGGUGCCAAUGGCUUUUAAUGAAAUGUUUCAAAACUGGCAGAAGUGAUGACGCUAUUGCAAAGGUGGCAAAGAUGUAAUAAAGCAGCCAACUUUUAAAGAUGCAAAAAAUUGCACAAAGCAAAACUGUAUAAAAGGAGUGAACAUGCUGUUUUAGUUAUUGGUUCAGGAAAAGCAAAAAUGGCAAUAUUUUUUUAGUCAAGAACUCUUACGAAACCCUAAAUUUGGAUUUUGCAGGUUGUGUAAUGUUGAUGCAUCUUUACUGCGAGAUUUUUCUUCCAUCCAUAUGUGGACUAUUAUGAUAUUUCUAUAUGGAGCCAUCCAUGUCAGGUAUUGCUUUCCAGAUGUUAACGCUUAUUAGAAUUGCUGGAUAUGGAAUUAUGGGAUUGUCUUGUUUGGAUUGCAAUUUUUUGAAAUUUUUGUAGAAAAUGUACUGUAACAAUUUGAUAUAUGUAAAAUACAAAGAUAAUUAAAAAAUGUGUUUACAAAAAAUAUAGAGGUUUUUUGGUAGAAAAUUCCUUUCCAAACAUGGGUUGUUUCAACUGUUUGGGUACAACAGACCUGACCUACUGGGGCUUCUUGUUAUACUUAAGCACAAUUGACGCAAAGUCUUGAAAAAUCAUUUGAAUUUCAAGCUGAAUAUUUCCUUAGAAAUUUUGGUCUUCAUUUAACAGUGCAAUCUCGUGUUCAAUUGCAGAAUAGAUCGAAUUCAAACAUUUACAUGACUUGUACGGAUGAUGGUGAUUUGUCGGAACAUGCCUUUUAAUCUGGGAUGUCACUUAGGCCUUGUUUGGAAGCCAAGUUUUUUAUCAAGUUUGUCUGCUACAAGUUUUUUAAAAACUUUAGUUACAGUAAUUCCAAAAAACUUUUUCAAAGUUUUUAAACUAUACACUUCAAAAUAUUAAAAAAAAUACACUAUUCAAAAUUUUUUUUUUAAAUUUCUACAGUAAACUACAGUAAAAUUUUAAACAAACACCCAAAAAAUUCACCUUUUCUGUUUGGAUAGGUUUUUUUUUUUUUUUUUUUUCCAACUGAUAACAGAUUCCACUAAAAUCAUAAAAUGUUUACAUCACUUGGAGCAACUGCUCGGGCAUCAAUGUUGGCUAACCGAAGCAGCCAGCUAGGAAAAGAAUUUCUCCGGUCUAUAUCAACAACUAAGUUUAAGGCAAACCUUGCCAAAGAAUGAGACACCACAUUGGCAUUCCGUCUGACAAAAGAAAAAGUGCAAUUCCGAAACUCUUUCCUCAUAUGCAGGAUGUCAAAUAACACAGCACUGGCCCGAGGAUCCUCCACCCUUUCCAAUUUGAUCUUCUCAACCACACUUUUACAAUCGGAUUGUAUAAUUGAAAUAAUUACUGUAACAUUUUUUGGAUAGGUUAUUAUUUGAAAUAAUUACUGUAGCACUUUUUGUGAUGUGAUAUAUAUGAGAUAAAAUGGUGGUUGGAAAUAUAAACAGGUGGGUUGGAAAAUGUGUUUAUGAUGCAAGCAAAUGGGAUAAUUUCACUAUCCAAACAGAUCACUUUUCCAAACUUUGUAAUACAUGCAAAAGUCGAUGAUUUGAAAUUGAUAGAGUAGGUGAAAUAUUGCACAAUGCUUUCUUGUAUAUAGACGGUCUAAUCAUGGGGCAUUUUCUGAAUCAUCUUGUAAAUCCAUACGUUUUUUGCUACUAAAAAAAAAUGUUUGUAAGCUCUGCUAGCAAUUUGAAGAUGGUCAGCUCUGCUCAAUUUUUUGGUUGUAGUCUAGAAACAUGUUUUCAUAUUGAAAAACAAAAGUUGGUAGGGUGGUGGAAGGGGGAAAAGAGUUGAUGUGUGUCGUUAGCAUGUAUUUUUAGGUAUUUUAAAUUAUUUAUGUUAUUUUUCAAUGCUUUUAUGAAAAUUUUGGGUGUGUUUAACUGCCUUUAUUAUAGAUGUAGGUUUCAGAAAGAUAGUUUUUUUUCAAUAGGCCUAGCUAUAGGUGGCAAACCAACCCAUUUAAUUAAAUUUAUCCAUACCCGCCCAUUAAUAGAUGAAUAUGUAUAUCUUAAGUUUUUACAUAUGGAUAUAAAUGGGUUACCCAAUAAUAAAUGGGUAUUAUUGGGAUUAUUGGAUAACCCAUCAAAUCCUGGUAACCCAUUUAGAAUUGUCUUCUCCCAAGUCUCCUCUCUUCCCCCACUCAUUUUUUUUUAAAGAUUUUUCAUUUUGUCAUGAUGUUAACUACUUUUGUUUCAUUAUUAUUUUUAUUUGUUGGUUUUAUCUUAUCAUGUUAUUUUCUCUUAAUUUGUUAACUUGCUCAUUUUUCAGAAUUAUCAAUUUAUGAUAAGUUUUAACCUCUUUUCCCACCUUUCUAAAAUGAAAUUUUAAAUUUACACACGAAAAAAUGUUAGGGGUUCAAAAUUUUUGGAUUAAGUUUUUAUUUUAACUUUUAUAGUAUUUAGUUCAAAAUUUUAUAUUUUUAUUAUUUAAUUAUUGAAUAGUAUGUAAUUUUGCGACAUAGAGUACGGAUGGAAAAAAAAUUGGUAAUUAGGCUUAUUGACCAUUAUAAGUAAAUAUUUAAAACUAAUUAUGGGUGCAAAUGGUGAUAUAAAUUGAUAACUUAGUUUGCAAAAAUGAAUUUAAAUGAGUUUACAAAAAGUUAAAAUAAAUGGAUUAUAAAUGGGUAAUUGGGUUAUCCAAUUCAUUUUUUUGACUUACCCAUUUAUAUCCAUCUAAUUAAAUGGAUUGACUCAUUUAUACCCAUUACCCAUUUUAACUAGCCCAAACCCGUCCAAAUGACCCAUUUUGACACCUCUAGGCCUAGCAAACAGAUGUAUAUUUAUACUCUUAUGAGAAAAAAAGAAAAAUAAAAAAUAGAAAAAGGAAAGAAGAACAUUGUUGGCUCAUGUCUAUUGAGUGAAAUUGAAACCGGGUAACGUUUAUUCACUUUUUUUUACCUUCCUUUUGUUAUACAUGUUUACAGGGACGGAGCCAGAAAUUUAUUUUUGGGGGGGCCGAAGUGUAUUAAAAAAUUUGUUUGUGACGAAAUAAAUAUAUUUAAUAAGUAAAAUUAGAAUCAAUAAUUAUAAAAAUAAUAAAAACAUAUAAUUAUAUGGAGAAUGAUUAAAAAUGGUAGCUCUGCAGGGAGGAUCUGGGUAUGUUCGAGGGGUACGAUAUCAGAAUGUGAGAGUAGAUGACGUUUCAAAUCCCAUUAUCAUUGACCAAUUCUACUGUGAUUCGCCGACGCCUUGCCAGAACCAGGUAUGAUUCACCCUCUAGCUUCAUGGUUUUCCAGAAUAGCUGGUUAAUUGGGAACCAGAUGGACUUUGUAUUUUCUGCUCUCUUUGGUGAAUAAACUCUGAAUGAUACUAAAAUUCGACCAAAAAAAAAAAAAGUGCAGGCAAUUGUUUAUCUACUCAUCCUUAAAAUAUCCUGACAACGACUUUUUAUAUCCAGAGUUCUGCAGUUGAAAUAAGUGAAAUCAUGUACAAGAACAUUAGCAAGACUUCCAAAAGCAAAAACGCCAUGAAAUUUGCAUGCAGCGACACGGUUCCUUGCAGCCACAUUGUGCUGAACAACAUCAACCUAUAAUCUAGGGAUGGUACCGUAGAGACUUAUUGCAACUCUGCCAUAGGGUUUGGGUAUGGAUACGUGCAACCCUCUGCGGAAUGUCUGACCUCAUCAGACAAAGAAAAAAUCAUCAAGCAGGAGCCUGACCUUGCCCUCUGCGGAAUGGCUGGGCUGGCCGCCGGAAUCCCCUAUAUAUAGGGGGUUUUCCGGCGGCUUGGGGGGGGCUUAAGCCCCCACCAGCCCCCCCUUAAAUCCGUGGCUGCAUGUUUACACAUAUGAUAUCAUCCAUAGGGAAAAUUAAAAUCAUGCAAGGAAUUGACGAAGUCAAUUAUUUUCCACAAAAGAACAAAUUUUGUUAUGGGAGUGUUUUUCAAAAACUAGUUUUUCAAAUAUAAUAAAAAAUUUUAAAAAGUACUCUAAAAGAUAAUCUAAAAAUUAGUUUAACUUUUUUUAAAAUUUUAAAAAAUAUCUUAAAAUAUAUUUUAGAAACUCGUCUACUCUUAAAUAUCUCAAAAUAUACUCUAAAAACUCUACUACAGCAAAAUUUUUCAAAAACAUUCUCAAAAAUAGCUAAUCCAAACGGAGAAGAUGUGAGAAAAGAAAAGUUCAACUGUGACCUCUGCAAUUCGAAGCUGGUGAGCCUUGGGAAAAAAAAAUUGCAUUUAUCUAUCUUUGGGGUUUUACUAUAAUCACUUUACUAAAAAAUAGUUUAUGUGAGAUAAAAAUAGUUUUUAUGUGAAGUAAAAAUAUAAUAAAAGUUUCUUAAAAAAUUGCACAAUUGUAGUUUUGUAAAAAUAAUCCAUCCAAAUAGAGUUUUUAAAUAUGCCGUUGUCUCUACAUGAGUAGAUGAGAAUAUAAAACUAUUUACAGACAAAGCUUCAAACAUCAUUACAUAAGGUUGUUGAAAAAUUUCACUAAGGCAUAUGGCUUUAAUAAUUAGUAAUUACAAGACAGUGAAGUAAUACUUAUGAUGGGCAACACCCUAAUUUAAUGAGUCUGUACUUGUUUUUCAUGGUCAAAAUAUAUAUAUAUUUUAAUUUAUGACCGUUGUAUAUGAUACGAGAAAAAAGAUUUCAUAUCGCCUACACUUUUAAUAAUAAACAAAAUUUUCCAACUAAAUUUAUGUAAAUGAGAUACAUGAAAACAUAAUUCCUUCUGAUAAAAACUGUCUUUGAAAAAAAAAAAACUUGAAGCUGGAUCAAGGUGUUCAUUAAUAAUAAAAAUAGACAAUAAAUCAUGGACUGCAAUUCAAAAGAAAACAGAGUAUAUGUUGUGUUCCAUCAAAAUAGUUUUGCAACAUAUUGUUGUUAAAAUAUGAAAGGAGACCAAGACUUUCUUGAAAAGAACAGUUAUAAAUCAUGCACUUAGCCCACAAACCUGAUAUAAUAUUAGUCAUUUCCUCAAGUUUAGCUAUUAGAAUUGCUAUUCUUUUCUUGGUUAUAUUUAUUUGUGUAAAUUCACAAUAUUUCAUAACAUAAGUUACAUAUGCAUAAAGGAGAAAUUAAGAAGAGGAGGAGAAAAAACUUGGGGAACUAAUUGCUGUAAAGGGAGAAAGUAAAAGGAAAAGAAGAAAAAGACAAAGGCAAAACAGAAAAUAUUUGAGUUGAUAAUGUAAUAAGGUUCUCUUAAAUUGACAAACAACCCUAAAAUUAACAAAAAUUGAAAUAAAUCUAAUGAAAAAAAUCUUAUGCAAUGGCUACUAAUAUACAGCUUUUAUAUAUUGAGUGGGUGAUUUGAAAUAACAAAAAAUAGUUUAAUGGCCAAAAUAUACGAUUACAAAUAGUGGCUAAUAAUUUUUUGAAGGUGCUAGUAAGGUUUUUGGCCAGAAAACAAAUUAUCCUAAAAAAUAACUCUUAUAUUACGUUAUGUUUGGUACCGAUAUUUAUAAUGUUUUCCACAGUUAUAUUUCCAUAAUAAAUUAAAGUUUACAAAUUUGACGAAUGAAACUCCAGUGGUUAACUUUGUACGAACAAAUAAUGUGCCUCAAAAUAUGAUAGGAUUAUAAAAAUCUAGUUCAUGUUAUUUAGAAGAAAAUGCAAUUAUGAAAACUUCUAUUCAAUCUCUUGAUAUUGAUGAAGAUACAAGGGGUUACGGAAAUUUUCACCUUGAACCAUCGUAGAAUUCCUUUUAACUUCUGUUGUAAGAGAAAUCGAUAGAAAAAGUUUAAAGUUUUUUUUUUUGAAGCAAGAAAGAGUUUACAGUUAGGGGAAUUGAAAAUUAACCUCGAAUCAAGAAGUGUUGGAACAUGAAAUUAAAUUACUCUUUGUAAAAGAUGCAGCACUUUGUUGUCACGGUUGUUUAUCUUUCCUUUUUUGGAUUUUUAUUUGUUCUUUCUUUGAUAAGAUUACAGAAAACAACUCAUAAUAGUAAAAUAAUACAAACAAAUUACAACUCAACAUCACAAAUUAACUAACAGAUGGAUGGGAUAUCAACAUAAAGUUAAAAAUUACUCACAUAUUCCCUCAAAAUCAAUUAAAUGCAGCAUUUCUUUGUUAAUAAUUUUUAUCACCUUUAAUUAGGGAAACAAAAUUAAACUAAUCGAAUAGGACUUUUCAAAAUGUAAAUGUCACAUCCUUGAUUAAGUAAUGAAGGGAUGACCUUUAGCCCUCCGGGGCUUGGUCUGGCGAUUGAUGUUGCUGAAGAUGGAACCUUAGGUCCCUGGUUCAAGCAAGAACCUUGCUGCUAGCAAGUUGUGGAGGGUGUGAAAUAGUCUGAGGGGUACACUCCCUGCGGAACACCCUAAAAAAAAAAAAAAAUAAUGAAGACUUAAAGUCUAAUCAAGAGCAAGAUUUUAGUACCUAGAAUAUAAAAUGACAGAUGAGGCUUUGAUUUGGGGGUUAAGGUUAAGAUUUGAACAGUAAUCAUUGGUUCAUUUUAAACUGUUCACCGUCCUUGAGAAUAGAGAUCAUGCCUAUGUUGUAAGGCGCAACAUUUGAAACUUUAUUCAACAAUUAAUCAAGAUUAUUUUAAUUAGAGUUUCAAAACAAAAAGAUUAUUUUAAUUAGUUUCAUUAAAACAGCAGUCACUUUUUAAUGUCUACAAUGAUUUUUGGGUAAAAACAAUAUUCAUUGCAAUAUAAUUGCAACUAGAAAAUAGUUAUCAUGAUCUUUAUCAAAUUUUGUCAUCUCAUUAUGGCAUAUUGAGCACCAAUUAGCAUAAAAAAUGAUCAACGAACCAUCAGUUCUACCAAUUCUUUGAUGAAAUUCAUAUCAGUUUUCUUUUUCUUUUUCUUUUUUUUGUGGGUAAUUUUCAAGCAUUAUUUGACUCAAACUUUUUGUCUUCCGCAAACAUUUUGUUAAGUAUUAUCAGCAAGGAUGGGAAUUAUACUUGAUUAUUUGCUUGCAGCUAAAAUUAUUAAUUGAGUCUAAGUCAAAGGGAUGUGAUUGUAACUAAUUUUGAAAUCUAUGCUGUCAAAAAUAAUAUGGAUAAAUUUCGAGGGUUUAGGUACAAUAUGCUUUUAGUUGCAGACCAGGUCUAACUGUGAUCGUUUCUUGUCUAGACUCCAAAAGUGGCAACAAUAAAGAGGUGCGGACCAAGUAUGCAAGCGGCUUUAGCAGAUGGAAGUUGAAAACAUCAACAGAUCCAGUGAAACUUAAAAAUUUACACAACGUUUGUCUACUGGGAUUUGAUUCCCUCUAGUUUCUCUUUCUUUGAAACCUAAAUGCAAGUAGUUCACGAUUACGAAUAAGUCUCUUGUUUGCUGAAAAUUGAAAAAAAAAAACACUAAGGGUGUGUUUGAUAAAAUUGAAAUCUAAAAACUGAAAUUUGAAAUCUGAAUCUAUUAAAUUAUUGAAUUGUUAAGUAUUAAAUCAGAUACAUUUGAGUAUAUAUCAGAUUCAGUGAUAAUUGAAUAGGUUAUCACUUAUUUUUGGGAACAAGUUUUGUCUAGAAAAUUCAAUACCACUUAAUUAAUUUAGAUGCUCGAUUUUUGGUUAUCAAACACGGGUUAUCAAAGAAGGUCUAAAUUUUGACUCAGUAGCCAAAAAGAGUCCUUUAAAGCUCUUAUGUGCAUUCGUUAUAAGUGUGAUCUUAAUUUAAAAAAUCUAGAAGGUGUAGUAGUGUACCUUUCUAGUUUGGAGGUGGCUUCUGCCUUCCUCCAACUCUUACACAAAUCCAAUUUUGCUUCCCUCAUACCAACUAGCAGUAGAUUGCUGCUGUUAAAAAAAAAGAAAAAUAAAACUCAUUAGAAAAAAAUGAUAAUGCACACAAGCUAUAUUUUAAACAAGAGCAAAUUAUCUGAGUAGACACUAAAUUUUUCAAAUAAUUGAAUUUUGGCCAUUCAACUAUUAAUAAUAUAUGUUUACCCACUAAAAUAUUAAAAGUAUAAAUUUGGGGUCAUUUAAUCUGAUUUCACCGUUAAUUCUACCAGAUCUAAUUAUUAAUAGUAUGUUUUGUAAAUCAUGCAAACCCUUAGAUCUGACAGAGUUAACGGUGAAAUCAGAUGGAAUAUUUCAAAAUUUACACUUUUAAUAGCUCACUAGAUAAAAAUAUACUAUUAAUAAUUGAGUGACCAAAUCUUGACUAUUCAAAAAAAUUCAGUGACUGUUGGGAUAAUUUGCUCUUUAUACAAAUCCAAUCGCAUUUGUUUCAGAACUGGAGUCGGUAGUUUUCAGCUAGCUUCAGCCCCAUCCUCAUCAUCAUUCACAGGCCCACCUCCAUUAGUCUUUUCCCUCCCUUAUUAUUCAAUAAGCUUGACAACUUUCAAACUCUACUUUCUUGCGAUUAUCUGUGUCCAACUUGGAUGGAAUUUUUAGGUCACUUUAUAUCCAAAACAAGGGUCCCUCGAGUGACGAAUAAAGUGGACAAUAAACUCAAUCAAGUUUAUAAGCACCUGCAGUCCUAAAUUGUUUUUCAGCAAAUAACAACUCACUCAAUGAUGUUAUAAACACUGAUGAGGCUAGUUCUAGUAAGAGAAAAAAAAAUUAAGUUGGGAUUUUUCGCAAAGAAAAUAUUUUGUUUUCUAGGAAAAUAGUUAGUUUCCCUUAAUUUUCUAGUGGUUGGUACACUUUCUUGAAAUUAUUUUACAAAACUAAAAAUUUUUCCCAAAAAUAUUCCCAGCAAUGUUUUUGUUUCACCCUGCCACCACUCCACUCUUCACCUAAGUCUCCACUCAGCCCAUCUUUACAUGUGAUUUACCAUAAUCAAUCUGCAAGUCAAAUUCUUCCAAUUCCCAAAAUUCGAAUCGAACUGCAGCAUCAAGAAGUCAUCAUCAUAUCUCUUGAACCAAUCGCAUAGAAGAUGAAACCUCAUAAAACUUGUUUCAGCAGCGAUUUUAGACAUUAAUUGAACCGUCAUAUGAAAAAUCAGUGCUUCGAUACUGAUGCUUAUAUAGUCUUCUGAUAACAAGUCCUCUCCAACCUCAUCUCCUUCACAUGUCCCAAGUUCCUAUUCUCCAAAAAAAAAAAAAAUUCUAAAAUGACAAAAUUCAUUGUACAUCUAGAUUUUUCUAUAUCUCCAUAGAUAUUUUUGUGUGAGAGUGUAGAGAAAAGGAAUAAAAUAGCAAAAGAUGAGAAAAAGGGGAAUGUGACUGGCGUUUGGAUUUGUGGUGGUCAGAAAUGGGGUAUGCGACAAUGACGAUCUCUUGCUUUAAUCUCUAUGUGUUUCUUCAGUAUUUGGGUGGAUGGUUUAUAAUUGAGAUGUAUUAUGCCUAAGCAACGAUGAGAUAGAGGAGUCAUGUAGCCUUCGGAAAUCAACUUCAGUAAAGUUGUUGUAGAAGUCAUUUUCCAUCCGGUGGCGUGAAAACAUUUUUCAGGGGAAAUAAUUUUUCAACCUCUUCUGCUGCCAAAAUCCAGAAAUUCUGGAAAACUUUUUCUGGAAAGCAUUUUCAGUCCAAACAAAUAGGGUCCCUAAGUCUCAAGAUAUUCUUAUAUUUCUGAUUAUUUAGAGAAGAGAGUAAAGUAGUGAUGGAAGAAGUGCCAGUAGUAAAUUCUUAAAUCCAUAUCUAAAACUCAACGGACAGUAAAAACGGGACGGGAUGAAAAUAAACAAUGAAUAAUAUUUAGUCACACUGUAUCUUUUCUUUUUUCUUUUUUUUUUCUUUUGAGGUUUAAGAAGACACUCCACAUUUCGCAAUUAGUCUCAGGAUACGAUCACGCGGUGAAAAGAUAAAAUCUCCACUUGAAAAGAAGUUAGUAUAGUUAACUCAACAAGGUACCUAAAUGCUAAUAAUAUAGUUGAAAGAUGAAUUAAACUACUUAAUAUUCAAAUUAAAUUUGGCUCGAUAAAAAUUUGUUCGAGUUUGGUUUGCUACUUAAUUAAAUCCAAUUUGAAUAGCAUUUUAUAUUUGGUAAACUUUCAAAUUCGGCUCGAGCUUGCUUCGAUUAGCUUAAAAUUGGAAUUUCUAGAUAAAUAUUCAAGCUAUUUGAGCUUUGACUUGAUAAAUAAAUCAACUAAAUUUGAACACCAUGGUGUUUGGACCUAUUUAACACACAUACGCAUACACAUGAUAGGAACAGAUGCAAUACAAAAUUUCAACUUUACCCUCUAAAAUUGCUUUCUUCUAGGCUGUAUUUGGAUUGAGAAAUUUGAUGAAAAUUUUAAAAUUCUCUCAAAUUCCUCUAAUUGCUUAAAUAGUUUAAGAGUUAUUUGAAUUUAUAAAUCACCAAUUAUUCUAAUGUUUAGAGAAUAUAUAGAUAAUUGAUAAAUUGCAAACCCAAAUGCGGUUUAUGUAAUCCAAACAACUAAAGGGAUUUUAGCGUAUUCUACCCUCUCCAAUCCUUCCACACAAAUUUAAGAUUACAAUGUAUCUUUUGUAUUUCUCAUACUCAGUAACUCCUCAACGAGGAAAUGGAUUCUGAUCUUGAAAUCAACCACGUAUCGAUCAUUCCAAGCAAUACCCCAGUAGCAUCAUCACCAUUUAGGACGACAACAAAAAAUUAUUCAAAUCUUACUUCAAAACCUAUGACAAAAACCUUAUGUCAUUUCAAACUUUGGUAUCUAAAUUGGUAGCUAGGAACAACCAUCGCAAGAGAGAGUAGCCAAAGGAGGGAGUGCAAGAUAUAUCCGUGGAGAAGACGUCAAGAUUUGAGAAUCACGACAAGGCGAUAGCCUUAGCACUUUACUAAAAAACGAUUUGGAUGAAUUAAUUACAUAAUUAAGUACUUAAAUCAAGCGAAUCAUAAUGGUCCUCUCUAGUGUCUUCUUUUUUUUCUUUUUUUUUUUCUCUUUAACGAUAACAUUUUUAUAAAUUAAUCUAUCACAUCCUAUUUUAUAGGAAGGGGGAAUCUAAAGAGGAUAUGUAAGGAGAUACCAGAUCUGACUAAAUUAAAGGGGUACUCUAACACUUCCUUUAAUUUAUUUUUAAGACAGAUAAGAUUUGAAUUCCCGACCUACAGUUCAAAGAGAUUUGUCCCAAAACCUUUUUGGUGGGCAAUGUGCUUUGGCUUAGUGGUUAUGGUCCUCUCUACUAUCUUUUUUUUUUUUUUGUUGAUACGAUAAAUUAUUCUACACUAGGGAGAGGACUUGAAAAGGUCCAAGAAUAAUUUGGAGAGAAUUGAACCAUUAUCAGACGAGUGCACUACACAUUCGCUAGCAUUUUUUAAGCAGAACCACUUUAACAUGACAAAUUGAUGGGAUGCAAGGUUUGAUACAUUGGUGGUGGCUUGCCUCCCACGCCACCGAGCCUUAAUGCAUUAGUGGUGGCAAAGGCUGGUGGUUAUCCUCUCUACUGCCAAUAUGUUGAAUUCUGCUAUGUAGGUGAUGCCUGGAGACCAAGAGGCCAGUAGUUUGCUUUGCGCAGGUCCUUCAAAAUCUUCUAGAGUUUUAAGGGCCUGUUUGGCACCCCAGUUUUUUACCAAGUUUUUUACCUACUAGUUUUUUAACAACUUUUGCUACAGGAACCCCAAAAAACUUUCCAAAGUUUUUUAUCUACACAUUUCAAAAAUCUAUACACAAAAAAUUUCCCAAAAACUUUCCUUCCUCCCUCACCCAACCCACCACACCAGCCACCACCUCUACCACCUCUCCCGACGCCAGUAACCUCAAAAAAAAUUUUUGAGUCCCUCACCCUCACCCCCUCUCCUUCCCUCCCCUCUUCCCCUCUCCCUCCCCCGCCACCCUCUCCCUCCUGCUAGGUACGAUAGGGGAGAGGGAGGGGGCUGCGAUCUGGUCGCGGUCUGGUCCCAGAUCGCAAAGCAGAGAGGGAGAGGGUGGCGGAGGAGGGAGAGGGGAAGAGGGAAGGUAGGGAGGGAGAGGGGAAGAGGGAAGGGAGGGAGGGAGAGACAAAGCAAAAAAAAAAUAAUAAUGCACAGCUGCCGGCCUUCCUCGGGCGUCGGAGUGCGAGGGAGAGGGAAGAGGGGAGGAAAGGGGGAGAGUGGGCAGAGAGGGUGGCGGGCCUAGGGGGUAGCGGGCAGAGAGGAGAAGAAAUGAAUGGUGGAAAAGUUUAGGGGUGGCGGGGGAGGGAGAGGGACGGGGGAGAGGAGAAAAGCAAAAAGAAAAAAAAAGAAGAACAGAGGUGGGAGGCAGAGGAGAGGUAAUGGGGAAGGGGGAGGGGAAAGGAAGAAGAAGAAGAAGAGGAGAGGAAAGAAAAGAAAAAGGAAAGAAAGAAAAAGAAAAAGAAAGAGAAAGAGAAAAAAAGUUUUUCACCUUACAAAAACUUCUACAAAAUUUUUUCAAAAACUUCUACAGUGCACUACAGUAAAGUUUUAGACAAACUCCCAAAAAAUUCAGGUUCCAAAGAGGCCCAAAUUGUGAUGACUCGUAAAAUUUCUUAUAUUUUUAUUAAAAUUCCCUUUAGUUUGAAAUUUUUUACUUUACAAAACUUUUAAUACACAUUCACUUCCCCAAUAGCUACAAAUAAUCAUAAAAACAAGGGUUUUCCUUUUUACUUUCAUCGUUACGAUAAAUUAGGGUUUUUACGCCUUUUCGUCGUGUGAUUAUUCGGUACGGAGUGUGGAUAAAAUUUGGUGAUUAAGAAUGAGUUUUAGAUGAUAUUAAGUGUGGGAUUAGAAGUAAUAAUAAUGAGGUAGUAAAUUAUAAGUUAAAACCCUAGUAUACGCGAUUUAAGGAAAAAACAAUUCGGACCGACGGGUGUCGCGCGCUACUGAUUGAACACACCACUUGAACACUACUCUAUUACCUCAAUCUCCUUACUUUUAUUUCAGCAAAAAUCAUCCCAAAAUACCCUUCAAGGCAGCUGAAAUUCUUGACUCCAAGAGAGAGAGAAAAGAAAAAAAAUUGUGAGAACCUAAGUGUGACAAGUGUUGGCCAUUUAAGGCCCUUUGACCAAGCCAACUUUCUUACCUUCUUAUCUUCAUUUUAGCUCAUUUCUUCACCAUUUUUUUUCUUGUUUGGCCAAGAGCAAGGAGAGGGAGAAAGAGUGAAGAGAAUUUCUAUUUCCAACCUCAAAUCAAGAGUUGAGAGUGAAACCAAGAAAAACUAAAUUGAUUAACUUGUAGGUUGAGAGUUGGGGAAGCUUAAGGACCCAAAAAUUUCAAGGAGAAGUGGAGGAUAACUCUAGCAAACUUUGUUUUUGAGGUAAUAUGGCUGACCACCCCUUUCUUUUUCCUUAAUCAUGUUGGAGUUGCUUAGUAGCUUGUAUUUGUGGUUGUAAUGCUUAUAUCAAGUGAUUUUGGAUGGUUGGGGGUGAUGAAUUUGAGUUUGGGUUUGAAUGAUUCACUUAUCAUACUUGUUGUAUGGGUGGUAUAUGAUGUAUAUAAGUUGGUAUAAGAGGUGGUAGUGAUAGUUUCAAGCUAAAAAUGAGAUUUAUACCUUGAUUGUAGCAAAUUUCCAGAAUUGAAGUUAAAGUAUACCCUGUUCUGCCCUGUUCUAGUUCACUAUGUUAGAGGCCGAAUUAGGCUUAACCUAAAACAUAAAAGUUGUAUAGAAUGAUAUUUUAUAGCUGCCUGCAAAAUUUCAGCUCAAUCAGAGCAAUGUAGCCUAUGAAAAGACCGAAAUACCCUGACUGCCCUAGGUGAAUCCAGUGAUCAGUUUUGGAUAUUUUACCAAUCUGGUCGUGUCUUUUCACCAUAAUAUGUACUAAACUAGUAUUUAUCCAAAACAUGAAAUUUGUAGUACUAUGUUUUAACUUUCCAACGCCCCUGAGAACGCCUUAAUCGGACUUCGGUAGCUUGAGUUAUGGUCAUUUGAAUGUAGUGCAGUUAACUAGCCUAUUGGUAGGAAUCCGGUUUGUAAAUUGGGAAUCUGACUUGGAUACACUAGAAACUGGACUAAGUGGUCUUCAUCAAAGUUGUAAGCCUUUGUCUUAGAUUCGAAAUGGUAUAAAUUACACCCCAAUCUGAUAAGGGUAUCUUCGGUUGUGUCCGUUCCGCUAAGCGACAUCAAAUCUGUCUUUUGUUUUUUGACUUAAAUUUCAUUUCCGGACAUUUUCCUAACUUGAUUUUGUACUUGUAUGACUUUGAACCUAUUGAAUGGCUAUUGAAAUGAAAUUAUUUUGUGAGUGACUUUGGGACUGAUUGAGGAAAAGAAUGAAGCCAUAAAUGGCUGAAAAAUAGGUAAAUACAAAGGACGUGCUGCCCAAAUUUACGCUCGAAGACUAGGUAGAUAUACUUGUGACUUGAGUAAGGUUUGAGAGCGAAUACCACGUGAACCAUCUAGGAUAUUUGCGUCUUCUUUUAUCGAGGUAUAUAAGUUAGAACUUGGCCGAACUUGUACCCUUGAGAAAAUGGAAAUAACGACUACUUGAAAUAUGUUUUCCUCGUUCUUUUGACUCCAAUGGGAGUUCUAAAAUUUUAACCGCUUCCUUAUCGAAACUAAACAAGCGAGUAUGAAUUUUCUGGGAUUUGAUAAGUAUCCGGAAUACUACAUAACGAGUUACAUUUACUUAAUUUUCUUGAAGCGAAACUCCUAUGUUUCAAAUUCUAGAAAGGUUUACAUUCGUAAAUGAUAUUUUAUCGCAGAUUUGGACUCCAACCAAGGAGUUGGACCGGAACGUGAUUUUUGAGAGGCACAAGACUUUUGGUGAGUGCUUCCAAAUAUCUGAUUGAACUUGAAACUUGGUUUCACUACUUGACUAAUGUGAUCGAAUGAUAUGUGAUUGGUAUGGUCGGACAAGAGUGUACUUUAUCGCACUUGCCAUAAUGUGAUAUGUACUCGUUUAUUAUUGCAAUUGACUUGAUAUACUUGUGCUUGACUUGUAAGUACUGAGCGGCAGUAUGUACCACACUCGAUCCGAGUGGGAGGUACCUCUCAUUUCCGUCUCCGUACUUUUAUCUUGAUUCAGUCGAUUGGAGAGGUUAUCUCAUCGAAUUCUUGGGGACCUAAACCCCAUUGGCUAGUUAAUCGAGUCAAGUCGGCAAGGGAUUGGUCGAUUAGAUAACAAACCAUGGGUAGUUAGUGAUGUCGAGUGGAGUGUUAUCUUCUCGACUAAUCGGUAUACUCGAGUAUUACCACCAGUGCUUAGUUGGUAUUUGGGCCCGGCAAGGGGGUUGAAUGGUGGACGGAUUGGAGUUAAACGAAAUACUACUGGAUUGGUUACUUUACGUGAAAGUUGACAGAGUGUCAACUGAUACUUGAUCAAGCUCUGGUGAAGCAACGAGAAUUUGGCUCUUGAGAGCCAUCUGUAUCCUUAUAUUUUGAUUGUUAUUCGUAGUGUUAUUGUUUCUUUUAGAAAAAGAAUUUUACACUCGUUCAUUUUGAGAUUGCUACUUGAAGUGUUAUCGCUCACUUUUAUGAACUCUUCAUAUUCGUUACUUUGCUACAUUGGAAACUUGUACGUAUAAAUAAUGGUCAAUUUGCUAUUUGGAACCUCACUGGAUUUUUAGUUCAUUCCACGCUAUUUGUUUUCCUUACAGGGGUACGAAUGAGGCGUGAGACGUGUAUAGACUAGCGUAGUCUAGUUGUUUUGACUUUUGUAAUUGUACUCACACUAGUCGCUCGAUUAGGGUUGAAUGUACUGAGAAUUUAAAUCUUUUGAAGUAUUUGGGACUGUAUGGAUGGUUGAGAUAGAAAUGAAUGUAUACGUGUGUUCCAAACUUGGGAACUAUUAUUUCGUUUAUUUUUUAGAGUGCAUCUUAGUUUAUUUGAUGUGAGUGAGUGAGUCCUGACGAGAGUUGGAUAAGCGGUCCGCUAAACCCUAGGGUACGCUCAGGGGAAGGUGGGGCCGUCACACAAAUCCAUUAAAGUAGGAAGAAAGAACCAGAAAAAAAAAACACCCAAAAAAAAGGAAAAAACAGAGAAAAGAAAAGCCCAAAAAGGGAGUCCGAGGAGUAGGAGCAAGGAGCUGCGCUGCUGGUGCUAUUGACGGAGUCCACGAUCACAGCCACCACUACCGUGGGUCAUAACUGGAAAAGCACUAUGAAACUUCGUUGCUCCAUAUGUUGUUUGAAUUUUUCUCUCACCUGUUUGAUAUUAUGUUCAAGAAUUUGGCUUCUUCGCUGUAUCGAUGAAUCUCCCUUCCCUUUAAAUUUCCCUUUUGCUUGUUGUCUAUGAUAUGAUUUGUCUAUGGUGGAAUGGGAUUUAGGUGGACUGACAUUCGUUAUUUGUGUAAGCGGCACCUCAAUUAGACCUAGAUUUGUAAAGUUUUGUUGCGCCAAUAAUGGCCCCAAAUGAGAAAUUGAGUUAUAUGGACAAAUUGAUGAAUCUGAGCAUGUGGGGGAGCAAUUCCGAUCAAUUGAAAGUUGAUCGGAGAUCGUGAACGAUGCCGGAAAACCAAGAGGGCCGAGAGAGAACGUUUGAUUUUUUUAAAAAUUAUUUUUAUUUUUAUGUUUUGCUGCAUUUUCUGAGCGGAUCUAGCUAUGUGAUAGUGUGAGAUGUUCGUGUGCAAGAGAGAGAGGAGCCACAGAGUUGUUGUCAUCGGAAGCCGGCGAACUUCAUGAGACGAGAGGAAACAGAGCAGCAACAGUUCUUCUGAAUUGAGGAAGAAGAUGAUGUAUUUCUGGAGAUUUACAAUUUCAGUCCCUAAAUUUCCCUUUCUUUGUGACUUAGCCCCAAUUUUUAGGACUUUAUAAUUUGUCCCCUGGAGCUUGCUUUAGGUAGUUUGGAUUAAGUUCCUAGAAGGGAAAAUCGUUCAAAACGUCCCUCACUUUUAAAAGUGUAAUUUUACGUCCCUUACAAAUUCAUAUUGAUCAAAUUUGGUCCCUACCUAGGUUUUUGACUAGUUUUUGGUCAGAAUUCACCACGUGACUUGCAUGUAAUCAUUUUUUAUAGGCAAAAUUGUCAAAUCAAAUGUUUACAUAAUCUGAUUCAUAGUUCCUAACAUUUUACAAAAUGAAUUUUUUCGUCCCUAACAUUUUACAAAAUGAAUUGUUUCGUUCCUCACAUUUCAAAAAAUGAAUUUUCCAUCCCUCAUAUUUUUCAAAAUGAAUUUUUUCAUCUCUGAUUGAUCAUGUGUAUGAAUAGUUUUUUUCUAUAAACCCACGUAUAUGUCUAUUUGAUUUUAUCUGAACAGUAUGAAUAACAUGUAAUUUAUUUCUAUUGGAUUUCAUCUAAACAUGCUAAUCGUAGUUAUACACAUGCUAUUCAAUAAAUAUAUAUAGGGGUUUAAAACUAAUAAUUUUGUUUGAACUCACGUAUAUAUUUAUAUAAUUUCACCAUUUGAACCUAUUCAAUAUUUGUGACAUUUCUCUUUUUGGUAAUAAUUUAUUUAUUGAAUUGUAUAAUAAGGUCAUCUAAUUAAUGAGUCAUAAGUCGAAUUCUAUAAUUGUGCUAAUAAAUUUCAGUUUAAAUAUGAAAUUUCUACUCGACACUUUUAAGACCAAUAAUUAAAUUACUUACCUUGUAAUUGUCUUAAAAUUUGAAAAUGCCAAUCACUUAUUUCUUUUUGUCAUACUUUUCUUUUGUUUAUUUUUUUUGUCCAAAUUUAAUUCGAUAUAACACUCGAUAAUAUUUAGGAUUAAAUGUCUUCCUUAUUUUCAAAUUUCGAGUAAAAGAAAAUGAAUAUAAGUGAAAAACUAAUAAUUUUUUUAAACCCAUGUAUAUAUCUAUUUGAUUUCAUUUGAGCAGUACGAAUAGUAUGUAAUAUAUCUCUAUUUGAUUUCACAUGUUAUUCGUACUGUUCAAGUGAAAUCAAAUAGAUAUAUACAUGAAUUUAAAAUAAAUUAUUCACACACAUGAUCAAUAAAAAAUGAAAAAAUUCAUUUUGAAAAAUGUGAAGGAUGAAAAAAUUCAUUUUGUGAAAUGUAAGGGACGAAAAAAUUUAUUUUAUGAAAUGUGAGGGAUUAUGAAUCGAAUUAUAUAAAAUUUGAUUUGAUAAUUUUGCCCUUAAAAUAUGAUCACGUGCAAGGCACGUGGUGAAUUCCGACAAAAAACUAGUCAAAAACCUAAGUAGGGACCAAAUUUGACCAAUGUGAAUUUGUAAGGGAUAUAAAAUUAUAUUUUUAAAAGUAAGGGAAGAAAAAAGUUAUUUUGUAAAAUGUGAGGGACGUUUUGAACGAUUUUCCCUUCCUAGAAUUGAACUAGUUAACUAUUAGUUUAAAUAGCAUUUCAAUUGGUCAAGUUGUAGUUAAUUUUAUUUUCUCUUUUUAGGAAUAAUGUAACCCUUAACCGGCAUAGGUGCUCGUAAUUUUUGUAUUCUUUUUCUUUUCUUUUCACUUAAUUACUUUUUAUUUUGUUAUUAUUGUGGAAUGAGAUCAUGUGGGCCGCAGGUGCGUUGUCGCUUGGCUUUUCCAAUUCCAAUGGAAGCUUUGGAAUUAAUCAUUCUGUUUUACUUCACUCUUAAGGUGCUGUACAUGUUUUUAUGUGUUUAGAUAUUAGUUAAUUACAUGUUAUGUGCUUAGCUUAAACUUAGUCAUUUUGGCCUUAAAAUUAAGAGAAUAAGAUUAAACUCGCAACCCAUUUUGCCGAACCGUCAAAAAAGGGGACCAGAGCAGUGAAUUUGGCCAGAAUUCCUAGAGCUUUGUAUAGUUAUAGAAGAAGAAAAUUAAAAACAAAAGAAGCAUUUUUCAGAAAAAACCCAAAUUCCUCCGUGAAACUAAUGCCACAAUUCUCAAGAAUUAUAGCAAUAAAAUAACAAAAAAAAGAUCGAUAGAAUCCUAGACUGGAGAAACCAAUUUUAUCAGAUUUUUUUGGGAAAAAAAUAAAAGAUAUUUAAGAUAAAACCCUAAAUAAGAAUCUCACCAAGGCACUUUGCCAGAGUUGGAGAUGGUUGCCGUCAGAAAUAAUUAUAUUGGUGGUGAUUUUUCAAUCUCUCCAAUCUCCAUCGCUCACUUUCUGUAUCUUUAGCCGCAAAUUCUUUCUUUGUUUUUGUUAGAAUGUGGGAGUAGCGAGCUCUAUUGUAAAGAGCCAUGCAUUUCAAUGAAGGAAAAUAACUUCAGUAACUCAAAGGAGGAAGUUAUUUUCCACCAAGUGAAGUUAUUUUCUUCAGUAACUCAAAAGAGCCGUGCGUUUCAAUGAAGAAAAAUAACUUCAGUAACUCAAAAGAGGAAAUUAUUUUCCACCAAGUGAAGUAAAAUAGUUUCUCCACAGAAAUUUUUUUUUCCAAGUUAAAUGAUUACCAAACACAGGAAAAUUUGGAAAACAUUUUGAGGAAAACAUUUUAUGUCCAAACAAACACACCCUGAGUGAUAAGUGAAUAGUUUAUCAUUUAUUUUUGGAAGUAAAUUUUGCCUAAAAAAUUCAAUGUCAUUUAAUUAAUUUAAAUGUUUAAUUUUUGGUUAUGAAACACGUGUGAACAUAUUAAAAUCUGAAACCAUUAAUUUUAAGUGAUAAAUUGGAUUAUUAAACAAGGCCUUAGUCAUAGUGUAGUAUCAAUUCAACGAUUCGUAAGUUUCACUUAUAAGAAUUUAUAAAGACAUGAUUUUUUUUGUGUGUUGGGGGAGGGGGAGGGGGGAGGGGGGAGGGGGGAUGUUAAAGAGGAGACUCCAGAUUUCGCAAAACAGUCUCAAGAUAUGUUCACGUGGGUAAAAAAGAUAACUCAAUUAAAUGGUUGAAAGACAAACUAAACUAUUUGAUACUCGAAUCAAAUUUGGUUUGGUAAGAGUUCAUUUUAACUUGAUUCGCUAAUUAAUCAAACCUACUAAAUAGCAUUUCAUGUUCGAUGAACUUUCAAAUUCGAUUCGAGCUUACUUUGAUUAACUUAAAAUUGGAUUUUUUAGGUAAAAAUUCAAACUAUUCAAACUUGACUCAAUAAAAGCUUGUUUAAAUUCGACUUAAAAAAUAAACAAACCAAAAUUGAACACCAAGGUGUUUGAUUUCAUUAAACUCAUUUACAGCCAUAUGGAUUGAACUUUUAAUAGGUGCAGCAUCAGUCCAAGCCACUCAAGACACUUGUUAACUGAGGUAUGGGUGCAACAUAAAAUUUCUGCUUUACCCUCUAAAAUUACUUUCUUUUAGUGUAUUCUAUUUCUACCCUCUCCACCCCCACACACCCCCCCUUCCCCCCAUCCCCCAAAUACAAAUUUAAAAUUGUAGUUUAUCUUUUGUAUUUCUCAUAUUCAAAACUCAACGCGGUAAUGGAUUCUGAUCUUGAAUUCAGCAAUAUGUAUCGAUCAUUCCAAUCAAUACCCCGGUCGAUUCAUCACCAUUUACGACAACAAAAAAGAUAUUGAGAAUCUUACUUCAAAACCUAUGACAAAAAUCAAAAUAUGCCAUUUCAAACUAUGGUAUCUAUAUUGGUAGCUAGGAAGAGAAUUACAACCAUCGCAACAGACAAUAGCCAAGGGAGGGAGUGUAAGGUAUAUCGGUGUGGAGAAGAUGUCCAGAUGAGAAUCACAACCAAACAAUAACCUUACCACUUUGGUGACAAACCAUUUGAUGAAUUAACUACAUAAUUGAACACUUCAAUCAAGCGAAUCAUAAAGGUCCUUCCUACUGUCAAUAUCUUAAAUUCUGCUAUUAUAUUUGAUCCCCGGAGACCAGAAGGCCAUUAAUUUGCUUGGCUCAGGCUUCCAACGUGUACAACGGUAUGGAAGAAUUUAGGCAUCCCUUUAAACCUUAGAUCCUUAAACAUUCGACUCUCAGGAUUGUAAGAAACUAGGGCUCCCCAUCUGUACUGCAGCAAAAUUUCGCCAUUUUUCAGAAGGCAAAGAACCCGGGCAAAUCGUUCAUCAAGUACAUUCUUCCAAAUCCUGUAUUUUUGCUGCAUUUCUGGUGACUGAAAUGUCGUCACAUAAUAAACCCCAAUGCUGAAAACUUUCUCCCAGGACUCUUUCACCCCGUAUUGUUUCAUAAUCCAAAUGUCUUGAGCCCCGUAAUUAGUAUUUGAAGGAUCAACAACAGCCAGAAAACCUCCGAGAACACUGAGAGAAUACCGGUGUCGGAUUAAGUAAAGAUGAUUUUCUGGCAGUGGGACUUCUCUAAAAAGCUCAUCAGAUAAAUCAAAUGACACCAGAAUCCGUUCCCGACGAGCAUGAUUCUUUCCCCAUAUACUCACCCAGUGAAGCCUUCCGUUUACAAAAACUCCCCCUGAUGACUGAUCUAGCUUGUAAGGUAUGUCUCCAAUAAUAACUCUCCAUUUUUCACUGCUCUGAUAGAAUACUUGAACCUCUGAUCUUGGAAAAUUUUGAGCCCUGAAUCUCAGCGAUCUGAGUGGAGAUAAUUCAUAUAAAUUCCAGUAGUAGACUAUCCUUACUACGCGAUAUUCAUUGGUAUGAGGAUGAACUCCGAAUCCUAUUAUCACUUCUUGGUCCUGGAAUUCAGUGGAUUUUGGUAACACUUUAUAGUCUCGGGUAAAGGGAUUAUAAACGUAUGGUCCAUCAUUGACCAAAGUACUCGACAAGCAUAGCAGGCCAUUACACGAGCUAACAAUUCGAAAUUCAGGCAAAGUACUAGAAAAGGGAGUAUGAAUUCUUCUGAGUACAUUUUUUUCAUGAUCUUGAUGAGAAAAUUCAACAAAAUAAAGCUGAUUGUUCACUGGAAAAUCACAAUGAAAGAUGAGGGCUAUGUCGUUGUUUUUUAAUGCUCUGGUGAGAUGCAAAUUAGCAAGAUCUUGAUCAAGUGACAACUUGUGGCAACUUCGACAAACAUACCUGAAUUGGAUGACGGAUUUUACGUGUAGUCUGGAAAUUAUGUCGAGGGCGAUUUCUUGAGGUAGACUAUAAAGAUUAUUUCCAGGCUGAUGAUGUUCUUUUGGAGUUGAUUUUCUUCUCUUGGAUUCUCUCUCAAUUUCCAUGUCGUCUUCCAUGAUGGUAGUAGAAAAUGUGAACGUUUCAAGGUUUGAGGUGGCGGCUAGACUGCUUUAGGUCACUUGGACUUAAUUAUAAGGGUUAAUUGCACUUACUUCCCUCGAGCUUUGUCCAUAUUACCAAACAAACCUUGUAGUUUGUCCAAAUAACAUUUACCCCCUUGUCAUUGACGGUUCAUAAACUCUGUUAACUGAUGUCACAAGAUGAUAAAAUUGCCCUUCAAAACAAAAACAAGAUUAUUGUUAUAAAAGAACUUAAUAUUUAGGCAUAAAAAAAAUGUCCAAAGGAGAAAUGAAGUAUCUUAGUAAGCAAAGCUAAAGAAAAAGAAAGAUAGUAACAUUAAGAGUAAAAAAUUUGCUGCAAAAAAAAUUAAGAAAAUGAAGAAAAAUACAUGUUGAGAGAUAUCAAACAGACAAAGAGUAACUAUGAAAAAAAAAGAAAGUAAAAUAUAAAUAAAUUAGCGACUGCCUAUUUAAUAAAUAAAAAAAAUAUAAUUGAGAGGGAUACUGAAGCAUCGAUCUUCUUUUGCCUUUAUCAACUCUCUCCACUAGCUCCCAACACAAUUUGCCUCCAUCUCUUUACCUCAACAGACACCCCCUUCUUCAUCUUCUCUGCUACUACACAUGCACACUAAGAGAUUAGCAGUUUGACACUCUCAAAUACACCUUUUGAAAGAAAAAGAUUGUAUUCCACUAGUAUCUAGCGAGAGACUGUAAGGAUUGGAAAGGCCAAAAUAGGAGAAAGUAAUUAUAAUUUAUGGACUCUAUCUUGGUGUUGGCAUAACAAGGUCUAGAUCAGUUUGAGACCUUAUGACGAUAAGUUUAUGCUUUCAGUUAUUGAUUUGAGUUUGUUGGUGGUUAAAUGUAAGGCUAUAAGUUAUGCAUAUUUUGUGAUGUUUUAUGGAGCUUUUCUUUUUUCUCCCCCUAUUUUUUCACCUUUAUCAUGGGAACUGAGUUUUUCUUUUUUCUUUUUUUUUUGUGCAAAGGUGAAAAUUUCUACGAGCCUAACAUUGAUUGUAAUUUUUGUGGGAGUUACUACUUUGAAGAUAUAAAGGUAUUUGAACCCCCAAAAAAAAAAAAAAGAUUCAAGUGAUGGACAUGGAAUUAUUGGCUGCCAGUAGUUGAAAUCUCAAACUAGUAUAGAGAAAGCAGGGAGAAGAAGACAAAGUAGGGUUUUGAGGUUAAUUUUGGACUUUCACGAAAAUUUCAUGUUGACAUCCUUCACUGUGUAUCAGUCAACGUUAGCAAUAUAACGAUAAGAGUUACUUGUUAUGCAUUAAACAGCCUGAGGGACCUUUUUGUAGUUUGUCCAAGCUUGAGGGUUUGAUUCGUAGUUUGGUUAAAUCUCAAGGGAGGUAAACGUAAUUAACUCUAAUUAUAAUGCUAGUAGGAAAAACUUGGGGGAGACGUUGAUUUGACUCAUUAAUUGGACCGUAAUCGGUGUUUUUUUUUUUGCUAUUUGUCGGUAUUGAAGUAUCAAGAGAAGGAGAGAGAAUACGCUUUGUUCAUGGAAUGAUGAUGCAAGGUUUGAUGCUAUUACGGAGUGUGGGAAUCCACAGCAUGGUGCUCUAUUUUAUUUCAGGAUUAAUUGCAACUUAGAUUCCUAUACUAUAUUGGGGCUAUACUUUUGCACCCUAAAAUUUUUGCAUCUUUUUAAAUUAGAGUUUUUCUAUUUGCAAUAAUGACUUUAAAAUUUGCUAAUUGCAAGUGUGUCUAUGAUAUGCUUCUUGAAAUGGUGAUUUUAUGUCCCUUUACCAACAACCUUUUGGUAAAAUAGUUCACUAUAUUGAUCUUUUACUAGGUCAUAUUCCAUUUUAUUGUUAGAGUUCAUCCAUUAUUUCUAUUUAGCAAGCAACUAAAAUUUGCAUCCUCUAUAUUCUAAAUGUCUUUACUUGGUUUUUGUGGGUUUUUCAUAGAGUGAAUAUAUGCAAAAAGAUAAAAGUAUUUUCUAAAAGAAAACAGUAUGAAGAUGUGGAACUAAAGUAUGGCCAUACUUGAGAAUUGGUUUCCUCUUCGCAAAACUACUGAAAUUUUGCCACAUUGCAUUUAUAACUUUUAACCUCCUUGUUAUUUGCAUUCAUAACUAUCGCUAAGAACCACACUACAUGGUAGGAGGCGUAAAAAAUGGAUGACUUAAGCAGGUUCGGAUAGGUUAUAAUUGAGUAAUGGAUAUAAUUGAAUCAACUCAUCUAUACCGAUUUAAUAAAUGAAUCAAAUGAGUCAACUCAUUUAUAUUCAUUCAAUAAAUGAGUAUGGGUAUAUAACUAAUUACUCAUUUAUGACCCACUUGAAUUUUUACUUGCUCUUUUUUUCUUGUUCUUUUGGAUGUUGUUUCAUAAGAAAUAACAAUAUUUUAUUAUUAUUGGAUUGAUAAGAAAUUCAAAUUUAUCCGUUUAACAUCCACCAAAGCUUGGGAUUAAAUAUCCAAUUAUUUUUAAAUGUAUAUAGAUGGUUUUGAGUCAAUCUAUUACCUACCAAUUAUUUUUAAUUGAGUUUAAUUGAGUCAUAAAUCUAAACCCUUUCAAAAUUCACUGCAUACCCAAAUUCACUUAUUAGUGGGCGAGUUUGGACAAGUCAAUAUUACAACUACUUUGAUACCUAUAGUACAAGGUGUGACUCCAUUAAAGUCACCAUACGGAUUAGCAAAUUUGAAGUUGCUGAUUGAAACAGCGACUUUAAAUGGAUAUUUCAAAUGGCAAAUUUUUUUUUUGGAAGGCUAAAACAUGCUGGACUUGUUUCGAAUUAUCAAUAAAUAGAGGAUUAUAUUGGUAAACGAUCCUUUUCGAAUGCACAGGGAUUGUCAUCAUUAUUGCUCUACUUAAAGAUCCAUUUUUCUUUUUGCCACACCUUUUUGGCUUUUUCUAAUGAUAGAUGUUGUAAGCAUCUUAUCUUUCUGGAUCAUAGCAAUUUUCCAAUACUUUUCAUGAUUAUCUUGGAGCGAAAAGAAGUAAGACGACUAGGAAAGAUGACAUGCGAAUCAUCCUCGUUAUAGAUACGCUAGCUGUUAUGUAAAACAAAGACUUGAUACUCCGUUAAUAACUACACUGAAUACACCAGUAAAUGUAUGAAUUAUAUCAUGUAUUAACUAAGCAAACUAACCAUCAACAAGAUCUCACUAUUUCUGAGAAGGCAAAGGACCUAAGCAAUCUAACCAUCAAAGUCAUUUAUUCUGUACAUAUGUUCAAGUUUUCCAGUUCAAUUGAGAUUCAUUAACAUCGAAGCGGCAUUUGCUCGGCUCAGGCUGCCAAUGUGCACAGUGAUAUGAAAGAAUUUAGGCAUUCCUGGGAACUUUAUGUCCUUAAACAUGCCAUUCUCAGGAUUGUAGGAAACUAGAGCUCCCCAUCUAUACUGCAACAAGAUCUCACCAUUGCUGAGAAGGCAAAGUACGUGAACAUAUCGUUGAUUAAUUACAUUCUUCCAGAUCCUGUAUGUUCGUCGCAUUUCUGGAGACCUAUAUCUCGUCACAUCAUAAGCCCCGAUGCUGAAAACUCUCUCCCAGGACUCUUUCACGCCAUACUCUUUCAUGAUCCAAAUGUCUUGAACCCAAUAAUUUGUAGACGAAGGAUGAACAAUAGACAGACACCCUCCCAGAACACUGAGAGAGUAUCUGUGCCUGAAUAGGUUGACAUCAUUUUCAGGCAAUGGAACUUCACUAAAAAUCUCAUUAGAUAAAUCAAAUGACACGAGAAUUCGGUCAGAUAACAAACCAUGGGUAGUUAGUGAUGUCGAGUGGAGUGUUAUCUUCUCGACUAAUCGGUAUACUCGAGUAUUACCACCAGUGCUUAGUUGGUAUUUGGGCCCGGCAAGGGGGUUGAAUGGUGGACGGAUUGGAGUUAAACGAAAUACUACUGGAUUGGUUACUUUACGUGAAAGUUGACAGAGUGUCAACUGAUACUUGAUCAAGCUCUGGUGAAGCAACGAGAAUUUGGCUCUUGAGAGCCAUCUGUAUCCUUAUAUUUUGAUUGUUAUUCGUAGUGUUAUUGUUUCUUUUAGAAAAAGAAUUUUACACUCGUUCAUUUUGAGAUUGCUACUUGAAGUGUUAUCGCUCACUUUUAUGAACUCUUCAUAUUCGUUACUUUGCUACAUUGGAAACUUGUACGUAUAAAUAAUGGUCAAUUUGCUAUUUGGAACCUCACUGGAUUUUUAGUUCAUUCCACGCUAUUUGUUUUCCUUACAGGGGUACGAAUGAGGCGUGAGACGUGUAUAGACUAGCGUAGUCUAGUUGUUUUGACUUUUGUAAUUGUACUCACACUAGUCGCUCGAUUAGGGUUGAAUGUACUGAGAAUUUAAAUCUUUUGAAGUAUUUGGGACUGUAUGGAUGGUUGAGAUAGAAAUGAAUGUAUACGUGUGUUCCAAACUUGGGAACUAUUAUUUCGUUUAUUUUUUAGAGUGCAUCUUAGUUUAUUUGAUGUGAGUGAGUGAGUCCUGACGAGAGUUGGAUAAGCGGUCCGCUAAACCCUAGGGUACGCUCAGGGGAAGGUGGGGCGUCACACAAAUCCAUUAAAGUAGGAAGAAAGAACCAGAAAAAAAAAACACCCAAAAAAAAGGAAAAAACAGAGAAAAGAAAAGCCCAAAAAGGGAGUCCGAGGAGUAGGAGCAAGGAGCUGCGCUGCUGGUGCUAUUGACGGAGUCCACGAUCACAGCCACCACUACCGUGGGUCAUAACUGGAAAAGCACUAUGAAACUUCGUUGCUCCAUAUGUUGUUUGAAUUUUUCUCUCACCUGUUUGAUAUUAUGUUCAAGAAUUUGGCUUCUUCGCUGUAUCGAUGAAUCUCCCUUCCUUUAAAUUUCCCUUUUGCUUGUUGUCUAUGAUAUGAUUUGUCUAUGGUGGAAUGGGAUUUAGGUGGACUGACAUUCGUUAUUUGUGUAAGCGGCACCUCAAUUAGACCUAGAUUUGUAAAGUUUUGUUGCGCCAAUAAUGGCCCCAAAUGAGAAAUUGAGUUAUAUGGACAAAUUGAUGAAUCUGAGCAUGUGGGGGAGCAAUUCCGAUCAAUUGAAAGUUGAUCGGAGAUCGUGAACGAUGCCGGAAAACCAAGAGGGCCGAGAGAGAACGUUUGAUUUUUUUAAAAAUUAUUUUUAUUUUUAUGUUUUGCUGCAUUUUCUGAGCGGAUCUAGCUAUGUGAUAGUGUGAGAUGUUCGUGUGCAAGAGAGAGAGGAGCCACAGAGUUGUUGUCAUCGGAAGCCGGCGAACUUCAUGAGACGAGAGGAAACAGAGCAGCAACAGUUCUUCUGAAUUGAGGAAGAAGAUGAUGUAUUUCUGGAGAUUUACAAUUUCAGUCCCUAAAUUUCCCUUUCUUUGUGACUUAGCCCCAAUUUUUAGGACUUUAUAAUUUGUCCCCUGGAGCUUGCUUUAGGUAGUUUGGAUUAAGUUCCUAGAAGGGAAAAUCGUUCAAAACGUCCCUCACUUUUAAAAGUGUAAUUUUACGUCCCUUACAAAUUCAUAUUGAUCAAAUUUGGUCCCUACCUAGGUUUUUGACUAGUUUUUGGUCAGAAUUCACCACGUGACUUGCAUGUAAUCAUUUUUUAUAGGCAAAAUUGUCAAAUCAAAUGUUUACAUAAUCUGAUUCAUAGUUCCUAACAUUUUACAAAAUGAAUUUUUUCGUCCCUAACAUUUUACAAAAUGAAUUGUUUCGUUCCUCACAUUUCAAAAAAUGAAUUUUCCAUCCCUCAUAUUUUUCAAAAUGAAUUUUUUCAUCUCUGAUUGAUCAUGUGUAUGAAUAGUUUUUUUCUAUAAACCCACGUAUAUGUCUAUUUGAUUUUAUCUGAACAGUAUGAAUAACAUGUAAUUUAUUUCUAUUGGAUUUCAUCUAAACAUGCUAAUCGUAGUUAUACACAUGCUAUUCAAUAAAUAUAUAUAGGGGUUUAAAACUAAUAAUUUUGUUUGAACUCACGUAUAUAUUUAUAUAAUUUCACCAUUUGAACCUAUUCAAUAUUUGUGACAUUUCUCUUUUGGUAAUAAUUUAUUUAUUGAAUUGUAUAAUAAGGUCAUCUAAUUAAUGAGUCAUAAGUCGAAUUCUAUAAUUGUGCUAAUAAAUUUCAGUUUAAAUAUGAAAUUUCUACUCGACACUUUUAAGACCAAUAAUUAAAUUACUUACCUUGUAAUUGUCUUAAAAUUUGAAAAUGCCAAUCACUUAUUUCUUUUUGUCAUACUUUUCUUUUGUUUAUUUUUUUUGUCCAAAUUUAAUUCGAUAUAACACUCGAUAAUAUUUAGGAUUAAAUGUCUUCCUUAUUUUCAAAUUUCGAGUAAAAGAAAAUGAAUAUAAGUGAAAAACUAAUAAUUUUUUUAAACCCAUGUAUAUAUCUAUUUGAUUUCAUUUGAGCAGUACGAAUAGUAUGUAAUAUAUCUCUAUUUGAUUUCACAUGUUAUUCGUACUGUUCAAGUGAAAUCAAAUAGAUAUAUACAUGAAUUUAAAAUAAAUUAUUCACACACAUGAUCAAUAAAAAAUGAAAAAAUUCAUUUUGAAAAAUGUGAAGGAUGAAAAAAUUCAUUUUGUGAAAUGUAAGGGACGAAAAAAUUUAUUUUAUGAAAUGUGAGGGAUUAUGAAUCGAAUUAUAUAAAAUUUGAUUUGAUAAUUUUGCCCUUAAAAUAUGAUCACGUGCAAGGCACGUGGUGAAUUCCGACAAAAAACUAGUCAAAAACCUAAGUAGGGACCAAAUUUGACCAAUGUGAAUUUGUAAGGGAUAUAAAAUUAUAUUUUUAAAAGUAAGGGAAGAAAAAAGUUAUUUUGUAAAAUGUGAGGGACGUUUUGAACGAUUUUCCCUUCCUAGAAUUGAACUAGUUAACUAUUAGUUUAAAUAGCAUUUCAAUUGGUCAAGUUGUAGUUAAUUUUAUUUUCUCUUUUUAGGAAUAAUGUAACCCUUAACCGGCAUAGGUGCUCGUAAUUUUUGUAUUCUUUUUCUUUUCUUUUCACUUAAUUACUUUUUAUUUUGUUAUUAUUGUGGAAUGAGAUCAUGUGGGCCGCAGGUGCGUUGUCGCUUGGCUUUUCCAAUUCCAAUGGAAGCUUUGGAAUUAAUCAUUCUGUUUUACUUCACUCUUAAGGUGCUGUACAUGUUUUUAUGUGUUUAGAUAUUAGUUAAUUACAUGUUAUGUGCUUAGCUUAAACUUAGUCAUUUUGGCCUUAAAAUUAAGAGAAUAAGAUUAAACUCGCAACCCAUUUUGCCGAACCGUCAAAAAAGGGACCAGAGCAGUGAAUUUGGCCAGAAUUCCUAGAGCUUUGUAUAGUUAUAGAAGAAGAAAAUUAAAAACAAAAGAAGCAUUUUUCAGAAAAAACCCAAAUUCCUCCGUGAAACUAAUGCCACAAUUCUCAAGAAUUAUAGCAAUAAAAUAACAAAAAAAGAUCGAUAGAAUCCUAGACUGGAGAAACCAAUUUUAUCAGAUUUUUUUGGGAAAAAAAUAAAAGAUAUUUAAGAUAAAACCCUAAAUAAGAAUCUCACCAAGGCACUUUGCCAGAGUUGGAGAUGGUUGCCGUCAGAAAUAAUUAUAUUGGUGGUGAUUUUUCAAUCUCUCCAAUCUCCAUCGCUCACUUUCUGUAUCUUUAGCCGCAAAUUCUUUCUUUGUUUUUGUUAGAAUGUGGGAGUAGCGAGCUCUAUUGUAAAGAGCCAUGCAUUUCAAUGAAGGAAAAUAACUUCAGUAACUCAAAGGAGGAAGUUAUUUUCCACCAAGUGAAGUUAUUUUCUUCAGUAACUCAAAAGAGCCGUGCGUUUCAAUGAAGAAAAAUAACUUCAGUAACUCAAAAGAGGAAAUUAUUUUCCACCAAGUGAAGUAAAAUAGUUUCUCCACAGAAAUUUUUUUUUCCAAGUUAAAUGAUUACCAAACACAGGAAAAUUUGGAAAACAUUUUGAGGAAAACAUUUUAUGUCCAAACAAACACACCUGAGUGAUAAGUGAAUAGUUUAUCAUUUAUUUUUGGAAGUAAAUUUUGCCUAAAAAAUUCAAUGUCAUUUAAUUAAUUUAAAUGUUUAAUUUUUGGUUAUGAAACACGUGUGAACAUAUUAAAAUCUGAAACCAUUAAUUUUAAGUGAUAAAUUGGAUUAUUAAACAAGGCCUUAGUCAUAGUGUAGUAUCAAUUCAACGAUUCGUAAGUUUCACUUAUAAGAAUUUAUAAAGACAUGAUUUUUUUUGUGUGUUGGGGAGGGGAGGGGGGAGGGGGGAGGGGGAUGUUAAAGAGGAGACUCCAGAUUUCGCAAAACAGUCUCAAGAUAUGUUCACGUGGGUAAAAAAGAUAACUCAAUUAAAUGGUUGAAAGACAAACUAAACUAUUUGAUACUCGAAUCAAAUUUGGUUUGGUAAGAGUUCAUUUUAACUUGAUUCGCUAAUUAAUCAAACCUACUAAAUAGCAUUUCAUGUUCGAUGAACUUUCAAAUUCGAUUCGAGCUUACUUUGAUUAACUUAAAAUUGGAUUUUUUAGGUAAAAAUUCAAACUAUUCAAACUUGACUCAAUAAAAGCUUGUUUAAAUUCGACUUAAAAAAUAAACAAACCAAAAUUGAACACCAAGGUGUUUGAUUUCAUUAAACUCAUUUACAGCCAUAUGGAUUGAACUUUUAAUAGGUGCAGCAUCAGUCCAAGCCACUCAAGACACUUGUUAACUGAGGUAUGGGUGCAACAUAAAAUUUCUCUUUACCCUCUAAAAUUACUUUCUUUUAGUGUAUUCUAUUUCUACCCUCUCCAACCCCACACCCCCCCCUUCCCCCAUCCCCCAAACACAAAUUUAAAAUUGCAGUUUAUCUUUUGUAUUUCUCAUAUUCAAAACUCCUCAACGCGGUAAUGGAUUCUGAUCUUGAAUUCAGCAAUAUGUAUCGAUCAUUCCAAUCAAUACCCCGGUCGAUUCAUCACCAUUUACGACAACAAAAAAGAUAUUGAGAAUCUUACUUCAAAACCUAUGACAAAAAUCAAAAUAUGCCAUUUCAAACUAUGGUAUCUAUAUUGGUAGCUAGGAAGAGAAUUACACCAUCGCAACAGACAAUAGCCAGGGAGGGAGAGUAAGGUAUAUCGGUGUGGAGAAGAUGUCCAGAUGAGAAUCACAACCAACAAUAACCUUACCACUUUGGUGACAAACCAUUUGAUGAAUUAACUACAUAAUUGAACACUUCAAUCAAGCGAAUCAUAAAGGUCCUUCCUACUGUCAAUAUCUUAAAUUCUGCUAUUAUAUUUGAUCCCCGGAGACCAGAAGGCCAUUAAUUUGCUUGGCUCAGGCUUCCAACGUGUACAACGGUAUGGAAGAAUUUAGGCAUCCCUUUAAACCUUAGAUCCUUAAACAUUCGACUCUCAGGAUUGUAAGAAACUAGGGCUCCCCAUCUGUACUGCAGCAAAAUUUCGCCAUUUUUCAGAAGGCAAAGAACCCGGGCAAAUCGUUCAUCAAGUACAUUCUUCCAAAUCCUGUAUUUUUGCUGCAUUUCUGGUGACUGAAAUGUCGUCACAUAAUAAACCCCAACGCUGAAAACUUUCUCCCAGGACUCUUUCACCCCGUAUUGUUUCAUAAUCCAAAUGUCUUGAGCCCCGUAAUUAGUAUUUGAAGGAUCAACAACAGACAGAAAACCUCCGAGAACACUGAGAGAAUACCGGUGUCGGAUUAAGUAAAGAUGAUUUUCUGGCAGUGGGACUUCUCUAAAAAGCUCAUCAGAUAAAUCAAAUGACACCAGAUCCGUUCCCGACGAGCAUGAUUCUUUCCCCAUAUACUCACCCAGUGAAGCCUUCCGUUUACAAAAACUCCCCCUGAUGACUGAUCUAGCUUGUAAGGUAUGUCUCCAAUAAUAACUCUCCAUUUUUCACUGCUCUGAUAGAAUACUUGAACCUCUGAUCUUGGAAAAUUUUGAGCCCUGAAUCUCAGCGAUCUGAGUGGAGAUAAUUCAUAUAAAUUCCAGUAGUAGACUAUCCUUACUACGCGAUAUUCAUUGGUAUGAGGAUGAACUCCGAAUCCUAUUAUCACUUCUUGGUCCUGGAAUUCAGUGGAUUUUGGUAACACUUUAUAGUCUCGGGUGAAGGGAUUAUAAACGUAUGGUCCAUCAUUGACCAAAGUACUCGACAAGCAUAGCAGGCCAUUACACGAGCUAACAAUUCGAAAUUCAGGCAAAGUACUAGAAAAGGGAGUAUGAAUUCUUCUGAGUACAUUUUUUUCAUGAUCUUGAUGAGAAAAUUCAACAAAAUAAAGCUGAUUGUUCAAUGGAAAAUCACAAUGAAAGAUGAGGGCUAUGUCGUUGUUUUUUAAUGCUCUGGUGAGAUGCAAAUUAGCAAGAUCUGAUCAAGUGACAACUUGUGGCAACUUCGACAAACAUACCUGAAUUGGAUGACGGAUUUUACGUGUAGUCUGGAAAUUAUGUCGAGGGCGAUUUCUUGAGGUAGACUAUAAAGAUUAUUUCCAGGCUGAUGAUGUUCUUUUGGAGUUGAUUUUCUUCUCUUGGAUUCUCUCUCAAUUUCCAUGUCUUCCAUGAUGGUAGUAGAAAAUGUGAACGUUUCAAGGUUUGAGGUGGCGGCUAGACUGCUUUAGGCUUGGACUUAAUUAUAAGGUUUAAUUGCACUUACUUCCCUCGAGCUUUGUCCAUAUUACCAAACAACCUUGUAGUUUGUCCAAAUAACAUUUACCCCCUUGUCAUUGACGGUUCAUAAACUCUGUUAACUGAUGUCACAAGAUGAUAAAAUUGCCCUUCAAAACAAAAACAAGAUUAUUGUUAUAAAAGAACUUAAUAUUUAGGCAUAAAAAAAAUGUCCAAAGGAGAAAUGAAGUAUCUUAGUAAGCAAAGCUAAAGAAAAGAAAGAUAGUAACAUUAAGAGUAAAAAAUUUGCUGCAAAAAAAAAAAGAAAAUGAAGAAAAAUACAUGUUGAGAGAUAUCAAACAGACAAAGAGUAACUAUGAAAAAAAAAGAAAGUAAAAUAUAAAUAAAUUAGCGACUGCCUAUUUAAUAAAUAAAAAAAAGAUAAUUGAGAGGGAUACUGAAGCAUCGAUCUUCUUUUCCUUUAUCACUCUCUCCGCUAGCUCCCAACACAAUUUGCCUCCAUCUCUUUACCUCAACAGACACCCCCUUCUUCAUCUUCUCUGCUACUACACAUGCACACUAAGAGAUUAGCAGUUUGCACUCUCAAAUGCACCUUUUGAAGAAAAGAUUGUAUUCCAGUAGCAUCUAGCGAGAGAUUAAGGAUUGGAAAGGCCAAAAUAGGAGAAAGUAAUUGUAAUUUAUGGACUCUAUCUUGGUGUUGGCAUAACGAGGUUCUAGAUCAGUUUGAGACCUUAUGACGAUAAGUUUAUGCUUUCAGUUAUUGAUUUGAGUUUGUUGGUGGUUAAAUGUAAGGCUAUAAGUUAUGCAUAUUUUGUGAUGUUUUAUGGAGCUUUUCUUUUUUCUCCCCCUAUUUUUUCACCUUAUCAUGGAACUGAGUUUUUCUUUUUUCUUUUUUUUUGUGCAAAGGUGAAAAUUUCUACGAGUCUAACAUUGAUUGUAAUUUUGUGGGAGUUACUACUUUGAAGAAAUAAAGGUAUUUGAACCCCCAAAAAAAAAAAGAUUCAAGUGAUGGACAUGGAAUUAUUGGCUGCCAGUAGUUGAAAUCUCAAACUAGUAUAGAGAAAGCAGGGAGAAGAAGACAAAGUAGGGUUUUGAGGUUAAUUUUGGACUUUCACGAAAAUUUCAUGUUGACAUCCUUCACUGUGUAUCAGUCAACGUUAGCAAUAUAACGAUAAGAGUUACUUGUUAUGCAUUACAGCCUGAGGGACCUUUUUGUAGUUUGUCCAAGCUUGAGGGUUGAUUCGUAGUUUGGUUAAAUCUCAAUUGAGGUGAACAUAAUUAACUCUAAUUAUAAUGCUAGUAGGAAAAACUUGGGGGAGACGUUGAUUUGACUCAUUAAUUGGACCGUAAUCGGUGUUUUUUUUUUUGCUAUUUGUCGGUAUUGAAGUAUCAAGAGAAGGAGAGAGAAUGCUUUGUUCAUGAAUGAUGAUGCGAGGUUUGAUGCUAUUACGGAGUGUGGGAAUCCACAGAUGGUGCUCUAUUUUACUUUAAGAUUAAUUGCAACUUAGAUUCCUAACUAUAUUGGGCUAUACUUUUGCACCCUAAAAUUUUUGCAUCUUUUAAAUUAGAGUUUUUCUAUUUGCAAUAAUGACUUUAAAAUUUGCUAAUUGCAAGUGUGUCUAUGAUAUGCUUCUUGAAAUGGUGAUUUUAUGUCCCUUUACCAACAACCUUUUGGUAAAAUAGUUCACUAUAUUGAUCUUUACUAGGUCAUAUUCCAUUUUAUUGUUAGAGUUCAUCCAUUAUUUCUAUUUAGCAAGCAACUAAAAUUUGCAUCCUCUAUAUUCUAAAUGUCUUUACUUGGUUUUUGUGGGUUUCAUAGAGUGAAUAUAUGCAAAAAGAUAAAAGUAUUUUCUAAAAGAAAACACUAUGAAGAUGUGGAACUAAAGUAUGGCCAUACUUGAGAAUUGGUUUCCUCUUCGCAAAACUACUGAAAUUUUGCCACAUUGCAUUUAUAAAUUUUAACCUCCUUGUUAUUUGCAUCAUAACUAUCGCUAAGAACCACACUACAUGGUAGGAGGCGUAAAAAAUGAUGACUUAAGCAGGUUCGGAUAGGUUAUAAUUGAGUAAUGGAUAUAAUUGAAUCAACUCAUCUAUACCGAUUUAAUAAAUGAAUCAAAUGAGUCAACUCAUUUAUAUUCAUUCAAUAAAUGAGUAUGGUAUAUAACUAAUUACUCAUUUAUGACCACUUGAAUUUUUACUUGCUCUUUUUUCUUGUUCUUUUGGAUGUUGUUUCAUAAGAAAUAACAAUAUUUUAUUAUUAUUGGAUUGAUAAGAAAUUCAAAUUUAUCCGUUUAACAUCCACCAAAGCUUGGGAUUAAAUAUCCAAUUAUUUUUAAAUGUAUAUAGAUGGUUUUGAGUCAAUCUAUUACCUACCAAUUAUUUUUUAAUUGAGUUUAAUUGAGUCAUAAAUCUAAACCCUUUCAAAAUUCACUGCAUACCCAAAUUCACUUAUUAGUGGGCGAGUUUGGACAAGUCAAUAUUACAACUACUUUGAUACCUAUAGUACAAGGUGUGACUCCAUUAAAAGUCACCAUACGGAUUAGCAAAUUUGAAGUUGCUGAUUGAAACAGCGACUUUAAAUGGAUAUUUCAAAUGGCAAUUUUUUUUUUGGAAGGCUAAAACAUGCUGGACUUGUUUCGAAUUAUCAAUAAAUAGAGGAUUAUAUUGGUAAACGAUCCUUUUCGAAUGCACAGGGAUUGUCAUCAUUAUUGCUCUACUUAAAGAUCCAUUUUUCUUUUUGCCACACCUUUUUGGCUUUUUCUAAUGAUAGAUGUUGUAAGCAUCUUAUCUUUCUGGAUCAUAGCAAUUUUCCAAUACUUUCAUGAUUAUCUUGGAGCGAAAGAAGUAAGACGACUAGGAAAGAUGACAUGCGAAUCAUCCUCGUUAUAGAUACGCUAGCUUAUGUAAAACAAAGACUUGAUACUCCGUUAAUAACUACACUGAAUACACCAGUAAAUGUAUGAAUUAUAUCAUGUAUUAACUAAGCAAACUAACCAUCAACAAGAUCUCACUAUUUCUGAGAAGGCAAAGGACCUAAGCAAUCUAACCAUCAAAGUCAUUUAUUCUGUACAUAUGUUCAAGUUUUCCAGUUCAAUUGAGAUUCAUUAACAUCGAAGCGGCAUUUGCUCGGCUCAGGCUGCCAAUGUGCACAGUGAUAUGAAAGAAUUUAGGCAUUCCUGGGAACUUUAUGUCCUUAAACAUGCCAUUCUCAGGAUUGUAGGAAACUAGAGCUCCCCAUCUAUACUGCAACAAGAUCUCACCAUUGCUGAGAAGGCAAAGUACGUGAACAUAUCGUUGAUUAAUUACAUUCUUCCAGAUCCUGUAUGUUCGUCGCAUUUCUGGAGACCUAUAUCUCGUCACAUCAUAAGCCCCGAUGCUGAAAACUCUCUCCCAGGACUCUUUCACGCCAUACUCUUUCAUGAUCCAAAUGUCUUGAACCCAAUAAUUUGUAGACGAAGGAUGAACAAUAGACAGACACCCUCCCAGAACACUGAGAGAGUAUCUGUGCCUGAAUAGGUUGACAUCAUUUUCAGGCAAUGGAACUUCACUAAAAAUCUCAUUAGAUAAAUCAAAUGACACGAGAAUUCGGUCACGUCGACAGUGAUUCUUGCCCCAUAGACUUACCCAAUGAAGCUUUCCAUUGACA